AGCAUACCAGGGAUUCCCCUUCCACAGCUAAUAGAGGUGUGUAAGCGUGUGGCAUGAUUUUUGGAAGGUGUUCCCCAGGGCACUUACAGGCUAGUGCUAUUUUAUCUGAGGGAGAGGUUUGAGCGUGGGUGUGAAGGACUGCGCGUUACCAUAGUGAAUCAAUUAGAGGUGUAUUCAAGCCUGGGAGCUGAAAUAGGCAAAUCGCUGUGGGCAUUUCUUUCUAUUUUCCCCUCUAGUUGUCAUAUCUGGCAUAGUUCUCUGUUCAAUGCAUCGUAUCGCAUCGCAUCAGCCGCAAGCUCCAUUCUAGACAUUGGUUCGUUUAUGACUGACGAUGCCAGUUUGCUUAACCACAAUCUUUAGCUUAGGUGAGUUUUUUCUUUCUUUCUUUCCUUCUUUCCCUUUGGUUAUUGAAAGCACGUGUGGGAUUUUCCUAUCCAUGAUCACAAUAUAUAUUUUGCAUUGAAAUGUAACGUCGUAUGCGGUACUGGAAGAGGAAAAAGGGAGGCGAUAGAAAAAAAGGGAGACAUCAGCAAGCCACGGAGAUUUCCCUGGUUUGUAGGACCGGACGAUUUACAUUGAGUAAGGGGGUGUAAGUGAAACAAAUAUGCUUCUCGUCAAGACGAUCAGAUAGAACAACUAAAAAUAUCGGGGUACAGUUUUAUACGGAAUGCUUAUUAUCCUUCUUAAGAUGACCAUAAUGACAGUGGUAUUCCCAGAACGUUCGGAAUGGAAUAUGGGGAUUGGAGGGGUGGGGUAUUCCAUCUUCAGCAUCUUCUAUGUUAAUACUCGGUCUACUGAAACUGCUUUUUAAUUUCAUAAUCAAACCACAGGACAAUGGCAACGUAUUUAAAUUUAAGGAUUCCCUAUGUGCUUUUAUUUGAUUGUGCAAGAUUUUUCUACCCUAGUUGAGCAAACCUGGUUUAAUAUCUAGGUCAAUGUGCAUUGUGCAGUUGGCAGCACAAUAAGUGUUUACCUGAUUUUCUCAUUUAUUUGCAGUUCCUUUUUCCUGGACUAUGUAUCAGUGUUGAUAGCAGUACUACAAAACAUAGGAUUGCAUGAAAAGGAUUGCUUUCAGUGAACGUUUUUACAACUAAGCUUUCAGUAUCAAAAUUAUUCCUCGAUUAAGAGUGGUAAGUUAUAUUAGCUUGUAUUAUUCAUAACAUUGAUGGUGUGAUUGUGGAUUAAGAACAUGCUUCUUACAAGAAGCUGCUUAAUAAAUAUGUCUGAUGUAAUGUAAUAUGUCUAAUGGGUUAGGCCUCUCUCCUAAAAAUAACUGUAGCUAAAAUUUAAUGGUAAAUGUCACGUCUUACUUCAUAUUAACCCCUUGAGGACAAAGCAGCAAUUUUUUUUUUACAAUUGGGCAUUUUUGUUAUAUGUGUGUUAAACCGUAAUUUCCAACUUUCUCAUUUUUGGCACCAACAAUUAUUAAAUAUCAUUUAUUGAACGGCAAAAAAGCUUUUAAUAUAUAUUACAUUUAUUUAAAAAAAAAAAAAAACACAUUUGGCAAUAAUAAUGUGUGCAUAAUUAGUGCAGCUUAAGAAAAGUAAUUCAUACUAAAUCAAUUUAUUUGUCCUGAUUUGCAGAGUGCAUCAAAUGUCUAGCAUGCAGUUUCUUUUUGAUAGUUACAGGUCACAAAAUACAAGGAGUAAAAUACAAUUUUAACAUGGAACAAUUGGAAUUUCUAAGUCUGAUAGCCAUUUAAGAAAACAUAAUUGCCACACUAAAGUAUAUAUUUGUAAUAAGUGUACAUUAUAGGCUAUUUUCCUAAGCAUGAUUUGACACUUUUUACGUGACUAUUUAACUGCCAAUCUCUGAUUUAUUGUAAAAUUGUGUUGUAUUCCUGAUUUUUAACGUACACACAUAUAAAAAGGUUCAUUUUAUGUGUAGUUUGUUAACCUGACAUGUGGUAAUCCUAUAAGAAACCCCAUAUUGUGUUCAGCGAAAUCUAUUAAAAACAUUAUACCCACUAUAUGCCUUUUCCACUAUCCUGCGAAGCUAUAGUGUAGUGCAUUGUUCAAAUCACCUCACAAAAACCUCCUUUGUGAAAUAGGGCACAACAUAAAACGUGCUGUGAUUUAUUUGAUCAGUUUAUGUCAAAUUUCGUGGUAAUUUAAUUUUUUUUUUUUUAAAUGAACAUUAUCUUUCUUCAAAUCUGAUAUAUGCCACUAUAAUCACCCUCCCCACAAAUUAUGCUUAGCAAGCUCUUCUGAACAAAAAAAAUACACACAAUGCCACUUUCUUGUGAAUUUACAAGCGAUAUAGGAGACCUGACUGUUUGAGUUUUUAUAGUUAGAAUUUUAAUAGCUAGAUAUGGAAGGCUAUGUUUCAUUUUGGGGCAUUGUAGCAGUUUGACAGUUCAAAUUACCCUAUAAAUGCAUAUAACUAGGCAUCACCACAUAUGCCAUAUGGUAUAUUUUGAGCCUGAACAAAUAUCUUUCAGAGUGUAUGGUAUUUUAUUUUCAUGAGUUUUUACAUGCAUGUUCCAAUUUACCAGUUUACUUUGUAAACUGAUGUGUGCUACUGUAAUAAAAUAUCACUAAAUUCUGCCGAGCUAUGACCCCUUUCCCAUCCGCUGUCAAGUGUUUGUGACAGUACAGCCACAUUCCCUGGCUCUAACUGACGCAGCAUGCAUAAAGCAAAAUGGUUUCACUUUCAUUCAGAUGUAACUUACCUUAUGUUUUUAUUGAACUUUAAUUACAUACAAGAGACUCCUGCAGGGUCUAGCAGACUAUUAACAGAGCAGGAGAUAAUACAAUCUAAAUUAAACAUAAUUUGCAAUAAAUGAAGUGUAAACAUUAAAUUACUAUGUACAUGAAGUGUUUAGGAUAGCUGUGCAAGUCAUAUGCAGGGAGGUGUGAGCAGAGCAACUGGGUCAGAGCAUCUCCAAAACCACACGUUUUGUUAUACAGUGAUUAUUAUGUACCAAAAGUGGUGCAAGAAACGACAACAAGCAAACCGGCAUCAGGGUCAUAGGCAGGGCCAAAACCAGAAAUUUUGGGGCCCCUAACUCAGCUCAGGGUCUGGGUCCCCUGGGGCCUGCCUCCAAUCCCGCCCACAGGGUCCGCCUCCAGAUCCCACAAACAGGAAUACACACACAGACACAAACACACAGAUACAUACUAACAGACACAAAUACUGAAACAGAAACAUACACACAUAUAGGCAUACAUACUGACACACACAUACUGAGACAUACACACAUAUACAGACACACAGGCAUACAUAGUGACACAUACUAACAUACAGACACACAUGCAUGAGGACAUACAUACAUACACACACACACUGACAUACAGACACUGACAUACAUUCAUAAUGACAUACAUACAUUCAUACAUGCAUAGAGACACUGACAUCCAAACACACACAUACAUCCAUACAUACAUACACAGACGUACAUUCAUAAUGGCAUACAUUCAUAAAUGCAUACACUCAUACUGACAUACAGACAGGCAUACACUCAUACUGACAUACAUAAUGGCAUACAGACAUACUGACAUGCAUGCAUACACACAUACAUACAGACAUACAUAUAUACAGACAUCUAUACAUACAUACUGACAGACAGACAGACAUGCAUACAGACAUAUACACACACACACACAGAGCAUAUUCUUCAGCCACCCUCCUUUUUCUUACCUUUUCGUUGCAGGAGGGUGGCUGGGGCUGAUGGGAGUCGGCUCGGCUCUCUCUCUUCCUCCCUGCAUCACUUGCAUUGCGGCUGCGUUUUUUUUUUUUCUAAAGGGGCCCGGUCUCGCUAUUAAACGGCACAGCGCUGACCGGGCCCCUAAAGAUAUAGGGCCCAUCGGGUGGCCCUAAGUGCGUGGGCCACCCAAUAGGCCCCCAUCAGCGUGCAGGCCCUGGUGCAACUGCACCGGCGGCAGUUCUACCGCUACACGUGGGGUUCGGGCGGCCGGGUCACCCCCUGAUGGUGGCCCUGGUCAUAGGCGCUAAAGGGUCAUUGAUGCACGUGGGGAAGCCAUGGCAAGCUCAAAUUGUUUAAAAAGUUAAUGCUGGCCAUGAUAGAAAGGUGUCUGAUUCGGAACACACAGUGCUUUGCCGUUUGCUGUGUACUUGGCUGUUUAGCUAAGUGAUCACAGGGCCCAUGAUGACCUCUGUCCACCGCCAAAAGCACCUUCAAUGGGGACAUGAAUGUCAGAACUGGACCAUGGAGCAAUUUAACCCUUGCACCGCCGGGGUUUAUUUAACUAUUUGCCCAAUGGCUGCUGGCACUGCCAGCGGACAAAAAGUUCAGAUUUUUUAAAAACUCUCUGUGGAUUUCAAGCAUUCAGACCGCAUUUCAGGUGUUUAGUGGAAGGUCAUGAUUAGCAAAGUCCAGACAUUUUUUAAUAUUGUGAACAAUGGCCACAUUUUGCAUUCCAGUGCAGCAGUAAAUGGUUUUGCCCCGUUGGACUUUUCUGAAUAACCUUUCACUGCUGAAAAUAAAUGAUUGUUUGCUUGCCUUUUUUGAAUGUAAUAUAAAAAAGGAAAACUUCAAAGUUUAUUUUUAGUUGUCUUUUAAAUAAAACUACACAACAGUAACUAGAUGCUACACUCACUUUUUUGUGAGGUUCACAGACGUGAGGAAGUCCCUGUAAUGGCUGUCAGCCAUUAGAGUUGUGUUUUUGGAAAAAAUUAAAUAUUGCCCUUUGCCUGAAACACUUUUUUUUAUUUUUUUUUUUAAAUUCUCUAAUCACAGAAGAUGGUAAUAAUUGCCACAAUAAUUAAAUACAGAAGCAAAAUACAUACUGUAUAUACUCGAGUAUAAGUCGUGGCCCCUAAUUUAACCCCAGAAAACUUGAAAAAUGUAUUGACUCGAUUAUAAGACUAGGGUGGGAAAUGCAGCAGCUACCAGUAAAUUUCUAAAUAAAAUUAGAUCUCAAAAAAUUAUAUUAAUUGAAUAUUUAUUUACAGUGUGUGUGUAUAUAAUGAAUGCAGUGUGUGUGUGUGUGUAUAUAUGCAGUGUGUUUGUGUAUGUGAUGCAGAGUGUGUUUGUGUAUGUGAUGCAGAGUGUGUAAGCUUGGUGGGGGGUGGGCAUUUUUAUUAUUUUAAUACAUUUUAUUUUUAAUUUUUUUAAUAUUAUUAAAUGUUUUUUAUUAUAAUAUUAUUAUUAUUUUUUUGUCCCCCCUCCCUGCUUGUUGCCUAGCCAGGGAGGGGGGCUAUAUUAUUCCCUGGUGGUCCAGUGGAUAGGCUGUGCAGGAAGGGGGCUGGGAGCAAGCUGUUACUUACCUUUACAGCAGCUCUUGUCCGCUCCCUUCUCCUCUGUGCCGUUCAGCUCCACUGUAAAUCUCGCUGUCUGCGUGCCAUGCGGAGCGUUGCCACGGUGAUCAGUGGCAACGCUCUGACGGCUGCAGCUCUCGUGAGACUUACAGUGGAGCUGAACAGCACGGAGGAGAAGGGAGCUGACAGGAGCUGCUGUAAAGGUAAGUAACAGCUUGCUCCCAGCCCCCAACAGGGGCAAUGUAAGUUGCCAUAAUACAGACAUUGACUCGAGUAUAAGACGAGUGGGGGGUUUUCAGCACAAAAAAUGUGCCGAAAAACUUGUCUUAUACUCGAGUAUAUACGGUAUUUCAUCUUCGUCAUCCAGGGUUGAACUAGGAAGAAAUUAGGCCCGACUGAGAAGAGAGCGGGCUAGAGAGGGGGAUGUUUUGUUAUCACCAGUAACAAGCACGCCCCUCUCAAAAUGAGCAUGUUGGGUCAUGCUCUUCAAGGACAACCCACGUGCAAAUAGCCCUGCUGAAGAGCUCUCGCAUGAGAAAAAGGCCCUGUAUUUUAUUAACAUGCUUGCGCUGUGUUUGCGUGUAACUUGUCUCUGGUGUCUCAAUAAGUGGGACAAAAUGGCAAGGAAAGCGUAUUGUGCAUGUGUAUGGAGCCUGCUUUUGUAGAGUGAGUUUAUUGUGGUGUGGUGUUUUGUGUAAAUGUCGGUUUCAGUUGUGUUUAUGGUUUAAUGUAUUAGGGAUCAACCGAUAUUGAUUUUUUACAGCCAAUACCAAUAAUCUGUGUACUUUCAGGCUGAUAGCCGAUAACUUACCGAUAUUCUGUACAUUUACCAUUUUGAAAAAAAAAACUAUUUCUAAAGGCAAAUGCACAAAAUAUACAUGCCACAUGUAGUGGAAGCAGUGUGUAUUUGUGUAGUGUGUGUAUAUAAUGAAUGCAGUGUGUUUGUAUAGUGUGUAUAGUGAAUACAGUGAGUGUUUGUGUAGUGUGUAUAUAUAGUGAAUGCAGAGUGUUUGUGUAGUGUGUGUAUAGCGAAUGCAGUGAGUGUUUGUGUAGUGUGUGUGUAUAUAUAUAUAUAGUGAAUGCAGAGUGUGUGUGUAUAGUGAAUGCAGUGUAUUUGUGUAGUGUGUGUGUAUAUAAUGCAAAGUGUGUGUAUGCAAUUUGUGUAAAAUGGGGGAGGGGGAAGGCAUUUUUAAUGUUAUUUUGAAAAAAAAUUAAGUGUAAAUCUUGCGGCCAGUGUGACGCGCGGAGUGUUGCCAUUGUAACCCGUGGCAACGCUCUGACGGCCACGGGACUCCCAAGAUUUAGACAGGGGUGGCUGAAGGGAGCUGCUGGGAAGGUAAGUAAGCGCUUGCUGGGCCCCCUGUGGACCACCGGGCUUGUCAUCAUGACGGUCCUGGUAUGUAUUAUCGGCAAUAUCGGUAUCUUUAUUAGCCGAUACUAAUAUUGCCGAAAAUACUGAAUAUUGGCUGAUAAUAUCGGCAAGACCGAUAAUUGGUCAAUCCCUAUAAUGUAUGUGUGGCUAUAGGCUGUAAAGAGUGUGUGUGUGUGUAUAUAUAGGAGAUGUAGCAAGUGUAUGCAUAGGGGCUGUAGUAUAUGUGUGUGUGUGUCUAUAAGAGAUAUAAUGUGUGUGUGUGUGUUCAGGAAAAGUAGUGAGGGGUGCAGUGUGUGUGUAUGUGAAGGGUUGCAGUGUGUGCGGGGGGGAUCAGUGUGUGUCUGAUGUGCAGUGUGUGUGGGGGGGGGGGCGUGGGUAUAUGCAUUUUUUUUAAAUUGAAAAAUAUAUAUAAGAGUGGAGCAAUUUGUUGAAAAGUGACAAUUUAGUCAAUCUCCCCCUGAAUCUCUACAGGUGUAGAAAGGUUUAAGUAAAACAAAAAGCAAUACUUAAUCUCCAGGGAAGAGUCUUCCAUACAUAGAUCUCUCAAAGCAUGUAGGAAAAAAAACAUUAAAAAGAGCAAAUAAUAGUGCAGAUUGUGGUAAAUGUAUUUCAAGAUAUUAUACCCCAAACAUAGAGGGCUAAGGAAAUACCAUAAGACAGUGAUUUUAACAAGCUGAUAGGAAAAGAGCAAAUAGUAAUACAGAUUGUACUUAAAUGUAUUCUGUGGCAAACCUAGCCACUUUUGCAUGUGUGGAUAUUAGAAGGUUUGCUGGCUGUGAGAACCAAGUGUAAUGUGGUAUGGAGCGUUCAUGCAAACAAGAGCGUUCGUAUGCUUGUAAUACGUGAAACCCAGCAUUGCCUAUGCAGUUUCACGAACAGUGAGUUUAAACAAUGAACCUACCGAACGGUCGACCACACACAGGAGGUCGUGUGGCGCCCAUUAACCGAUUGCAACAUUGUUGCAAUUGGUAGUUAUGCAAUCGGUAGUUAGACUUCCCUAGGUGGCCGUCGUUCGGCUACCGACCACGCGGCGGUCGACCAUCUUGAUUCCUUUGUUAGCCCAGUGGGGUUUUGCCGUCGUGCGCCUGGAACUAAAAACGGCUACUCGACGGCGCGAACCCCGCUGGACUUCCAGGCCGUUCGGGAGUCCCGGCCGUUCGGUAGUUUGUUCCCCUAAUAUCAAUCGCUAUUUUAACCGUAUGUUGGAAAUAAUGUGUAUUUCGUACGGCGUUCGGUUAGUUAGACAGGGAGCUGAGCGCUAUUUCUACGAACUAUGCGCUCAGCCUCCAGCUAUCUACCGAAUGUCCAUUCGUGUAAAUCAAGUGAAUAUUGUUAAAGUUAUGGAUUUUUAUGUAAAAUGUAAAUUCUGCUGCACGGAGGGAUAAUCCCAUUAACUGUAUAUUCCAGUGGGAGUAUCCCUCUCAUCCAGCAGUGCAUGUUGGGAGAAAUGUAUGUGUUUGGCAGUUCCCCAUGUAGUCCCCUACUGUACAACCCCUGUAAUGUCAGUAGGGAAACCCCUUGCAUGGGGAAUCCCAUAAAUACAGUGUCCUGUGAAUAAAACCUCAGUUGACUCCCAGCCUAUGUGUCGUCUAGUUCUUGGGAAGGAAGGAUUACUACAACGCUACCGGGAUUAUUGUAUGCUGUAUUUAUUCACCUGGAUUAUUUUAUGCUGUUCCUGUUACCCAGCGGAGAUAUUGUGGAUUAUACUGCCUCUCCGCUACAUAUUUCCAGAUAUUGUACCCCAAACAAAGAGGGCUAAGGAAAUACCAUAAAGCAGUGUCUUAAUUCUAAGACACUUUAGGUAAAGGAUUUAUUAUCACAGAUAAUUAAAACCUGCAAUAAAAAUACAUAGAAGCAAGUUUACAAAAACACAUAGCUAGAACUACUAACAAACUGACUCCUACACAAAAGAGAUGUAAGUUAGGCACGGCUUCCGCCGUUACUCACUGCCAGGCUCGUAAUCAAUAAAGUGCUGGGGUGGCUGUCCUCAAAGGAUGUGGCUGGAGCCGAAGCGCAGGUUUCCCAGAGCUGGAAUCAAGCGUGUUUGCCCCCUGGUGCCAACGUGUAAGUGUUUCUCCGGUUACCCGGCUUCCUCAGGACGUGAUGUGCUGCCGUGGCCAUCUUUAUUGAGGGUUUUUACAGCCCCCAAUUACCAGUUCAAAUUUUUCAAUUAGUCAUUUGCAUAUAAAAUAACAAUCAUUUCAGUGGCUGCUCUACUUUUUCAGCAUACAGCAUCAAAGUCAGAGUUAAUUAACAUAAAAUACACUUAAAGCAACAUACAGCAUAUAUAAAACAGUCUAAAAUACAGCUACAUUUAAUAAUUUAUUAUUGCAUUGAACAUAUAAAAAGAUAAAAAAAAACAUCAAAUUAAGCAAAGAGAAAAUGCUAAAUUAAGUUUAAAAUGAGAGAGUUUCUGGAAUUAAAAGAAAAAACAUCAUUAUUAUACAGAUACACUUUAAAUUCGUAGUAUGAAAUAUAGAGUGACUGUGUGUAUAUCACAAAACCAUUCCAGGGACAUUCAUAGAGGCAUACAUAAAAGAUAAUAAUAGGAGUGGACAGCCAAGAAGUGAGUAAAUUCUUAAAGUGGCAGUGCUCAUAUAUUAAAGAAUGUAUUAAAGUGGCAGUGCUCAUGCACAAUACAUUGUAUUCUUUACUCACAAUGACUUGCAUUGAAAAUCUUAAGAGUAGAUGGAUUUUGCGAGGAUUACAGAUAAAGGGACAGAUGACACUUGUUCCUGGGCAUUUGCCUGGUUUGCCGAUAGCCAGUUCAGGCCUGUUGUCAUCUCUAUUAAAUUGUAUGGGUGCACUGUCCCUGACAUUUUUUUUCCUGCAAUGUUAAACAUUGCCAUUUGUGUAGAAACUGCAAAGUUUUCAUUGCAGGGUUGAACACAUCUCGAAUAGCUAGCUUCCUGACAGCUACUAGAAGUGAUUUAGCUGAAUAACCAGGUUAGGCUCGGUUAUUUAAUCAAAUGCUGCUCAUAGACAGCAUUUUAUUGGCAGAGUAUGGUGAUUUGCUGUGCAUUCCCAUUAGCCCCCCUCAAUGCUUCCCUAAUUUGAAGCAUUUGAUUGAUGACCUCAGCCACAGAAGCAGGGCUUCCAAGGCGAGACAAAUUCAGAAAGGAAGUAAAUAUAAGUACCUUUUAAACAUUGGGGGGCAGGGGGGAUUGUAGGGGAUUGGUUAUCUAUUUCCAAAAACAUAAGAUAAAAUUGGGACUACUAUAUUUUUCCUACGCCUGACACUUGUUCACACUAGGCGUAGCUACCGUCAUCAAGAAGGGUCAAUCCCCCAACCGUCAGGGAAUUGACUCUAUCUAUGGAGGAUCCUGCAGGAUUUCAAUGCUGCAUGCCCGAGACCAGGGGCGUACCUAGAGCAUUUGGCACCUGGGGCGGAUCCUGUGCUUGGCACCCCCUUGCCCCCAAAAAAAUGUAAGAAAAUGUAAAUGUUUCCUUGUUUUUUUUACAUUUGUAAACUUUGCAAAACCGCUGUCAGCCCCUCCUACAAAACCCCUGUCCUGCCCCUCCUACAAAACCCCUGUCCUGCCCCUUCUACAAAUCCUGUACUGCCCCGUCUACAAAACCCCUGCAACCUCCUUCCACAAAUCCCCUGCUUAUCCCCCCUUAUAAAGACUCCUGUCCCCUGCCCCCUUUUACAAAAUCCCUGCAGCCCCACAGACACAUUUACAUGCAUACAGUCACACGAAAACAUUCACGGGGUGUCAGUCGGUAACAAGGAUUAUAAACUCAUCUUAUUCGCUGAUGAUAUCCUUCUCACAAUUACUCAACCAUUUAUAACGCUUCCAUCAUUACAUAAAGAACUGCAGUCCUACAGUCAUAUUAUAAGCUAAAUAUAACGAAAACUCAAGCAAUGUGUCUCAACACAUCUAAAUUCACAGAUGAAAGACUGAAGGGAAGUUACCUCUAUGACUGGAGAGAAGAUUUAGUAUUUCUAGGUAUCAGAAUAACUAAAAAAGAAAAAGAUCUUUUUUCAGCUAACUAUACGAAGUUACUGAAGGAAAUUGAUCACCAACUAAAACCAUGGAAGAACCUGUUUUUAUCCUGGGUAGGGAAAAUAGCAGCACUUAAAAUGUCAAUCCUACCUAAGAUUUUAUAUCUCUUUAGAUCCCACAAAAAUAUAUAACGUGUAUUCAAGCAACUAUGGUACGUUUUAGUUGGGGCAGUAAACACCCGCGAGUCCCUAAAGCAUUAUUCAUGAGAAGUGUGAAGAAUGGAGGUAUGGGGAUACCAAACAUAAAAGCAUAUUAUCAUUCUGCAAUACUUAUUAACGUCAUCAGCGCCCAUUCAACCAUCUAUACCCCUCAAUGGGUGGCAAUAGAAAAUACGUACUGUGGAACACAAGAUCUCUCGACACUGUUAUGGAAACCUCAACAAUUGAGACAAGUAAGCUAAAAUAUGCUACCCUCCACUAAACACCUUUUCAAAAUCUGGGAUACCUACAGAGACAAAUUAUGUACGGCUUACCCAUGGGCUCUACUCCAAUCAAAAUUUUAUACUCCUGUAAUAGGACGUUCCCAUAUCAGAAAUGGGAAAAAGCAGGAAUUACACAUGUAUUUCACCAAUGCACUAUAGAGGGUCUUAAAUCUUUUCCGAAUCUACAAAAGGAGUUUACAUUACCUGCGAGCUAUACAUUCGCAUAUCUUCAAAUUAAAGCAAUUCUAGACAUUGAUAAGGUCUGCAUAAGAGCAGAUACAAUGCAAUCUUCCAUAACGAAGCUUGAAGAGCAAUGUUUGUCGUUGUGCUCUCCGAAAAGGUCAUUAUCCAUAUGUUAUCAAAGCCUAGCUAAUCCUGUUGCAAAUGCAAAUUGGAAAUUGAUGCAAGACUGGCAAGAAGAUCUUCAAGUGAAUAUUCCUUUGAGGGAAUGGGAACAUAUCUUUAAUGCUCAUACGGGACUAACUACAUGCACUGCGCAUUUUGAAGCAGCAAGGAAAAUAAUGUACAGGUGGUACAUGGUUCCUGGACGUCUACAUACUAUGUUCCCUGUAACAUUGGCCAUGUGUUGGCGCUGUCACACAGAUAAAGGCACCAUGUUACAUGUCUGGUGGACAUGCGAAGCGGUGAAUGUAUUAUGGAAGGAUAUUGAAAGAAUAAUAAAACAAGUUACUAACCAGCAGUUAUCUCAUGAUCCAAAAACAAUACUCCUUUGAUCACUUCCAACCAAUAUCCCUAAAGUGACCAAGAAAAUUAUACUCCUUUUACUGAGCACAGUGUCUAUACUAAUUGCUAGACACUGGAAGACUAAUGAUUUACCUUCGUUACAGGAAAAUGAAGAUGUGAUGUCUUCUACAGCAGAAUAUAAACUUUUAAUGUGGAACCAAAGAAAAAUAGGAAAACAGAGCCCCCAAACAACCCAAAUGUGGCGAACAUACCUUCAAUCUACUAACGAGAAUUAGCCAAGUACACUUAGAUAACAUAUGAGCAAUUUAAUGUUUUUAUAUAAAAACAUCUAAAAUUUAAGUUAUGUUAAUACGACACCAUAGAAUACUUUAAUUUGGUAUAUGUCUGAGCAAGAAAUAUAAACUAAUAGAUCAUUAAUCUGGUAUUAUAUCAGCUAUAUUGCAUUAAAAUGAGGCGUUUACACGUGCAAAUUAUUAAUUGAGAAUCUUUUUUGACUAUAUACACCGAGAUAAAAAAAUGGAGUUCAUAUUUCAAAUAAGCUAUUGAGUUCAUAUUAAACUAAUCAUGAUUCCAACCCAGAACAUGGAAACCUUGAUCAUAUGUAGAUAAAGAAUAUAUAUUAGACAAUUAGCAAUUGGUUUACAUGUUAGCUGUAUCAGGAAACCUUUGUCCCCCCCUCCCUUCAAUGGGGGUUUCUUCCUUUUUUUCCCCUGCCCCUGCCCCCCUUUGUUUUGUUUUUUUUCUCUUUCUUUUCUUUUUCUCUUUCGUAACAAAGAGGCUCAGAUUAAAUAAGUUCUUGUUAAAAUAAUAAAUAACUUCUUACUAGCUGUUCCCUGGUUAGUAAGGAGAAACGUCAAAGAGAAUCACUUUUCUGAAUAUUCUAGAUUAAAAGGAAUGUUGUAAUAUAUAAUUUUAACAGUAAAAUAUGUUAAAAAUAGAUAUGUAUCAACUGAGUAAUACAAUUUUCAUUAUAAGUAGAAUACAAGAUCUUAUUUCAAGAUAUGUAAUGCGAUAACCGUGCCUUCUUUUGUACCCUUCCCUUUUUUUCUUUCUGUAUCCCCUACUUUAUAUUAUGAAAUACAAUAAAAAGUAAAUUACAAAAAAAGAAUUGUUAGUCCAAUAAAAAAGGUAUCAUAGCAUACUGCAAUACUGGUAUUUUGGCAUUCUGUAUAUAUAUCACUCUAUAUUUGUGUAGUCUAUCAGAACUAAGAUCCUGUGGGACUUUCAGAUACAGACAGGCAAGCAGGUAUUGGCCAUCCAACCUGACAUUGUGAUGGUAGGCAAGGAACGGUACACUUCAGUUGUGGUGGAUGUUUUAAUACCCAGUGACCAUAACAUCAGGAAGAAGGAACAUGAGCAGGAGCUAGAAAUGUUGCAGAAAGUGAAGGCAGUAGUAGUCCCAGUUGUGAUAGGAGCACUUGAGGCUGUGACCCUCUUGUUGGGAAAGUGGCUUCUGCAGAUUCCAGGUGGGAAAUCUGAGAUCACCUGCAAUCUGCUGUCUAGAAGAGUGCAGUUCUAGGAACAGGUAAAUUACAGUGCAGGACCCUCAGUUUCCAGGGCCUCUGGAAGAGGACCCGCGAAUUGAGUAAGCACAAAAAUCAAACGUAGGAAGCUGACUGGACUAAAGAGGACAAUGGCCAAAGCUUGUGACAUCUCUCUCCAUCAGCCCACUUGAGCUCCACAAUGUAUAAUUAUAAGUAUAUGCACACUAAGGUUCUCCCAGGUGUCUGAGGUAUGUCCAGAUGUGCUAGUCACACCUGUGGGCCUCUUCUUAUUUCUUCACCACAGUUCCUUCAGACAGGGUGAGUCAGGGGUCAUCAGAGGAAUGUUUCUUUAUUAGUUACACAGCGCUAAAGGUGUCAGAGGUAGGGGAAACUGACAUGUAAGUUAAGGUUCGACCAACAUGAGGUUUUGGUUUACACAAGGAUGAUAGAAGACAGGAGAAUAACUUAAAAGUAAGAAAGAUCAACAUAACAAAUACUGUAAUAAGCAAAAAGUAUAAUAUUUUCUUGAUUAGCAGGUUUAGCCAUGUACCCAAUCCAAAGGUCCAAUUCCAUUCCUCAAAGAACCCAGUAUCUUGCUUAAUGUCAUUUACUAGGUUAUGCAGGUCUUGUAUGUGUUCAUGGAUCGUGGUCCCAUGAUCUGAGAGUUUAAAACAACACAUACCCUUGACGGCCUCACAUCCUAAAUCAUUCUUCAGUAAUAGUAGUCAAUGGCUGCCCUGUUUUCAAGGAUUGCUUUCUUAUUAGCUUGGGCAUCCAUUAGAAGCCCUUGUAAGGUCUGGGAGUUUGCAUUUAAACCUUUUGCAAGGGAGCAGGCAAGGGCAUUUAUUACUUUAGCAUUGUACACUGCCAGUCCGGGGACUCCUACCAAGGAAACUGCUAGAGCAAUAAAAAAAAAUUAGUUGGUCCAUUGACCAUCAUAGGGUAUAGAUCAGUGAUGGCGAACCUAUGGCACGCGUGCCACAGGUGGCACGCCGGGCCCUCUCUGUGGGCACGCGGCCAUAGGUUCACCAUCAAUGCAGAGUAGGCACAUGCCUGCCCAAAAUGGCAGGCGCCUACUCUGCUUUCUUGUCGGCAGGACCGGAAGCAGGGGGAGGGAUCGAGGAAGCAGCUCUCCUGUCCUCCCUCGAGCUGUGUGGAGCGUUGCCGCACGUUACCAUGGCAACGCUCCACACAGCAUUGCACUGGAGGACAGGAGAGCUGCAGACUCCUGUCCUACAUACUUACCACCACCAGACCACCAGGGAUGGCUGUGUUCCCCACCUCCCUUUUACUAAAGGUAAGAAGAAGGGAGGGGGGAAUACUGAAUCAAUAUGCUUUAAAAAAAAAAAGUUUUUAAUGUAUCUUCAAACCCCCCCAACACAGCACCCCUACCCCUCCCCCCAACACAGCACCACCCCAACACAGCACCCCUCCUCCCAACACAGCACGCCCACCCCUCCCCCCAACACAACACCCCUCCCCCCAACACAACACCCCUACCACCCCAACACUGCACCCUUGCCCCCCACACAGCACCCCUGCCCCCCACACACCUACACCUACACAUAGCACCCCUGCCCCCACACACAGCACCCCUACCCCCACACAGUACCGUGUCCCCACACCCUGCCCCCACACACAGCACCCCUGCCCCCCCCCACACAACACAGCACCUUACACACAAACACAUACACUGCACCCCUCAAUGCAGUAUAUGUGUGUGUAUUCAGCAGUCUUUAUGUAUUCAGCAGUGUGUGUGUGUAUUCAGCAGACUGUGUGUGUAUGUAUUCAGCAGUGUGUGUAUUCAACGGACUGUAUGUGUGUAUGUUUGUGUGUGUGUGUGUAUUUAGCGGACUGUAUGUGUAUUUAGAAGUCUGUCGGUGUGUGUAUGUAUUAAGCAGUCGGUGUGUGAAUGUGUUCAGCUGUCUGUGUGUAUGCAUUGCAUUUCUUGGAGAUACUAAUAAAUAUAAGCUUAAUUUUAUCUAUUUAUAUCAUUAUUUAAAAUUUGUAUCAUUGAACUCUCUGUUGUGUUCUUCUUUUAAAACAAAAGAUGUUAACUAGUUCUGACAACUGUACAAGUUGUUUUUUCUAAACUUAAACCUCAGUAUUCAUGUUUAAUUGCCUUGUUGGCACUUUAAGGAAAAACAAGUUGGCAUGUAUUGCGGUUUGGGCACUCGGGCUCAGAAAGGUUCGCCAUCACUGGUAUAGAUGGUAACAGGAUUGUCUAGGACAGGGGUAGGCAACCUUUCAGCAACACUGUGCCGAAAUAGAAUUGUGAUGUCCCAUAGAGUGCCGGCCUUAUUUUUUUUAAAUUGAGGUGUGCAUGUUGCCAUAUUCUGCUUGUUAUUUAUACUGCAGUUGCUUUGUAUCAUUGUAUUUGUGUGUAUAUGAGCUAUUAUAUUGUAUAUGUUCAUGAGUAGUGGGGUUGUGUGCAUGUAUGUGGAUUGUUGGUGGUGUUGAGUUUGUGGGGUUUGUGUGUGUGUUUGUGUGUGGGCUGUUCGUAUUAUUUGUAUGAGGGCAGGGCCGGACUGGUGAUACAAAGCAGCCCUGGAAAAAAAAUCUAUGCCAGCCACUUAAGUCAUUGCGCCAUAUAUUGUCGCAUGUAAUAUGUAAGGCUAUGUCUUGCCACCCCAGAUGAGUAACUAUAUAUAUAUAUAUAUAUAUAUAUAUAUAAAAAAUAUAUCAAAUAUAUAUUGCUUUUUCUAAUAUAAAAUAUUGGUCCUUUCAGAGUAAAAUGUUGAAUUAUACAGUUAACAUACUCACAUGCAGACACAGACAGACAAUCUCACUGACACACACAAGCUCAUUGAUACACAGCCUCAUCGACAAACAAACAAUCUCACUGACAUACAUAAGCUCAUUGACAUAAAAACACAAGCUCACUCACUAGCAGGCGCACACACACAUGCAAGCAAGCUCACUCACUAGCAGGCGCGCACACACACACAUAGCUUAAUGUAGUGGUUCUGGUGUCUAUAGCCUGUCAAUGCAGGCUUUUCAAUGUAAACACUGACUUUUCUGAGAAAAGGCAGUGUUUACAUUGCUUCCUGGUGACAUCUCUAAUGACACACACAGACGGUCACUAGAUGUGCUUCCUGUGUCAGUGCUGCACAGUGUGCAGCACCUACAUUCAGGGCCUUCACACUCUGGAGGCCUUGAACGUUUCACAUAGAGAUACAUUGAUUCAAUGCAUCUCUAUGAGGAGAUGCUGAUUGGUGUAAUGUGUUGCAGCCAAUCCUAUGGCAAAGCAUUGGAUCGGCUGAGAUCAUCAAGCUUGAUGAUCUCAGCCAUAGAAGCAGGACCAGUCAAGGGGAGACCAGCACGGCGUAAAAAAAAACCAAACAAAAAAAGUGAGUAAAACACUAUUUUUAAAACACACACACAGACAAACACCAUGACAGACACACACAAACAUACCAUGACAGACACACCCACACCUUGACAGACAGACACACACACACACACACUCACUCACACUGACAGACUGACUAACAUAAUGACUACCUGUGGGCGACCGGCCAGGGAAUCGUGCAGGGCAGACAGCUGUCUGUGCUGGCGGCCGCAGGGGGAGCUGUGCUUGCGGCCGCAGGGGGAGCUGUGCUGUCUCUGCUCUGCUCCCCAGCGUGCAGCUUAAUGAGACCGGGGCCGGAAUAGGACAUCAUAUUCCAGCCCCCGGUCUCAUUAAGUAGUGCGCGAGGGCUGGGGAGCAGAGCAGAGACCGCGCAGCUUCCCGUGCAGCCACCAUCACAGCUCCCCCUGCGGCUGCCAUCACAGAUCCCCCUGCGGCUGCCAGCACAAACAGCUGUCUGCCCGGCCCCAGGUGCCGACGGCCCAAUGGGAAAUUUCCAGUCUGGCCCUGUAUGAGGGGAGGGUUAUUCUGCAUCUCUGUGUAUAUCUAGCAGCGUGGGUGGCUUCCCUAGGUUCCCGUGGAUCAGGCUGGCCAGGUACAGUUCAAGGACAGGAGCUGCAACAGAAGCUGUGGGCUCCUCUACUACAGUGUGGAUUCCUAUUCACAAGUGCUGGGAGGAAGUGAUCUGAGGUCACUUCCUCUACAUGCUGCAAUGCAUAAUUUGAGGAUUGUCCUUCACCAUAUUUUCGUAUUAGCAGAUAAGUUUCACUGGGACUCCUGAUAGGUCAGAGCCUGUUUGGCUCUAGCAGCUUUGAGUGCCGUGCAAAGACACCUUGAGUGCUGUGCAUGGCACACGUGCCAUAGGUUCCCUGGUCUAUGACAAUGUCUGUAGCAUUGUCCAAAAGAGCUACUGCUCUUACAGAAGAAGGGGCACUUCUGGCACCUGGGUCUACCCUGGUAGAGUAGUAGGCAUUAGGCCUUUGUUUACCACCAUGGUAAAGGACAGCUGUUGCAUAACCAGCCUGCUCGGUGCAAAACAGGGUGAAGGGUUUCCUGUAAUCUGGAAGACCCAGUGCCUGGAGCUGAGAUGACAAGGAACUUAAAAGGUUUAAAAUGCUUCUUCUGCUUCAGGAGUUAAAUGAAAGGGUUCACAGGUGAGGCAGUCAUACAAGGGCUGCGUGUAGAUUGCCAAAGAGUGAAGCCAUGGACGACAAUAGGAGACUAGGCCAAGGAAUGUACGUAGUUGGGCUAGGCUGCGUGGAGGGUUAAUCUUUUGAACUGCAUGUUUCCUGUCUUCUGUGAAAUGCUUUGUACCAUGGGAAAUAUAAUGUCCUAAAAAGAUAACAGUGGGAACACAUGCCUGCAGUUUGGCCUUGGUAGCUUUGCAUCCUGCUUGUGUCAAGAAUUUUAGUAACGACAGGGUGUACUCUGUACAGGAUUCCUGAUCCGGGCAACAUCAAAGCAUAUCAUCAACAUAUUGUAACAACACAACAUCAUCUGCCCUUGGCCAGGCUUCUAGAAUGUUGGCCAUUGCCAUGCUAUACAUGGUAGAUGAUUUUUGAGCACCUUGGGGCAAAACCGUCCAUAUCUAUUGUUUGUGUUUAUGUGUAAAUGCAAAAGGAAAUUGACUGUCUGAGUGCAAGGGAACAGAUAAGAAUGCAUUUGCCAGGUCAAUGACAAUGGUAAACACGUUUGACGAAGGUGAAAUCUGUGACAACAGUGUAUGAAGGUUGGGGGGAAUUAGUUGGGUCAUGGCAUUAAUUACCCUUAAAUCAUGUACCAUACGAUAAACCACAGGUUUUCCUUUCUCCUGUUUCUUCUUAACAGGGUACAGGGGGUAUUACAAGUGGAGGUGGUGGCAACAAUUACACCUGCCUGUAAUAAUUCAUGUAUAGAUGUGAAAUGGCAUCAUCUUGUGCUGGACUAAGGGGAUAUUGUUUUUGAAAGGGAGGGGUAGCUCCUGGUAGGAGAUUCAUCAGCAUAUCUGGAACCAUCUGGCACAGAGAGUCUGCCUCUGUCUGUCUUCCCUGUGGCCGAUAAGGAGUCAGGGACUGAGGUCAGGUCAACAGUAGGUUUAGUCAUGGGGCUGGGCAGAGUAAGAUUAGCUAGGAAGAUUAGCAAGGGGGAUUAGCAAGGGGUAGCAAGCAAUUGUCCUCUAGGGGCAGGAACAAUGAUACCUCUCCAGACGGACUGAACGGAAUGUUGGCAUUAAUAGCAAACAGAAUAUCACUGCCUAGCAAAUUGACAGGGGCUUUAGGGCUGACAAGCAAUCUGGUAACGAGAGAGUUCGAGUCAUGGAGCUUAAGCUUCAUCUGGUGGUUGAGUGAGAUAUCUGCUGGGUGUCCAUCUACACAUGACAGGACAUCACUUGAUUUUUCAUAGGGAAAAUGUAUUUUUCCUGUACAACAGAACGGACUGCCCCAGUGUCUAGAAGAAAUGGGACUAUUCUAUCACCUGUUAAUGUAACAUUAACAGUAGGAGAGGGUCCAGCUACAUCAGGAAUAGUUAAAGCGUGCAGGGACACUGGGUUGUCAAUUUCCUAUUGGGGCAGGGGUGGUGGGAGUGUCACAUCAGUCAUCGGAACUGUUCGGCUGGUUCCUACUUUUAGGAGGACAUUUACAGUUGCGCUUAAUAUGUCCCUUUCUCCCACAAUUCCAACACUCAACCUGUCUCCUUUCUGCACAUGAUCUGGGUGCAGUUAAUGCCGUAAGGGGUGUACUCCUUUUCCUUUUAAAUUAGGUUGACUUUUACACCCAUUGCUACUUUGCCUAGGGAGCCAUAGUCGAGGUUUCUCCACUCUGGGCUAGCAUUUUCGAGACCUGUCCUUAUGUAGGCGUGGAGACCAUCCAUACAUUUUUUCAUCAAAAGGUGGGUGGAAGUCACUUCAGUUUCUGUAUAGCCUAAUGAUUCCCAUGCUAUUUGUAACCUGACAAAAAAACUUUUCUACAGAUUCAUCCUUUCCCUCUAUGAUUUCUCCCAGUUUAUGAGCUAACUCCUCAGUUUUUACUUUUGCCCAAUCUUUAAGGGCAGUAACAUAAGAUUUCCCUGAAGCCAACUUAGAUCUAAACCAGUAUUCAGUUUUAGGGGAUUGGUUUCGCCCAUUUCCACUUUUUAAAUCCUCUUCAUGGACAUCCGUAUACUGUGCAAUUAUUCUUGUCAGAUAUUUGCUUUAAGUCCGCUCAAGUGCACUGGUAAGGAUCUUGGAUUGUGGACAGGGUUUGGACUAAAGCUAAUGGGGCUUUUUCCACAUCUGGCAACUGUUUAAUUAUAGUCAGUUGUUCACUUGGGGUCCAUGGUUUUUACUCUUCUGUGAUCCUUGUUUGCAGGUAGCACGGUCCUCUAGGGCAAAAACAUGCACAGUCCUUGUAAUUGCAUAUACUCAGGCACUUUAUUUUGUAAAUCCACACAGGAUACAGCAGUAAAUGAAAACAAAUGUAACAGAAAACCCUAUAAACAAAAAACUAGCUCGUCUGAGCACUAACUGACAUUAGGUUCCCUAUCUCUCAGGGUUAAACUAAACAAAACAAUAUUGCACCAACCUUAUUAGAGAGCAACACUCUGCUAGCUAGCCUGUUGCUUUCGUUUCUGCACUCUCAGUGCUCCAAGCCAGCCUUGCCCUGACUGCUUUCCUUUCUGCACUCCCAGUGCUCCAAGCCAGCCUUGCCCUGACUGCUUUGCUUUCUGCACUCCCAGUGCUCCAAGCCAGCCUUGCCCUGACUGCUUUCCUUUCUGCACUCUCAGUGCUCCAAGCCAGUCUUGACUGCUUCCUCCUGCACUCCCAGUGCUCCAAGCCAGCCCUGACUGCUUCCUUUCUGCACUCCCAGUGCCUAGUCUUCUUGACUAUCUGGAGAGAACAGCCUCUCUCUCUCCUACCUGCUUCCUGGGAGGAAGCCAGCAAUCCCUCUCCAUUACCUGCCUAGCAGGGAGGAGUUUAUUCCCACUGCAACAGCUCAUUAACUGCAGCUGAGCAGUGGGUUGGAGACGAUCCAAAAAACCCUGGCCUGGAUCCAUGUCUCCCCAGAAACCCACUAAACCGUGGAGUGGAGCAUUGGCCCACCCUUCUCUCCAAAUGCUCCACCCCAGGGGCCCAUAACUAAACAAAGCUUUGGGUUGUGCAACACAAAAAACUACACCUACUUCCCCUGGGGUUAAAAGGCCUAUCUGCCUUCACUUUAUCACACUUCCCACCGCUACACCCAGGAUUCACCCUGACUAGGACUCUUGCCCUGUCCCUGUUUAACUUUAGUCUGUUUAGGGGUGCCUCCAUUUGCUCCCUCUUGUUCUGGUUCAAUGUCACCAGGGUAAUUAUAAGUUUUUCCACUACGUAGUACAACUGGAAAAAAGAGUCUAUGGGAGUCUAUGGGACUUGAUCACUUGAUUCACCUCAGGGUGAAUUAAAGUAUAUAAAGGGGGCCAAUGAAACCAAAAUCCCCUCCAUUUUUCCUCCCACCAGGGAUUUGUCCAUUCUCACCUAGGGCAAGUCUAUUAUGGCUUUUGGGUGACCGGGUUUACGGUAGAUAUGGAGGUCUGUGCUUUAGGGACCGACUUAUGGACGGUUCCUUCCUUCAGGCUCCCUUUUGGGGUUUUCCUGAUUAGAUGACCCUAAGGGUCAAACAUUGAUAAUAAGGAAUUCCUUUCUUAGUGGUUUCUCUACAACCACAUUUAGUUAAUCCAAAUGCAGUGUCAUGCCAUUUUUGGGCUACCUCUACCAAAUUAUUAUCUUCUAACCAUCCUCUAUAAUUGGCCAUGAUCUGGGGGUCCAAGGUGCCCUCUGAGGGCAUACCAGCUUUCUUUGAUAAUUUAUUCAUUUUCUUAGUAGCUCCUUUUUCUUGAUGAUUGGGUACUUUGUAAGUUACCCAUCUUAUAUCCUAUAAGGAGUAAUUACUUCCUUAACCAAGACAAGACUGUUUAAACACUUAGGACCACUGCAGUGGAAUUUUCACAGUAUUUGUCUUCUUUUUAAAAAUUCUUUAUUUUUGAGUGCACAAAGAAAAAGCAGUUACAUAUGUGUUUGCCAUGCCCCAACAGCAUGUACACACAAUAUAAAAAUGAACAUCGAUUUAGUAAGGCAUGGCAUGGGAACACAAUGCACUUUUUUAAUAUAAUGACAUGAAGACUAGUUUGAAACAUAACUAGUUGUGAAGUGAGAACUAAGAAUGCAAGAAACAACAUAAUAUGGUAGUUGGUCAGCAUUAUUCACAAACUACACAUUUUAGAAUUUAUGUAGAGUAGGAGACCUGUUAGUCAAAGCUGUCUAAGCAUUAAGAAACAAUAGGCUACUAUAUUCAAGAAUAAAGUAAUAGAUUAAACUGUGUUCCUACAACUUUUACAUAGUAGAUGCUGUUAGUAAGAUAACGGCACAAGGGUACAGAGGACCUCGUCAACAAGUUGCCUAGCACUGCAUUUCACUAUCUAUUCUUUUUUUUUUUGCAUAUUAAUACAAACAGGCCUGAGUUACCCCAACGGCAAUCCUCAGGCUUCGUGAAACAUUGGAUAAGGCAUGCACUUUUUGUUUGUUUGCUAUAAACAGGAGAUAAACAGGGUGGUACAAUUCCUAGGUAGGUCUAUCCAGCUGAAAAUCAUGGUGCAGGCGUACAGUGGCGAGUUUGGCUAGGAGUCUUGCUAGGUUAGGCCUAGGUCAGGCUCCGCCCACGUUUCUCCCCUGCCGUCACCAGUGGGGUAGACCUAAUGCGCAUGCACAGCAAUGGCUGCACUUGCAUUAGGAUUUCCCCAUAGGAAGAUCUGACACUGGAGGUCAUCAUACAGCGCACGAGGACGUCCUGCGUCAGAUAACGGACCAAAGGUCCGUUUGGAUUCCGGAAGCCCUCUUGUGGCUGUCUGGUAGACAGCCACCGAGGGCAGAAUUAGAACGUGGUUUCCAUUCCUGGUUCACGAGAGUGCAUUUUCUUGUCCUGUUUUUGAUAUUCCCGGUAUUUUGAUCUUGGCUAUUCCUGACUAUUCUGGUUUCCCUGACUUGGCUUGUUAAAUGAUAUUGUGAUAUUGUGUAAUCUGGCUUCCUUGACCUCGGCUGUCCCUUGACCAUUCUCUGUCUUUAACGUAUUAGUCCGGCCAUUUUAAGGACCGGUUUACAUUCUAUCCUUUUCUGUUCUGUCUAUGUAGAUGUUGCAUAGUUCUGCGUGCUGGACCACACUAGCAGUCGUGACACAGACUCCUUCCAAACUGCUGUGAAGGACUGGAAUAAAAAAUCUUAUACAUACAGUGCCUUGCAAAAGUAUUCACCCCCUUAACUUUUUACCUGUUUUGUUACAUUACAGCCUUAAGUUCAAUGUUUUAUUAAUCUGAAUUUUAUGUGAUGGAUCAGAACACAAUAGUCUAAGUUGGUGAAGUGAAAUGAGAAAAAUAAAUACAUAAAACUAUUUUUUAGGAAUAUAAAACAGGAAAUUGGCAUGUGCGUAUGAUAUUUAUAGAGCGCUGUCAAAUUCCGCAGCGUUUUACAAUGGGUGGACGAACAGACAUGUAGUUGUAACCAGACAAGUUAGACACACAGGAACAGAGGGGUUGAGGGCCCUGCUCAAUGAGCUUACAUGCUAGAGGGAGUGGGGUAAAAUGACACAAAAAGGUAAGGAUAGUAUUAGACUAGUGACAGUUGCAGAAGAGGAAUCAGUCAGGAGCUAUUAACAGUUUAAUUGAUACACUUUUAUGAAGAAGUGGGUUUUUAACGAUUUUUUGAAGGAGUGGAGACUGGGUGAGCAUCUAACGGAGGAGGGAAGCGAGUUCCACAGGAACGGUGCAGCCCUCGAGAAAUCUUGAAGGCGAGCAUCAGAGGUGGGAGUACGGACAGAAGAUAGACGUAAGUCUUCAGCAGAUCGUAAGGGCCUAGACGGGACAUACUUGUGUAUAAGGGAGGAUAGAUAGGUGGGAGCAGCAUUAUGUAGAGAUUUGAAAGCAAGAACCAGAAUUUUAAAUUGAGCUCUAUAUUUUAUAGGAAGCCAAUGUAGGGACUGACAGAAGGGUGAGGCAUGGGAGGUGCGGGCGGACAGGAAGAUGAGCCUCGCCGCCGCAUUCAUUAUGGACUGUAAUGGCACAAGUUGGGAGCACGUAACACCACUGAGAAGCGGAUUACAGUAGUCAAGGCGAGAAAGGACAGUGGAAUGGACCAACACCUUAGUCACAUCUGGCGUUAAGUAGGGGCGGAUGCGCGCAAUGUUUUUGAGAUGGAAAUGACAGGAUUUGGCGAUAGAUUGAACAUGAGGCUUGAAGGAGAGGUCGGAGUCAAAGAGAACACCUAGGCAGCGAGCCUGCGUGGUGGAGCUGAUGGUAGCACCGUUGACUUGGAGGCAGACAGACACAGGAGUAACAACACUUGAGGGAGGAAAGACCAGAAUUUCAGUUUUGGUCAAGUUUAGUUUAAGGAAGUGGGCAGCCAUCCAGUUAGAAACGGCAGAGAGGCAGUCAGAGACACUAGUCAAGAGGGACUGGGAGAGAUCAGGAGAGGACAGGUAGAUUUGCGUGUCAUUUGCACAGAAAUGAUAUUGGAAGCCAAAGGAGCUAAUGAGUUUACCAAGGGAGGCAGUAUAGAUGGAGAACAUUGGAAAAAGAGAAAGAAAACUGCGCUAAAUUGCCACAAUAAAAUUAUAAGAAAGGCAGCAAUCCUCAAAGGGGAGUCCCCAAUAAUCCCCUAAUGAUAACAAAUAGCAAGAACAAACAUAGAUAUAAGGAUGCGCCUAAAACUUGAUAAAAUAAAAGACUAAAUUAGUCAGAUAAAAUACAGAAUAAAAUAAGUAAUAAAACAAUAGUCCAAUAAAAUAGGCUUAUCACAGUCCGUGAGGGUAGGUCCCACUUGUAAAGGAAUAUUCUUUAGGGUGUAGGUGGGAUCAUAUCUUCAAAUGUUGAGAAUUCAGCAUAUGUGGAGAGAAAAAUAAAAACAGGACUCCAAUGGCACAGUAGAUCGGUGUAUAAAAUAAAUAUAAAGGUAUUGGACUAUUGUUUUAUUACUUAUUUUAUUCUGUAUUUUAUCUGACUAAUUUAGUCUUUUAUUUUAUCAAGUUUUAGGCGCAUCCUUAUAUCUAUGUUUAUAGAUGGAGAACAGUAGGGGACCAAGGACUGAACCUUGGGGGGGACCAACAGAGAGGAAUUGGGGAGAAGAAGCAGAGCCAGAGAAAGAAACACUGAAAGUGCGCUGGGAGAGGUAGGAGGAGCACCAGGAGAGAGCAAUAUCUUGUAGACCGAUAUUGCGGAGGAUGAGAAGAAGCUGUUGAUGAUCAACAGUGUCAAAAGCCGCAGACAGGUCAAGGAGAAUUAGGAUAGAGUAGUGACCACGAGAUUUUGCAGCGAGUAGAUCAUUGAAUACUUUGGUCAGUGCCGUUUCCACAGAGUGCUUAGCGCGGAAACCAGACUGAAGCGGGUCUAGCAGAGAGUUGGACUCGAGAAAGUCUGUCAAUCUGGCAUACACAAUUUUUUUCAAGGAUCUUGGAUGCAAAAGGCAGUAGCGAGAUAGGACGAUAGUUGGAUGGGGAGUUAGGGUCAAGAUUGGGCUUCUUUAGAAUUGGGGUUAUAGUUGCAUGUUUGAAGGGCAAUGGAAAUAUACCAGAGGAGAGAGAGAGAUUGAGAAUUUUAGUGAGAGGUGGAGAAAGAGAAGAAGACAGAGUAUGGAUGAGAUGUGAGGGAAUUGGAUCUAGGGAGCAGGUGGUGGGGCGGGAGGACUGGAGCAGAGCAGAAACCUCUUCCAAUGUAGUGGGUGCGAAUGAACAUAGAACAGCAGAGGGAGUGAAGUAAGGGGAAGAAGAAAGGUGAGAGAUCUCUUCUCUGAUUGUAGAGAUCUUGUCAGUGAAGUGAGUUGCAAAGUCUGAGGCGGUCAAGUUAGUAGGUGGAGGAGGAACAGCAGGGCGAAGAAGAGAGUUAAAUGUGUGAAAUAGUCGUUUGGGUUCGCGGGAGAGUGUGGUUAUGAGGGUAUUGAAGUAAUUAACUUUUGCAGAGGAAAGAGCCAAGCUGUAUGAGCUCAGCAUAAAUGAUGCAAGUCCUCAAACAUUUCAUGUUAAUUCCAGGUUGUGAGGCAACAAAACACAAAAAAUGCCAAGGGGGGUGAAUACUUUUGCAAGGCACUGUGUAUAUAUGUGUGUGUAUGUGUAUAUGUAUAUAUAUAUAUGUAUAAUAUAGACAAAGAGUCCUUGCACUCAUACUGACCCUAUUAAAUUGCAAUGCCGGGUGCUUAAAUAGCCACAGCCCAAAAAAUAUAAAUAUAGAAAAGGGGGAAUUCUUUAUUGGGAGUUAUUCCAUAAAAUCUAAGUUUCAGCCCACGUCCAGGGCUUUCCUCAGGAUCAACAAACAAUAUAGCACUAACAUAAGUGCUGUAAUAUAUAGCCAAUAAGUUGAAAGUUAAACUCACAGCAUGUGAUCCCUGUUAAUCGCUCAGCGUCUUCCUGUUGCAUGUGCGCAUGCGUGUACACACCUUACCCAGUAAAAAGUAAAAGUAAAAAGAGCAUGACCCCGUUGUCCUAGCAACAAUCUAAUGCCCCGGGCGCCUUAGUAACAACUAUAAACAAAAGAGAUAUAGUGCUGGAAAUAGGAUAUAUAAGAAACGAAUCAUACUAGUGAAGUGUGUCUGACUGGUAAGGAUGAUUGCCGUGUGUACUAUAACCCAUAAUUAAGGAUGUGUGAAUAGUGCUUUUCAAAGAGUUUAUGCUAGGACAUAAUUCUAGGACAUCAAUGACAGUCCCAUAAAAUAAUUAUAAACGUGUAAAGACUGAAAAAAGUCAGAAGUGCCAUGAUAUUGAUUAAAGUGCCAUAAGAUACAGUACAUAAGAUAUACCGUAUUUUUCGCUCCAUAAGACGCACUUUUUUUCCCCUCAAAAGUGAGGGGAAAUGUCUGUGCGUCUUAUGGAGCGAAUUUGUAGCUUUACUUACCAGUCUUGUAGCGUGGGCCGGCAGGACAGCGCGCUCCGCGGUACAGGAAGUUCAGGUUCCGGAUUCCGGCGGGACUGAAAGGAAGUGUGCACUUCCUUUCAGUCCCGCCGGAAACCGGAACCUGAACUUGAAGUUCCUGUACCGCGGAGCGUGCUGUGAAGCCGGCCCACGCUACAAGACAGGUAAGUAAUUAUGUGACAAGGGGAGGGGGACACUAUGGAACAAGGGGAGGGAGGGACACUAUGGAACAAGGGGAGGGAGGGACACUAUGGAACAAGGGGAGGGACACUGUGAGACAAGGAAGGGGGACCCUGUGAGACAGGGGAGGGACACUGUGGGACAAGGGAGGGACACUGUGAUCAAGGGGAGGGACACUGUGGACAAGGAGAGGGUGGGACACUAUGUGACAAGGGGAGGGGGACACUAUGGGACAAGGAGAGGGUGGGACACUAUGGGACAAGGAGAGGGUGGGACAAGGAGAGGGUGGGACACUAUGGGACAAGGGGAGGGGGACACUAUGGGACAAGGGGAGGGGGACACUAUGGGACAAGGAGAGGGUGGGACAAGGAGAGGGUGGGACACUAUGGGACAAGGGGAGGGGGACACUAUGGGACAAGGAGAGGGUGGGACACUAUGGGACAAGGGGAGGGUGGGACACUAUGGGACAAGGGGAGGGGUGGACACUAUGGGAGGGAAAGUGUACUAUGGGACAAGGGGGGGAACACUAUGGGAUGAGAACACUAUUGGACAAGGGGAGGAGGGGUUAACAAUCACUAUGGGACAAAGGAAAGGGGGGUUAAAAUAACUAUGGGACAGGGGAGGGGGGUUAAAGAUCAUUAUGGGACAGGAGAGGGGAGUGGGUGGUAAGGAACAAAAAAUUCCUUAAAAAAAAAAUAUUCUGAACAAACUGUCCCAUAGUAAGAAACACUAUGGAACAGUUCAGAAUAUUUUUUUUUCUGGGUUUCCUCCUCUAAAAGUAGGUGCGUCUUAUGGUGAGGUGCGUCUUAUGGAGCGAAAAAUACGGUACAUUGCAAGAAAAGCCUUUAUCUAAAAUUGUGCCGUGAAAAGUGAAACAGUGCAAAAAGGCAACAAAAUUACCACAAUGUAAACAAGUAUAGACCAUUACCAGUGGGCUGAAUGUAUAGCAAGCAUUAAAAAUUCACAACUCAAUCAUAAAAUUCCAUAAAAAUACAAAUAAAAAAAGUACAAAUGCAGAUAAAAGCUUAUACUAAAGUAAAGAACUAUGAUGGAGAACCGAACUAGCUUUAUUAUAAAAGGUUAAAGAAAUUAAAGUUAACAUAAAACCCCUGAAUGGUUAAAGUGUUAAGAUUUUAAACCCAUUUCAUUUCCUUUCUGCCUAGUAAUUGGGGAGGUCCCCACCUCGCCAAGGGGGGAAACUAUUUCUAUGGCAUGAAAUUUUAAACAACUGGGAUCUUUGUUGUGGGUUAAAAAGUGUUUAGACACUGAAUGGUUAAUGAAGCCCUUUUUGAUGUUUCUACAGUGUUCUGUGGUACAUAUUUUUAGGCUACUAGUAGUCACACCAACAUACUGUAAUUUAAAUGGACAUUCUAAUAAAUAAAUUCCAUGUUUUGAAUUACAAGUAAUAAACUAAUUUUUAUUGUGCUCCUGAGGAGAAUAUCUAGAUUUAAAUGUUACAAUUUUUAUAUUCUCUUUGUUAGUACCUCUGCAUGCUAUGCAUUUUUCAUUUAUAAAACCCUUUCUGUGCAUUAAAAAAAGUGUUUUUCUCGCUGGUUUUUUUUAGUAUAGUUUUUAGUGAGACACAUUUUUAGGUUGCCUACCUCCUCCUCCUGGUACUCCUGCUGCCGCUGGGGAGCGAGACCGGUUGCCUCCUCUCCCUGGGGUUCCAACUGCAGUUGGGGAUCUGUGCCGGUUGCCCAGCAUCCUUGUAGGGCCGGUGGAGAGACCUUGAUCCCAUCUCCACCUGCCAUCUGUGCAUCUUCCCAGGACCAGUCUAUGAGGUCCCUCAACAUUUGAGAAGAAGGACCACCUGCCUCCGCACCCGGUAACUCUGGCCGCUGCUGGGGAUCUGGGACGGCUGCCCAGCAUCCCGGUGGGAAUGGUGGAGAGACCUCGGUCCCAUCUCCACCUGCCUGUUGGGGUUCCUCACAGGACCAGUCUAUGAGGACCCCUACUUCGGGUACCUCUUGUGGCUGCUGGGGAAGGAGACCGGUUGUCUCUUCCCUCUGCACGGUGCACUGCCGCUGGGGAGGGAGGUCGCUGCUCUCCUCUCCAUGUGACUCUGUCUGCUGCUGGGGACAGAGACCGGCUGUCCCGAGCCCCAGUCUCCACAAUCUGAACUCACAUUCCCGUGCUGCUUGGUUCUCCUCAUCCAACUCUUCCAUGAUACGGAUGAUCACCUCUUCCAAAGGGUCUGGGCUAUACUCGACUAGCCGCCUCUUUACCUCCGUGAUGUAAGCUUCGCCCUCAAAUAGGUCAUGUUUGCUUGGCCCCACUCUGGGCCACUAGAUUCUGCUGUAGACAGGGGUGCUGCACGAGUGCUAGCGUCGCCCUCACUUGUAGCUCCGUAACGCUACUGGUGUCUCUGGGCUGCUUCUCCUCACACUAGGACGCCAUCCCCCACUUGUCACUAAAUGUGACGGACCCUCUGGCACUCCGACCGAGUACCUCCGUCAAUCGAUGCUCCUAGUGCUUGCCGAGGACUCCAAGCACUCCAACCGACACCAUCAGCACUGCAGACUUAUCCCAUCCCCCAAGCAUGAGCCAAGGCGUCAAGAAAGGGGCAGAGAGUGUUUGAAAAUAUGACAGUUAUUAAGGGUUUAAACUGGUGUUUUAAGGGGGGGGGGAGGGGGUGUCAAACAAAGUCCAUAAAACAGGGGUUUUCUUCACACUCUGCAUCCGAAGUGCGUUGCAAAACUGCAGAUCCUUUGUCAGAGCAUUUAAAGGGCCAGAACCAGUCUAAUAAAAUCCACUAUGCCCAAAUAACGUAUUUAAAGGGCAAAAUCUGCCAGGGACCAUAGUCAUAAGGCAAUAGGCUGGUAAUUAGUCCUCUCUAGGCACAAGUGGCGAAGGGCACUUCGUCACAGGGACGCUUUUGAGCCAUGGGGGAUAAUGGCAAAUACUAAAAUCUAUAAAUGUGUUUAUAUGUACUUUAAAAAAAAAAAAAAAAAAAAGGUUUUAGUGAGCAGCUGGUUGUUGUCUAUAUAGAUUUCUUAAUCUAAAAAUAGUACCUUACUGGUGCUAAUAUCUCCGGUAUAAGAUAAUAUUUGACCUCCAUUGUGAGUUGGAACCAGAUAAAACUCUCGUCCCAGUCGACCAUGAAAAGGUUAGCGUAACUUGGCGCUACCCUCGUCCCCAUGGCGAUCCCUUUUUGUUGUAAGAAAAAAGAAUCGUAAAACCAAAAAUAGUUGUUUCUUAGAAUGAUGUUCAGGUCCUCCAAAAAAAAACUAAUAAGAGCCUGGGGUGUGUUUCCAUAUUUUUCUAAAAUCCUUUUAAUGGCAGCACAUCCAAGGUCAUAGGGUAUAAUAGUGUAGAGGGACUGGACAUCACUGGUAACUAAAAUGUAGCUUGGUUUUCAUUCAAAUUUAUUUAAAAUUUGUAGGAGACUCAUACUGUCUUUUAGGAAGGAUCUGAUCUUGGAGACAUGGGGUUGAAGACGAGUGUCUAGGUAUUCAGAAAGGUUUGAUAGAACUGAAUUUAUACCCGAUACUAUAGGGCGGCCUGGAGUUUUUUUUUCUCAAUUUUUGUGAAUCUUGGGUAAGAAGUAUAUCACUGGUAUAGUACGGUAUGUUACAGUUACAAGAAAAAGUAUGUGAACCCUUUGGAAUGAUAUGGAUUUCUGCACAAAUUGGUCAUAAAAUGUGAUCUGAUCAUCAUCUAAGUCACAACAAUAGACAAUCACAGUCUGCUUAAACUAAUAACACACAAAGAAUGAAAUGUUGCCAUGUUUUUAUUGAACACACCAUGUAAACAUUCACAGUGCAGGUGGAAAAAGUAUGUGAACCCCUAGACUAAUGACAUCUCCAAGAGCUAAUUGGAGUGAGAUGUCAGCCAACUGGAGUCCAAUCAAUGAGAUGAGAUUGGAGGUGUUGGUUACAGCUGCCCUGCCCUAUAAAAAACACACACCAGUUCUGGGUUUGCUUUUCACAAGAAGCAUUGCCUGAUGUGAAUGAUGCCUCGCACAAAAGAGCUCUCAGAAGACCUACCAUUAAGAAUUGUUGACUUGCAUAAAGCUGGAAAGGGUUAUAAAAGUAUCUCCAAAAGCCUUGCUGUUCAUCAGUCCACGGUAAGACAAAUUGUCUAUAAAUGGAGAAAGUUCAGCACUGCUGCUACUGUCCCUAGGAGUGGCCGUCCUGUAAAGAUGACUGCAAGAGCACAGCGCAGACUGUUCAAUGAGGUGAAGAAGAAUCCUAGAGUGUCAGCUAAAGACUUACAAAAGUCACUGGCAAAUGCUAAUAUCCCUGUUAGUGAAUCUACAAUACGUAAAACACUAAACAAGAAUGGAUUUAAUGGAGGAUACCACAGAGGAAGCCACUGCUGUCCAAACAAAACAUUGCUGCACGUUUACAGUUUGCACAAGAGCACCUGGAUGUUCUACAGCAGUACUGGCAAAAUAGUCUGUGGACAGAUGAAACCAAAGUUGAGUUGUUUGGAAGAAACACACAACACUAUGUGUGGUGAAAAAAAGGCACAGCACACCAACAUCAAAACCUCAUCCCAACUGUGAAGUAUGGUGGUGGGGGCAUCAUGGUUUGGGGCUGCUUUGCUGCGUCAGGGCCUGGACGGAUUGCUAUCAUCGAAGGAAAAAUGAAUUCCCAAGUUUUUCAAGACAUUUUGCAGGAGAACUUAAGGCCAUCUGUCUACCAGCUGAAGCUCAACAGAAGAUGGGUGUUGCAACAGAACAAUGACCCAAAGCAUAGAAGUAAAUCAACAACAGAAUGGCUUAAACAGAAGAAAAUACGCCCUCUGAAGUGGCCCAGUCAGAGUCCUGACCUCAACCCGAUUGAGAUGCUGUGGUAUGACCUCAAGAAAGCGAUUCACACCAGAUAUCCCAAGAAUAUUGCUGAACUGAAACAGUUCUGUAAAGAGGAAAGGUCAAGAAUUACUCCUGACCGUUGUGCACGUCUGAUCUGCAACUACAGGAAACGUUUGGUUGAACUUAUUGCUGCCAAAGGAGGUUCAACCAGUUAUUAAAUCCAAGGGUUCACAUACAUUUUCCACCUGCACUGUGAAUGUUUACAUGGUGUGUUCAAAAAAAAACAUGGACACAUUUUAUUCUUUGUGUGUUAUUAGUUUAAGCAGACUGUGAUUGUCUAUUUUUGUGACUUACAUGAUGAUCAGAUCACAUUUUAUGACCAAUUUGUGCAGAAAUCCAUAUCAUUCCAAAGGGUUCACAUACUUUUUCUUGCAACUGUAUGUUCAUGUACAUGUACUCGUUUCUGUUAAUAUUUUGUUGUUCUAAUCCCUUCUUUAAAAAUGUGUCUAAAAUAUAUGUAAUAUCGGACGUGGGAUUUAAUUAGUUUUUGAUAUACAGAGGUAUCAUUCAGCUUAGAAAAGGCUUUGUUCAUGUACAUGUCCAUGAUGAGAAGGACUAGACCACCCCCCUUAUCAGCAGGUUUUAUUCUCUAAAGCCAUCUUUUCUUUUUUUGUCAAAUUAAACGUAUCAAAUUUGUUAUUGGUGAUUUUCCUUAGAUCUCUGGUUACUAGCUUUUCGAGCAUGUCCAAGCUACUGGAUGUAAAAUUAGGAUAAAAGGUAGAAGUGGGUUUAAGUUUGGUGUACUGUCCUGAAGAUUUUCAUUGUUAGAAAAUGAUGAUAGUAGAACCCGUGGGUUAUUUCUGCCCUUGGAACUUGUCUGAUAACUCCUUAUUUUUGUAGGGAGGAUACAAAUUCCUUAAAGGACCACUAUAGGCACCCAGACCACUUCAACUUAAUGAAGUGGCCUGGGUGCCAGGUCCAUCACGGGUUAACCCUGCCUGCUGUAAACAUAGCAGUUUCAGAGAAACUUCUAUGUUUAUAUAUGGGUUAAUCCAGACUCUAGUGGCUGUCUCAUUGACAGUCGCUAGAGGCGCUUCUGCGCUUCUCACUGUGAUUUUCACAGUGAGAAGACGCCAGCGUCCAUAGGAAAGCAUUGAAAAUGCUUUCCUAUGGACUGACUGAAUGCGCGCGGGUCUUGCCGCGCAUGUGCAUUCAGCCGAUGAAGGAAGAGGAGAGUCCCCAGCAUCGAGGGAGCCCGGCGCUGGAGAAAGAUAAGUGAUUAACCCCUACCUACUCCUAGAGCCUGGCGGGAGGGGGGCCAUGAUGGUGGGGAGGGGACCUAUUAAUACUAGAGUGCCAGGAAAUCGAGUUUGUUUUCCUGGCACUAUAGUGGUCCUUUAAGUGCAAUACUUUUUUCCUUGUCUGCUGGUCAUUUGAAAGGAUCUUUAAGUAUAAGUCCUGAAUAAUUCUAGAAGAUAUCCUUGUUUGGUUAUCUAGAGGACCCAUCUGUCGUUUGUGUCUAUUGGAAUAGGAGCAGACGUGCCCCUGCUCCUCCUGACUUGGCGUGUAUGGAAUUCUUAGAGGAGGUAAUACAUCUGGAUUUGUCUCCUCUGAUGCCAGACUGUCCACAUCUUCUGUAUUAUCCCGGAAAGACUAGUAUUCUGAUGCACUUUUGGGACAAAAGGACCAUUUUGGUCUCCGAUCUUGGGGUAGAAAGGCCAUUCUGCCUUCUCCUGCUCUCUUUAUGCAGCCAUCCAAGUUCUUGCCAAACAACAUAUCGCCAUGAAAGGGUAAGGCACAGAAGCAGUUCUUGGAGGAGGCUUCUGCUGAACAGGAUCUAAGCCAUAAUGCUCUCCUUGCUGAUACAGAAAAGGCCAUGUUUUUGGCUAAACUUCUGACCAAAUCCACUAAUGCUUCUGAAGAGAAAUCAAUAGCAUCUUUAAAUGAUCCUGCAUUAUCUACAGGGAGAGUGGUGUGCUCUGCUAAUCUGACAACAGCGUCAUCCACUUUAGGAGCAGAAUCCCAUGUCUCACAAUCCUUACUCUCAAAUGGAUAGAGAAGGGAAAAUCUGCUUUUAGGAGAGGACUUCUUGUCUGACCAUUCAUCUUUAAUAAUGUCACUUAUAGUCUCAUGAACAGGAAAAGUAGCCCUUUUUCUCCUUAGGUCUGAGAAGUAGCGGCUAGAAGUGGAAGACUCCUCUUUGGUGGAGUCCUUUAGGUUUAGUGAUUUACACACUCUGGAAAUCAGAUGAUCUAUCACUGCAAGUUCAAGGAAAUCUGGUUCUCGCACAAAUGAACGCUGGUGCUUACACGUUCGCACAAAUAAACACCGGCACUUGCACAUUUGGACAAAUGCCGGCGUAUGCGGGUUCUCAUGAACGAAUAUAAAAAUGAAAAGGCCAGCGUCUGCUUGAUCAUACAAACGAAAACUGGCGCUUGUGCAUUUGUAUGGCGAAAGACCUGAAACAAAUAGACUUACCUUAUUUCAGUGAAAACCUCUCCCGAACAAUUCAAAGAGCCCUGAAAGGAUUAAGAAGGUAAAAAUUUAGAUGGAUAAUCCUGCUAUGCUUACUUUAUUCUCCAGUAAGCCUGAAUAAAAUUCUUCAAAGAUGCUAACUUUCUGCUAUCCCUCGGGUCACCACAGUUAUGUGGUCAUGUCAUAAUCUUGCUACCCCUAGGGUUUCAGCAAAAAAACCACUAAAAAGGUUUCUAGAGGGGGUCACCUUUGCGCAGGGCCGUGUACUGGAGACUUCCCGAGGAGAGAGGCUGAACUCCCAAGGGGCCAGAGGAAGAGACUAUCCUCAGGUAAGCCAUAAAAGAAAAAUCUUUUAGUCCUGAAAUAAAUAAGUUGGUCCUAUAGGGUUUGAAUUGAAAACUUCCCUGCCUCACAUCAGAACAGCGCUCAGUCCACCUUCAGCGGAUCCAGUUGCAAUAAGCAAGGUAGCCUUCUGGACAACAUUUAAUGCUGCACAUUUGCCGCACUCCCCUCCCCACCCCACCCCACCCCAUGCUCAUCAUUGAAUUUAUAGAUAUACUCUCGCCUACAAAUCUAGAUAAUCAGAAAUAACAGCUGCAAAUCAAAUAAUCAGCACACUCCUAUACUCUCUUAACCCCUAACACUCACUCUCAAUCUUCCUCACCUCUGCAUGAAACUGUGAAACUCUUGUGAGGAUAUUUAUGGGGUGAUAUUAAAAAUAAUAUUUUCAUUAAAAUGAUCAAAAAUGUAUUUAAUAAUUUUUAUUAUAUCAAAAAUUUAAAUUGUGGCACUGUUCCCCGAUUAAUUAUUUAAAGCUGAGAAUUACCCAAUAUUUUAAUAUCUCACACAGUAAUCACAAAUUAAUUAUAAAAAUAUAAUUUAUUGUGACAAUAAUAUUAAUAUAUGUAACACGCGUGACAAUCAGUGAAUAUUUAGGUAUAACAUAAGUAUACAAUAUGGCAGUGGUUUAAUACAAUAUAGACAGAUAAAAGCAACAGUUAUAUGCAACAGUUGUCAAUAAGAUUUAUGAUAGGAUACUUCACUUAGAAACCAAAUUCACAGAGAAGACAGAAUUUCACAGCAGUACAGCUUAAAGCAAUAAAAACUUUGGCUGACAGUCAAAUCACACUGAAUUAACUCUUCCACUGCUGGCUACAAUCCUCAUAGGCACAAUAUUCUAUUAUAUUGCAAUUUUUAUAGCUAUAAUAGUUCUCAUAUCAGGUCAUUUACCAUUCCUAAGUCCAUCCAAUAAGAAUAAUUCUAACCAGAAUUUUAACUUUCCUUAAUUUCAUAACAAGUCAAUACCUCUGGAUAAAAAGUUGGUAUGCUAACAUUUGACAAAUUUACCGUUAAUAUAUCGUUAUUUUUAUUCCACCUGCAGGAAUGAGAUUUUUAUAUCCAUAUGUUCCUUAGCUAAUUAUAAUUUCUAAUGAUUGAAAUCUGACCAAUAUUUAUCCAGAUAUAUAUUCCUGCUAUUAGUAAAAAUGCUAUUUAAUUAAAUAAAACCAGCAUAAUUACCAGUUAUGUUGUAGAUUUUCUAUUAGAUGUGUAGAUAUGUCCCAGGAAUUUUGAAUGCAAGUAUGAUGAGAGAAUUGUAUGAGUUCUGAAGUUGUGUUAGUUGGAAAAGUAUAAAGAGUUAGGUGUGUCCAGCUCUGGCUCGAGAUGUCAGAUCUUAGCUGUUAGAUGUGAGUCCAAGAGCGUGUUUCAGAGUGUGGGAGUCUUGAGUACAGUCCAAGAGUGUAAUUGUCUCCCAGUGUGUUUCAGAGAGUCUCCUCUCUUCCCUUUGUCCUUACUUUUUAAAGGGGAAAUUCUCUGCAUGUCACUAGUCGAUAGGACCAAUAGGGAACUGUGGGUGUGUCUUCCCUACAGACUAUCAUCUAGAUAUUGGUCAGUAGGUGGUGCAAUUACAUCACCGAAAAUUCUUGUCAGGGGUUCCAUUUACCUUUUUGUAUAAUGCGUUAACUGAAUAUGGUGAUGCGUUUUACGUCAUUUGGUUAUCUUUUUAUGGCUACUGUUUGUCAAAGAACCUGUCAUCUUCAAAGGGUUUUCCCAGUCUGGCAUAUACCUUUAAAUUUAUCUUUCUGACAUGUCUAAACUCUUCUUCACAUCUUUUCUUAAAAUGGAACUAGUAAUAUUCUGUUAGUUUUUUUUAUUUUUUAAGUAAAAUUAAUUACUUAAUGUUAGCUGUCAUUUGGUGUCUGGUUUUCUUGUGUGAAACUGUGUUUAAGAUUACACAUAUUCCACUAACAUUAGUAAAUAAUAUGAUAUUUCUUCAUUGAUAUUAUAUCCAUGAGUAUUCUCAAUUCUUAACAUAGUACUAAUUAUAUACGAUUAAUAUAAUAAUAGUAAAUCAUAAGUGGAUAUUGUGUGUUCAUGUGAGUGUGUGUGUGUGUGUGUGUAUAUAUAUAUAUAUUGUGAUAAAGUGAAGGCAGAUAGGCCUAUAACAUUUAACCCCAGGGGGAGUAUGUGUAGGAUGUGUUGUAGGCAACACAAAACACUGUUUAGUUAUGGGCCCCUGGGGUGGAGCAUUUGGAGAGAAGGGUGGGCCAAUGCUCCACUCCACAGUUUAGUGGUUUUCUGGGGAGACAUGGAUCCAGGCCAGGGUUUUUUGGAUCGUCUCCAACCCACUGCUCAGCUGCAGUUAAUGAGCUGUUGCAGUGGGAAUAAACUCCUCCCUGCUAGACAGGUAAAGGAGAGGGAUUGCUGGCUUCCUCCCAGGAAGCAGGUAGGAGAGAGAGGCUGUUCUCUCCAGAUAGUCAAGAAGACUGGCUUGGAGCACUGGGAGUGCAGAAAGGAAAGCAGUCAGGGCAAGGCUGGCUUGGAGCACUGGGAGUGCAGAAAGCAAAGCAGUCAGGGCAAGGCUGGCUUGGAGCACUGGGAGUGCAGAAAGGAAAGCAACAGGUUAGAUAGCAGAGCGUUGCUCUCUAAUAAGGUUGGUGCAAUAUUGUGUUUAGUUUAACCCUGAGAGAUAGGGAACCUAAAGUGAGUUAGUGCUCAGACCGAGCUAGGUUUUUGUUUAUAGGGUUUUCUGUUACAUUUAUGUUUUCAUUUUACUGCUGUAUCCUGUGUGAACUUACAAAUAAAGUGCCUGGAGUAUAUGAAUUACAAGGACUGUGCAUGUUUUUGCCCUAGAGGACCGUGCUACCUGCUGACAAGGAUCACAAUAUGGUGGAGAAUGCGGGCAUAGUAGCACAUUGAGGAUCUGUGGGUGUGCCAGUCAUUCAGUAGUCUGCUUGAGGACUUUUUAUUUUUGCAGACCUGUUUAAAAAAAAACAAAAAAAACCAACAAAUUAGUAGCCCUGUACCUUUAAGACUCUUAUCUGCUUGGUGCUAUAAUGGAGGAUCUGCUGAAGGCUCUGGUACAGGCAACCACUGUACAACAAGAGGCAACUGCUAUACAACAAAACACCAACCAUUUCCUGGCUGCACAGAUUAAGAACCUGAGGGAUGCUCAGCAGGAGCACAGAGCUGCACUUACUGAGGUUUUGCAGAUUGCCCCCUGCAGUGAGAGUGGGGACAAGGGACCCCAUAACCAAGCUACUGACAUCCUGCAUAAGAUGACAGAGGCAGUAGAAGAAGUCUUUCGCAAGCUGAAAAGCAUGGAGGCAACAAAGCGUGAUGUUGAGAAACACACAGAAGAGAGAGAACCGGAAUUAAAAGGCAAGAAGGAUAAAAUUGAUCCUGAAAGCAGUGAUAAUGUGGAAGAUGGUGAUCAUCCAUGGAACAAAAAGCAAAAGAGAAAAAGGUAGUAACGAGACCAGCAAAUCUAAAGGAAAACCUGGAAUUGUCAAGAGGCAGUGAUGGUGACAGUGAUGACAUGCGCCAAAGUAAGAGAGGUCAGAGGAAUCAGAAGGGAGAACGAGACAAACUGAUUACUGAAGUUGACAAGUGUUUAUUUGAAAAUCAAAAUGUUGCAGCUUCACAUGAAAGCCUCAAACUUGCUCUGUAUGGCAUCACAACAGAUAAAGCGAUCUUGGGAAAAGAGUUGGAAACAAAAAUAUUUUCAUGCUCAGAAACUGAAUCUUGCAUGUUUCAAGAGAAUGCUGGAAAGACAUUUGAAAACAGAAAGGUACUGAUAAAUCUUCCGAAGGUAACAGAAGAAGAAUCAGAGGAUGAUGAGGAUUAUGUUCCUUCAGAAGACUGGCAAAAGGAAAUAAUGGUUGGUUCCAUGUUCCAGGCAGAGAUUCCAGUUGGCAUCUGCAAGUACAAGGAAACUGCAAGAGUGUAUGAAAAUGAUGACCAGUUAUUGUGGAACCCAGAUUUUAUAGUGGAAACAAGAGUUCUAGAUUUUCUAAAUGAAGCGUCCAGAAGGACUGGUGAAGAGAAGGGAAUAGAUGCAAUUCCAGGGGGAUCACAUAUAAAAGAAAACGAAGCAGGAGCCCCUGAUGUACACCCAAGUGAACAAGUUAAAGGCAUGAAAAGCAGACUGACUUGGGGAGUCAGAGAAGACAACUGCAAAAGAGCUGAGCUUAAUGGAGAGAAGCAAAGCACCCCAGCUGAGUAUAGCAAUGCGGUGCACUGUUUAGUAGCCGAGGCUACCCAAGAUUGUCGACCAGUUGUUGAACAGUUUGGCAGAGAAAAGAAAGGCAAAGUAGCCGCUUCUGAUCUAAGCCAAGAGAGAGCGACAGUUACAGAACCAAGCUGUGAUGAUAAGAUGGGCACGUCCGCAGCUAAGCCAGACCAAGGCGAACGUCACAAAGUAGGUGACAUUGGCGUAGCAGAAUUAAAUAUUUCAAAGACAUCUGGUAUUGCUACAAAGACUUUGAAUGAAUUUUCGGGAGCCGUAGAACUUGAUCUGCUGGCAAAGACUACUGCUACACGGCCUGGGCGCACUGACUACCUGGAACACCUGCCAGACUCUGGGAGCACAAUCAUGGAAUCAAAGGUGGAACUCGGAAUUCCUGAACGGCUGUUUGAUACCGGGGCUGUCAUGACCCAGCCAGAGGCCAUGACUGCGUCUCCGGAUAACCCCGAGGGAGCAGGGAGACUUCCAGACAGCCCAGAGGAAAGCUUUUCUGACAGUGAGAGGUGGCCACUCAAGGCAGAGCAUUCGGAGGAUACCCCUGGGGAGGAAGCCAGGCAAAGGAGAGAUGAGCUAAGCCGGGAGUCUGGGCCUCAGGUAGAACAGCGCUCCAUGCCAAGCCAGGCCGAGCAUGAUGGGAUGGAGCUGGGAUCAAAGGCUGCAUUCGUGCAGGAGGAGGAUGCUCUAGACAGCCUCCUUGGCCAACCCCCUGAGGAUAUAGAGAUGAGACCUGUAGCAUUAACCGUAGAAAGCAAUGAAGGUUCCCAGGGAUUCACAGAACAGAUGGAGGAUGUUGUGAAGCCCUUCAUGGAGGGACCGGUUCCAGUGAAGGAUGAGCUGGUGACAGAACCAGGUCUUGAAGAGGUUGAGCAUCCAGCAAAUUCGUCUUAUGAAACAACUGGACGUAUAAGUGAUAUAGAAAAGUUAGUUACACACAAAGCUUUUGUAAAGUUUGCGUUUGAAAGUAACUCGGACAUUGAGAGACUAUCAAACCAGAAGCUGCUGUGGAUGUGGAAGCAGAUGAUGAUUCAGAGGAACUUGGCUACUAAAGAGCCACACAGUACUGAUCAUCAGCCUAGAUCUGCUAGCAACCAAAUAAGCGGGGAAACUGGAAAGAAAGGACAAAAUCUGAUACCGAGUCUGGGACAAUAUAAUGGUAGAACGUACCCAAAAGUCCCAUUACAGCUACGAGACCAGACUGAGAAACUCAGAUGCUUCAACUGCCACAUGCAUGGACAUAUUACAUAUAACUGUCCUGAGAGUGAAGAGCCAAUACAGUGUGACAUAGGAAUAAGGGGUCUGCAUAGGAUAGUAUUGCCUUGCUUAAAGAUGUGUAUGGUGACUGGUGGUGUUACAGCACAGCUAAAAGUGGUGAUGGUGGUAGGGAAGAGUGCACAAGCACUAAUUAAUUCAGGGAGUGAGGCUACUUUGAAAAGUGUUCUGCUCCAGCCAGUGAUUGAUAUUGUGGGUACACAUGGUGACACCCGCACAUACCCCAUGGCAGAGGUAGAGUUUGUCACAGAGGUAGUAAAAGUUAAAUGCCCUGUAGUACAUGUAGCUCAAACGCAAGAGCGUAUAAGUAAGGCCAGUUUUCUGAGUACCUUGGACCUGGUCAUAAGGUAUUGGCAGGUUCCCCUGACAGAGAAAGCAAAGGGAAGGACAGCUUUUUCUACUCCCAAGGGGUUAUGGCAACAUAAAGUACUGCCAUUCAGGUUGCAUAGUGCACCAGCCCCCUUUCUGCAUAUGAAUAGGAUACUUUGGCCCAACAGAGAGAAUGCAGCUGCCUACCUUGGUGAUGUGGCGAUUCACAGGAUGGACUUGGAAGCACACCUAAUGAGGGUCCAGUUACUUGUGAAUAAUGUAAGGGCUGCCGGUCUGACCGCUAACACUAAGUGUUAUCCAGGAUUUGAGGCAGCUAACUAUUUGGGUUAUCCACUUGGGUGGGGGUUCCUUAAACUACAAGGGAGCAAGGUAGCAGCCAUCUGCAAUAGGCCACUUCCUGUAACUGAGGAGCAAGUCGGGGCUGGUACAGCCCUAGGUGACGUGAUUGUUCAUGGUUUGUGUUCUAAGGUCGCUCGACCCGAUGGGUCUGAGCUGGGGGGGAGGAUAUGUGAUAAAGUGAAGGCAGAUAGGCCUUUUAACCCCAGGGGAAGAAAGUGUAGUUUGUGUGUUGCACAACACAAAACACUGUUUAGUUAUGGGCCCCUGGGGUGGAGCAUUUGGAGAGAAGGGUGGGCCAAUGCUCCACUCCACAGUUUAGUGGUUUUCUGGGGAGACAUGGAUCCAGGCCAGGGUUUUUUGGAUCGUCUCCAACCCACUGCUCAGCUGCAGUUAAUGAGCUGUUGCAGUGGGAAUAAACUCCUCCCUGCUAGACAGGUAAAGGAGAGGGAUUGCUGGCUUCCUCCCAGGAAGCAGGUAGGAGAGAGAGGCUGUUCUCUCCAGAUAGUCAAGAAGACUGGCUUGGAGCACUGGGAGUGCAGAAAGGAAAGCAGUCAGGGCAAGGCUGGCUUGGAGCACUGGGAGUGCAGAAAGCAAAGCAGUCAGGGCAAGGCUGGCUUGGAGCACUGGGAGUGCAGAAAGGAAAGCAACAGGUUAGAUAGCAGAGCGUUGCUCUCUAAUAAGGUUGGUGCAAUAUUGUGUUUAGUUUAACCCUGAGAGAUAGGGAACCUAAAGUGAGUUAGUGCUCAGACCGAGCUAGGUUUUUGUUUAUAGGGUUUUCUGUUACAUUUAUGUUUUCAUUUUACUGCUGUAUCCUGUGUGAACUUACAAAUAAAGUGCCUGGAGUAUAUGAAUUACAAGGACUGUGCAUGUUUUUGCCCUAGAGGACCGUGCUACCUGCUGACAAGGAUCACAAUAUAAAAAUAUAUAUAUAUAUAUAUAUAUAUAUAUGUCUCAGGGUUGUAGCAUUCCAACCCUGUUUUGCUUUAGACAUCAUGCCUUAUCUCAGGUUUUAUCUCUAAUGUUUACAUUAGUCACAUUCCUUAGCUCAGACCUGAAUGACUAGAGUUACAGAAAGAAAACUCUUGAGUCUGUCUUAGCCUUUUAAUACAAAAUGCAGUCACCUCUAUUCUGAGCUUAGUUAAUUCUGAGGUGACUUACAGUAUAUACUUUUAAUUUCUAUCUUCAAACCAAAUGUCUGCCAGUAUAAAUAUACUGACACCCUAGCCCAGAUCUCUACAUCACUGCAUCUCUUCUCUGUGCCUCUCCUGGCCUACUCCCAACUUCCAAGUUUUUUUUUUUCUGGAAGUACAUACCCAUCUGAGUAAUGCUCUAUCUUGUCCUCCUCUUAUUUUCCCUUUUCUCCCUCAGUAUCAAAAUCUCUCCUUAUACCUACUUCCCUCAACCUCCACAUUAACCCCUCUAUGCUGCACUCCCCACUUCUUACAUAUCAUGCCUCAUCAUCAUUUCUCUAUUCUCUCCAUCCUUCUCCCUCUCAAUCUCAUCCCAGACUCCAUCUAUGUAAAACCUGCUCACACCUUCUGUCUCUAUCACUCCUCCUGCUUCUAGCAGCUGGUAAUGUCUCUCCCAAACCAGGGCACAUUGUCUCCUCUACUCACACGAAUUUAACCAGAAACCACACAAACCUCAUCCCAAUACCAUGCCGUCUAUCCCCAUCUACCCCCCCCCCCACCCCCAGUCAUCCUAGGCUUUUUAUUGAACAUUUUUCUUCCUGGCUACCCAAUUUCCUCUCCUCCUCUCCUCUAGCUCUCCUUAACUCAUUUUUGGGGACUUUAAUAACCUAAUAUCCCAAUCAACAACCCUAACCACACUGAUGCCUCUCGUCUGCUCUCUAUUACCGCUCCUCCUUUGGACUCACACAGUGGUCUAAUUCAUCAUCUCAUAGACUCAUAGAGCAGGAAAGAGGAGGAAACAAUUUUGACCUCAUCUUCACCAAUGUCCGUACCACCUCUAAUCUCUCCAAUGUUCCAUUUCCUUCCUUCUGUCCUUAAGGGGUUUAAAGGUUGAACUCUAUGGUCUUUAGUCUUUUUUUUUCAACAUAGAUUAUUAUGAAUGCCUCAUUUAGUGUCUCCUUCCUUAUUUCUUGUACCACCUCCCCAUCACUGCCUGUCUCUGUUGGUGUUACGUGGCACUGUCACGCACAAAGUAGGGACUUUAUUGUCUUAUGUAUUUUCCCUAUGACAUAAGAAAUGGAACGGACUUAAGCUCCUCCUUGUGUCAGAGACAGUCAAGCGUAGGAAAAAUACAUAAGACAAAGCAGUCCCUACUUUGUUUUAUGUUUUCAAGAAAACUAAAUCAAAAAUAAAUAAAAGAAGAACAGAUUCUAAGAGAGUAAUGUGGGGAUAUUUAUGGGAUGAUAAUUUUAAGCAAUCGAGAAUUGCCCACUAUUUCAAUUCUCUUAGAUCUUAGAGAUCGUUUAUCAUGUAAGUGAAAAGUAUUCCAUCAAUAAUUCACAAUUUGUUAUAAAAAUAGAUUUAUUUUUAUUGUAACAAAUUAACAAUAUUAUUAGGCAACAUGUAUGAUAAUAAUCAGUGAAUAUUUAGGAUAACAUAGUAUACAAUACAAUGGAAUGGGUAUACACGUUUCAAUGGCUAAACAGCAUUUUCUGUCAAGACUUACAUGAUUUAUGAGGGUAUCCUUACAGACAAAAAGUGAAGCUUUUCACAGCGAAGGGCCAUAAAACCCUGGCUAACAGUUAGAUCAACUGAGUAACCCUUUCAAUGCUGGCUAGAUCCCCCUAGGCAUAUAGUAUCCUAUUCUCCUGUGAUUUUCAAUUAAAAUACAUUUAAACCAGCUCAUUAGUCAUUUCCUGGAACCAUCCAAUAAGAAUAAUCUACCAGAUUUUUAAGCAGAAUUUUAAUUUGUCUAAAAGAUAUCUUAUCUUAUAUUAGAGCAAAUCAAUACACCUGGAUAAAAACAGCGCUAUGCUAACACGUGAUAAUAUCACAUUAAUAUAUAAUUAUUCUUAAUUCCACCUGCAGAAUGAAAUGUUUCUAACUAUAUAUUCUUUAGUUAACUAAGAUUUCUUAAAUAUGGAAAUCUGACCGUGAUUUAUCCAGUCAUAUAUCAUGCUAUUAGUAAAUUUUAAUUAAUUUAAAUUAAUUAAAUAAAACCAGCAUAAUUACCAGUUAUGUAGAUAUUCUCAUCAGAUGAGUAGGUAGUCCCAGAAACUUGAUUGGUUGUAUGGAAGUGCGUGAGUGAUAGAGAAAGUGGUGUUGGAAAGUGUUAAGAGUUUAAAAGAGUUGAGUGUCCAUGAGUUUAAGAGUAGAGUGUUAGUCCCAGAUAUUGUCCUGGAUUUCUCUGCAUGUCCGAGUUGGAGUCCCCCAAACUUCAACUCCCUCUCUCUGUAUCUCUCUGUAUACUCUCCUGAUGACGAUUUUGACGUCAUUUGGCUUAUCUAAAAUGACUACCAUAACUUAGAUUUGCUGUCAGUUCAAAGCGUUUGUCCCAGUCUUUGUGGCAUCUACUUUGAUCGUAACUUGUAAAAUUGACAGUUCUAAACUCAAUUUCACCCCUUUCUUACAAUGGUACCUUAUAAAACUUAGAAAGUAAAAUCAAUUACUUAGUCUUCUCUGUCACUAGUGUCUGUGUUUAGAUAAUGCAUCUAUUCCAUUAACAUUUUAGACAGAGCGUUCCAUCCCCCUUGCUUCAUUGCUUAUCUUGGUUUGUUUAUGUAAUACAUUCCUCAGCUCAAGCAAGUGGCUAGUUACUGAAAGUAAGAAGAAACCAAGGAAAUUAUGUGUUUUUGUUAUCCUGAAGAUAGCAAAAUGGAGUCCGCUUUGUUCUGAGUGGCUGUGGCAAUAUACACUUUUAAUUUCUUUUUAGCACAAAAUGUCUGUUGAUGUAAAUAUUCUGACAUAAUCCCCCUUAGUGACCUUUCAUGGCAAUGAAUAAUUUAGCCUAUGAAUAGGCACUAUAGAAGUUAGCAGACAUAUUGUGCACUCACAUCAUUUCUACUGACGUAGGCCCGUGCGUGGAAUUAAUAUGUUUGUAUAUUUUUGUACCUGUAAGAGCUUUGAACUUUACUUAGUACAAUCAACCAUAACAUUAUUAUUAACAUAGUACAUUGUUUUCAUUUGAAAAAUGUUUUUGGGAGUUACAUAUGGUAUGGUCAAUAAAAAGCAAAUCUCCAUACGUUCCGGAUCAAUUAAGAGAGGUCUAGCGCUCCCCAUCUCAAAGGCCAGAUUUAAUUGCAUAGGCUCAAUUGUCUCUCCAUCCAAAUUGGCAAGCAUUGCAUGAACAAUAGCCUUGGAUACAAAGUACAGAUGUAUGCGUCCCCCUGCCAAUUCAAUCAUUCCAGUUUGCACUUCGGCAAGAAAAGCAAGUGUGUGGAACAAUAUUGGGUCAUGCAGAAAUAGAAGUUCACGCUUAAAUAAGUCAUGACUUUGGUGCAACUCAGUGGAUUUGGCAAUUAACUCCGAAUGCCAAUUUGUUGUAACAACUGUGUCUUGCACAAUAGUUAACACGUCUUGGAGAAGUGUUCUUUGCUGGUUUAUCACCUGAUGAAUAUCGUUAAUGUGUUGCUUUAGCGCAUAGAUUUCCAUAUCCAGCUUUUGGACAGUAAUAGAGUUGGCUGCAGACAUUCCAGUUGCGACAACUGCACCGACAGUGGCACAAACUAAUGCAACAAUUAUGGCGGUGAGGAACCUUUUGGGUCGGUUGCUCAUCGAAAUAGUACUGGAUACAAAUGGUUUCCGGGCUUGCUCCAAGAUGUUUCGCACACGGUCCUGUGCUCUUUGGAGGUGCAUCUGGUACCAAGUCUGUAACUCAGGAAGCUGCAUCGAUGAAAUGUUGUAUGCCUUCUCGAUGGAAAUCUUGGGGUCCAAGCUGACGAACACACGUCGGGUCAGGAUCCUCUUCUCUGUUAAGAUGAACCCUGGUGUCUCUUGAAUCAGGAUGCCGGAGGAUGGUCCCAUCUCUGCGAUCGGGUCGGUCCGUAGCUCUUGGCACAGGAGCAGUACGAUCCAGAAACACGCCACAUCCUUCUUGGACAUCUUUCGACAGUCACGGAUCAGGAACUCGUUUCAGACUUAUCUACUAAUGAUUCAAGGUUUGUUAAGCAUACAAACUUAUAACAGUGUGACACCACUUGGCCUAGGACAACACAUUUUUACGAUUCAUCAACAUAUGUAUUCUCUCUAAUUCUAUUUUUAUACUUCAUCCCUCACUACAUUUAUUACUGACUAUUCAGUAAUUCGCCUAUAGCAGCUAAACAAGCUAGUAACCUGCUUAGAAAAUGUAGUUAUUGGAUGGCAAGGAAAUGGUUAAUGACAUGAACGUACAUGAGAUCAUGGCACAUCACAACAUUUCACAUCAUACUAUACCACGUGAAUCAAGCAUUCAUCCAGGUUAGUCGUUCAUCCUUCUGCGUCCGAAUCCACACCUAUAAUCCUUAAUUGAGAUUUAGGAUGACAAGCAUGCAACUGGUUAAUGUGAACCCACUUUUCAAUAAAAUCACCAUCCUUAGAAAUUUUUAUCUUAUACGCUACAGGGGAAAUUUUGUCAAUGAUGACAUAUGGCCCUUUCCAAGAAGUUAAAAAUGUAUUUUCCUUAACUUGACUUUGCACAAAGUUAUACAGAUAUACUUGAUCUGUAAUCUCAUAUUCCUUUUUCGUGGUUUUUAAAUCGUAAUAGGUCUUAACCCCUGUGGCUGCUUUUUCUAGAUUCUUUUGGGCAAAAGCAAACGCAUGCUGUAAAUUCUUGUGCAAAUCUUCGAUAUACUGAUGCGUAGUGGCAGCAUUGAUCAAGUUAUGAUCCGAAGUACGAUAUAGUAAAUGCUGUGGUAAAACCAUCUUUCUCCCUGUCAUCAAUUCAAAAGGUGACAAUUUGGUAGCAGUGCUAGGCGUAGCUCUAAUCGCCAUUAAAACUAGGGGCAAUUUAAUGUCCCAGUCUUUACCAGACUCCUUAACAUAUUUCUUCAGAAUAUUAACGGUAGACUGAUUAUAUCGCUCUACCCCCCCUCUAGACGCAGCGCGGUAUGCAAUAUGUAGCUUUCGUUUAACACCUAGAAUUUUCCACAUCUUAGCCAUUACUUCGCUGGUAAAAUGACUACCUCUGCCUGACUCAAUUCUUUGAGGCAGACUGAAUCUGGAAAAGACAUGGUUAAUCAACAAAGUGGCGCACACGGUACUCGUGUUCUCUUUUCAAGGCAAACACUCUAUCCACUUUGUGUACAUACAUGUAACGGUUAACAUAUAUUUGUUACCUCUUGAAGAUCUUGUUACAGGACCUAUAAAGUCAAUUUGAAUAUCAGACCAGGGUAAUGACACCCCCCUCUUCUGAAGUGGUGCACGAUGGGUUGGACCAUGGGGUUGAUAUUGCGGACAAAUCAAGCAUCCCUGACAGUAUGUCUUAACAUCUCUUAACAUGUGUGGCCAAUAUGCAUAAUCACGCAAUAUCUCAUAUGUGAUCUUAUCACCACGAUUCCCAGAUGUAGGUGCAUCAUGUGCGUGUUGGAGCAUUAACCCUCUGUAUACAGUUGGGACUAUCUAUUGUUGUAUACCAUGUUUAGAAGUUCUGACCAGCAACCCAUCCAUGAUACUAAAUUGGACUUUAUAUCUCAUCAAGAUUCGUAAAUCUUCAUUAUCUUUGCAAUCCUCAUCUGUGAUGGGAUUGGCAGUAGGGUCUUCUAUAUGUCUAUAGAAUAUGCCUAUGACGGGAUUAUUCUUUUGACUGGUAAUCAGGUCCUCACUAGGAGCUUCUUGACUCCCUUGCAUGACGUUUAAGUCGGCAUUAUCUCUAGCCUGACGUCUAGUUAUGGCUUCAACAUGAAUUGAACCUAUAAGAUCAUCAAUGUUUAGGGUUUCACCAUUGAUGGCAGCUUGUUUUGCCAGUGAAUCGGCUAAGUCAUUACCAUCCUUGUCAAUACCUUCUAUUUUAGAAUGGCCUUUGGUUUUCUUCCAAUAUAUGGUUAAACCAUUUUCCUUAACCAACUCAUCAAUUUUACAACACAAUUUUCCAUGUUUAACAGGUUUGUUAUUGCUUUUCAGCAUUUGGUUACGUUUCCAGCUAGGCAGAUAUUCUCUAAACUGUUGUGAACAUAGUUGGAAUCAGUUAUAAUAACAAAUUCUUUGAUACCAUAUUCUAUUGCCAUUUGAAUGGUCUUAUAUACUGCACAGAGUUCGGCUAUCUGACUGCUUUUGGGACCAAUAUUGUAUCCUAUAGAUACAUUGGGAAAAUCACCUGUCCAGGCGAUUCCGAUACCUGCAACUAACUUCUGUUCAGCACCAGCGGUUGUGGUGAUAUGAACAACCAUCAAUGUAUACCCACGGUAGUGGUCGACGGUAUUCCUCGUCAUAAACUUUAUAAGGGGAUAGCAAUUGUUCUUCUAGGAAGUCAUCUCCGGUGUUAUUAUCAUCCAGAGAUGGAGCAGUACAGUCGUGUAAUUCUGCUAAACCUUGGGCAACUGGGCUUCUCUUAUUAUGUUUAUAACGGACUUCUAACGGCCAUCCCUGUAAGGAUAGAGUCCAUGCAGUAAUCUGACUGUUAGAGAGAUUACCGUCUCUGAUUCUUUCACUCUGCAGAUACUGUAGAGGUUGGUGAGCUGUUUCUACAAUUAUUUUCUCACCUUGGAUAUAGCUACAAAAAUUUUGUAGUGCCCAGACAGUCGACAAUAACGCCUUCUCACACGUGUUGAAUUUAACUUCAACAAGUGACAAAGUCUUGCUAGCAUAUGCAAUAACUUUGUUUAGACUGUCCUGCUUCUGAUACAGAACAGCACUUAUGCUUAAAUCGGUAUAUCCUGUCUCCAGAUAGAAGGGUUUACCCCCCUCCGGGUAUGCUAAACAGGGUGCCUGAGUGAGCUUCCUUCUCAGUUCACUUACCGCUUGGUCCUGAGCCUCCCCCCAGUUCCAGGUAGUUUCCUUUUUAAGCAGGUGUAAGAGUGGUUUCGUUAUUUCUGCAUAGUUAUCUAUAAACUUACAGGAGUAGUUAGUCAUACCAAGGAACGAUCUUAAUUCCCUGAUGUUUGAAGGUGUUUUAGCCUUAAUUACAGCUUCAGCCUUCUUCCUCUGGGGAUUUAAUCCUUCAGAAGUUACCUCAUGUCCGAGGAAAUUGACAUGGGUGCGACACCAUUGCGCCUUUUGUAAAGAGCGUUUUAUCCCUGCCUCUCUUAACUGAAUGAGAACAUGUCUAAUCUCUAUGAUAUGCUUAUCAAAGGAAGUGCUUUUCCUCUCUCAAGUGCGUCAGGCAUAGCUUUAUGCAUGAACACAGCGAAUUCAUGACCAGAGUUUAUGUAACCGAAUGGCAUACGGGUGCAGGUAUACUGCUGCUUUCCAAAUGUGAAGGCCAAUUUGUAUUGGUCUUCAUCACGGACUGGUACAGUCCAAUAUCCCUGCGCACAGUCAAUGGCAGUGAAUAUUUUGGAUCCUUGCAUUUGUACCAAACAUUGGUCUAUGUAUGGCAUUGGCCAACCAGACAUAUAGACGCGUUUAUUUAGCUGUCGUAAGUCAGCGCAUAAACGCCAUUGUCCAUUAGGUUUCAGAAUCCCCAAGAUCGGAUUAUUAUACGAACUGUACACUGGACGUAUAAUGCCCCUUUCCUUUAAAUUCUGAACGAUGUCUUGUAGACCAUCACAUGACGCUAAUGUGAGUCUAUAUUGUUUGAUAAAUACAGGUGGUAUAUUUGGAUCAGUUUGUAUUCUGGCUACGUGGAGGUUAGUUAACCCACAGUCAUAAGGAAUCUAUGGCAAAAAUAUCUUGGAAUUCCAUUAGGAUAUCUUUUAGCUGUUGCCGCUCAGCAUCGUUGGAGCAACCGUCAGCUAAAGAUAUUUGCUCUUCUAGCUUUUCCUGAAAUCCUGGAAAGAUUUCAGGCUGGCCUAUCUUAUAAGCUUCUUCAAGCCUAGAAGUUAGGUCAGUUCGGUGUUGACUUACCUUUUCUCUUUGGUCGUGAUACUCUUGUGAUUCCUGCUCAUUGAGUGGAUUAUCGAAGGUGAUUAAUGCUUCUUCGAUUUUACACGAGCCUUCUUCGACGUUGAAGGGAUGCACAGAUAGGAUAGUGAAUAAUCCUUCUGGGGAGGAAUGGAAUAUUUGAUCUAGAAUUUCGUCCUCAGUUAAGUAUUCUUCAGGGAUGAGGCCUAUAAUUUGGUUUUGGAAACCAAAUGUAUAGUACUUAGCAUCCAAUGCUAGACCUAAUAAUGUUCCUUUUGGUAAAGUAACACUAUUGUUUGUAACAUUGUUGACCAUUAUAUAGGUAGGAUUCUUACCAAUACUUAUCAUUGGUGUAUGUGUUACCACCAUCCUUAAUUGUUGUAUCCUGUUAGAUAAACAGAUUAGGGCAUCAGAGUUUUCCAAUCUCUGACCCUUCUUGACCUGUAGGGGUAAAAGAAAGUUACUUGUCCCUUGUGGAAUGGUUAUGUCAUCAGGAACUUGGAUACUUACCGCAUAUGGGAGAAUUUGUCCUGAUUUCAGGGCGUUUUCCUCGUGUAGGUAACCACAAGGAUUACCUUUUAACCUUGUCCACAAAUUGGAAUUAAUCAGAUCAAGGUGUAUGGCAAAGCGAUGUAUGACAUCAUUGCCGAUGUAAACCUGAUAGCGAGGUUCGUUUAUCACUAAGAAUAAAUGUUUAACUAUCUUAGUUCCAAUGGAAAUAUAUAGUAAACAUUUUGCUAUCACAUUGUGACUCUCUGAUUCGCCAUCCAGAUUCUGGAUCCACCUGUCAUGUGGGGAAGUGUACCUGAUCAUUUUAUGAUUGGCGAUCUGCUUUAACAGACUUCUGCUAAUAUAGCUGUUCUCACUCUUUAAGUCCAGCUUUGCAUUCCUACUUCUUCCUAAGUCAUUUAUUUGAAUAGGAAAGAAUAAGUUGUUAUUAACCCUUUCAAUUCUGGCAAGGAAUUGAGCAUGACCUGCCAUAUCUACAGAUUCAACAUAGUCCCUGUGGAGAGAAAUGGUUAAAACAUCACCUUCCAGAGAGACAUUCUGUAUCCUCUCUGGAGCAACUCUUACGGAAUGCUCAUCUACAGGUGCGAUUGCAUCAUUCACCUGCAGGAUAGUCACGUCAGGUGACUUGACUAUUUCUAAAAUGUACCUCAAUCGAGUCAGGUCUUUCUUCUAUCACAUGGCAGUUACGAUCAGAUUGAACAUGUGAUUUCUCAUAGGUUAUGGGAACCUUAGCUUGUGACCAUACAAUUCCAUUCACACAGUCAAUAAUUGUGUUAAGUCUUCUGAGUAUGUCUAUACCCAGAAUCAGUCGGUCAUAGGGGAGAUCUACCACUAUCACCGGGUGUCUAAAGGUUUUGUUACCUAUUUUAAAUUUUAACCAGGUAUUGUCAAUAACAUGAAGGGCAUUUCCUCCUACACUCAACAGAGCAUUGGGGAAAUCUCUUAGCUUCGGCUUAUCCGCUGCUAAGUCCAUUACCUGCUGGAAGUAGGUAUUGGAUAAGAUAGUGGCUUGUGAGCCAGUAUCUAUUAACCCUUUGAAAGGCUGGGGUAACGAAUCCUGUAUUUCUACAGACAUGUAGUACCUUCCUUCAUGUUCUUCUAAUUCACAUAAAAAAUUUGAAUGUGUCAACAUAUCACUCGUUUUGCAUAUGUUACCUGUCACAGCAGUAGUUUCUACCUGUACUGAGGAAUGCUCAGUCUUACCCACAGGCCCAUCCUUCUUGGGAAUAUCUUGAACUGUCAAGCGGGAACUAGUGGUCGGCAUCUCAUCAGUUAACCCUUUCAGGUCUGGAUCCUGGAAACUAGUGGCUGCUGGGGCUAUUUUAGCCUUUGGCUGAAAUGAAAAAACAGAGGAACACGUUGCGCCCCCUUCACCCGAAAGUGAAGUGACGGUAUAGGCAAUAGGUUUUCUUACACAACUAUUGUUUGUUUGACUAUUAGUACCUGGAAAGGAAACAGGGUUAGGUAUUACAUCUACUGACAACCUAGCCUGUUUAGUCACAGUGGCUAUUAUUGCUGCGGCACCUGUUGUUGUUGCUGCAGUUGCACAGGUGGCUCUGCAAUUUGAGCUGUCCCUAAAAAAGGAUUUCUGGAAAAGACUUGGUUAAUCUUUGUCAUUUCCUCCAUUAAUUUGCCUAUCUGGUCUGUCAAUUGACCAACCUGACGACGCAAAUUAUUUCCCCCAUUGCAGUUUUGUCUUUGCCCAUUAGAAUUUAGCUGGGAUGGCUGAGACUGUUGGGAGUUACUGGAAGCAGAUUGGUUAUUUCUGUUUCCAUAUCUCCUAUUUCCCUGAGGAUUCCUCCUCCAUUGGGAAUUGCAUUGGUUCUUAUUAACCCAGGGGCGUUUAUUCCCAUUGGCAUUGGAUUUUUCAGAGUUACUAUCAGAGGAAUUUACAGAAUUGCUUCCGGCGUUUUCAAAACCUCAGAAUAGGUCCUCUUUUUCUGUUGGGUUUCUAAACCUAACUGAAUUUUAGUCUUUGACACCGUUUUAUCACCAGGUUUCUUAACCUUUGGCUGAUUUUCAUCAUGUGCAUGGUGUAUAGUAUACAAUUUCAUGCACUGACUGACUAGCCAUUCUAAUGGUAACUUACAAUCAUAAUCUCUUGCGAGAUUAAUUUGUAUGUUUACCGGCAUGGCAUGAAAAUACAGAUCUUUGAAGUCUGUACUUUCAUACCUGGGUUUCCUUUGGGCCACGGAAUAUGCAUUUUUAAGAAUUAUUAAAAAUUCUCUGGGGCUUUGAUCAGGACGGCACUUUAAGUUAUAAAGCGCUUUCUUAACAGAGGUAACGGUUUUAUACUUACCAUAUUCCAUGAUUAUUUAAUAUUUCAUCUUGGACCAGGACAUUAGCUGAAUAGCUUGAAGACUUUCUAGAUAAACACGGCACAUUGAAACAAAGGUCCAUGUAAUGAACCAUUUCUUUUGGAUUUCAUCAUACAUGCCUAAUGAAUUCAUGGCUCUUUCAUAAUUUUCCAGAUGUUCAGAUAUGUUUCCUGAACCUCUAGAAAAUUGUGGGACAGUCUCUUUAAGGAAUUAAAUGACCUUUGGUGUUUCAUAAACAGGCAUAUUUGAGUUAUUGCUCCUGUUUCUAUCCACCCUUCUUUUUGGUAAACGUCUAUACGAUCUGGCUGCUGAAGAGGAAUUAGAUCCGUACAACAGUGCAGAUGGCAUAUCAUUCACAUGGCCUUCAGAGUGGACAGUGCAAUCACUUUCACUCCCAUCACUCUGAGCUUCUCGUUCACUGUCACAAUUCUGAUCUGCAUCAGAGUUCUGCCAGUGUACAGCACCAUGUCUGUUUUCAUUCCUAUCACCUUGAAUUGGACUCUCCCUCUCAAGUUUGGCCAAGACAGUCUUUUCAAAUUGUCUUUUCAAACUGUUCUGCCCAAGAUUGCCUCACCUAGAAUAGGAAGAGACAGAGAUAUAUCACUAUAGAUGCCAUUUAAUCUGAUUACAUGGUGAGCAACAUAUUACAUUCUUGCCACAUCCACUUCCUCAAUCAUUCCCUGAAGUCCCUUACUUGACCAGGUGUAACGAAGGGUCUUCCUAUUAGGAUUUCAAAUGGGGACAAGCCUGUUGUAUUGUUUAGUGUAGUCCUGAUUUCUGCCAGUGCUGCAGGCAGAUGAUCAGGCCAAUUAUGAAAAGUACCAGUGUUACCCUUCCUCAACUUGUUCUUAAUAGUUAUGUUGGUCCUCUCUACUUGUUCUGAUAAUUGUGGGUAAUAGGGGAUAUGGAAAUUUCAAUCAAUUUACAAUAUUUUGCUGAUGUGCUGUUUCAAUUGGGAUGUGAAAGGGUUGCCACUGUUGCUGUUGGGAUAUUGACUUUACACACUGUUUUUGCUGUUUCCCUACAGGGGGAAUCUUCAGGCUGCCUAAUAAAUUGGUCAGCAAUGACCAACAGAUACUGAUACCCACCUUUAGCCUUAGGCAUGCGUGUAAAUGAAUAUUUUUAUUAUUAUUAUUAUUGCAAUUUAUAUAGCGGCAACAUCUGCAGAUGUUGCAUGAGCACAUCUACUGGAGGUGAAUGAUCAGUCUUACUAAUAAUUUGUUCCACCAGUUUUCUGAUCAUUUAAAAUAGAUCUCUACAUACAAACCUUUUUUGACAUUCUCUUGCACCUGUUGUGUGCUUUUGUGUAAAAAAAACAAGAUUGCUUUAGAAAGGCCUAUUUAUCCCUUCUUGUUUGACCAAAGGCCUGAAGGGUCUUUUGUCAAGCCUCUUGAUUCCCUUAAGGAAAUGUCAUCAGGCAGCAAACGUUUACUUACCUCCCAACAGCUCCUCAAGCUCCCCAGUGUAAAUCUCGUGAGACCCGCUGCUGUGAGAGCGUUGCCAUGGGUUACCCAUUGGCAAUGCUCCGCAUGGCAUGCUGGCCACGAGAUUUACGCUGGAGGAGCUGCUGGGAGGUAAGUAAACGCUUGCUGCUGGCCCCCCCACAGCUCAGUACAUGCCACUGGACCACCAGGGACUGCUAUAUCCCCCCUCCCUGGCCAGGCAACAAGCAGGGAGGGGGAACAAAAAAUGUAAAUACAACAUAAACACUAAAAAUCUAAAUAAAACAUAAACAUUAAAAAUGUAAAUAAAACAUAAACAUUAAAAAUUUUAAUAAAAAAUGCCUUCCCCCUCCCACCCCCCACCCCCCAUUUUACACAAGUUUACAUCUCUUCAGGAAAACACACACACUCUGCAUUAUACACUACACACUCUGUAUAUAAUGUAAUAUAGUGUGUGUGUUUAUAAUGCAUUAUAUACACACACACUACACUAUAUACACACACUACACACUGUAUUCAAUAUAUAUAUAUAUAUAUAUAUAUAUAUAUAUAUAUAUAUAUAUACACACACACACACUAUACAAACACACUGCAUUCUUUACGCACACUACACACACUGCAUCAUCUAUACGCACACUACACACGCUGCAUCCACUAUACGCACACUACACACACUGCAUUCACUAUACACACUGCACGCACUUUACGCACACUUCACACACACUGCAUUCACUUUACACACCACACACUACAUUCACUGUACACACUCUACACAAACACACACACUCUGCAUUCAUUAUAUACACACUACACAAUGUCACUGCAUUAACUAUACAUACUACACAAACAGUCACUGCAUUAACUAUAUACACUACACAAACACACCCUGCAUUCAUUAUAUACACACUACACAAAUACACACAGCUCCACUGUCUAAACACACUGCAUCCACUGCAUGUGGCUUGUAUAUUUUGUGCAUUAACCUUUCAAAAUAGUUUAUUUUUUCAAAAUGGUAAAUGCACAGAAUAUCGUUAAGUUAUCGGCUAUCGGCCUGAAAGUUCACAGAUUAUCGGUAUCGGCUCUAAAAAAUCAGUAUCCCAAAUAGAAAUGGUAUAGAAUAUGCUGUGAGAACCUUUACAGGGAAUUGGACUACGGAAAAUCUGUCAAGAAAACACUAUCAGACGGCCUACUACAGGACCCAUUAACAAACACAAUGUCACCUUUCUGUAGGGGUGUGUCUGUGAAGUCAGCACUUGUAAACAGCCAUGGUCUUUGUUGGAUUCUGUGUCAUGUGACAGAAAAAGUUUGUGUAGAAGUGUGGCUGGGCAUGAUUAGGGUAAUGCAUAUUUAAUCUAGAGGCCUUGAGUGGAAGUAAGUAUGGUUUCAUAUCUUGAGCAUCUCUGUACAGUCGAGUGGUGAGCAUAGGCAUGCGCACGGGGUGUGCCUGGGCACACCCUAAUCACACCUCUGUGCUGUACUACCUUUGGGCAGACUAGCAUGUCGGGUCCUCGGUCUAUGACCGAGGACCGGACACAGCAGGGGGCCCGGCGGCUUGCCCACAAUGCCCACGGCUUGCAGUGAGUGACAGGGGGUAGAGUGACAGGGGGAAGAGGGGGGUUUAAAUACCUUCCCUGGUGGUCCAGUGGGCGCCCUCUCUCUUCAGUAUACAGCUCCACCGGGAGUGAGCUGCAGACAGAGGUGUCUCACGAUCUCCAGCCUGUUAGAGCAUUACCACGGCAAUGCUCUGCCUGGAGAUCGCGAGACUCACCAUGUGGUCUGCAGCUCACUCCCGGCGGAGCUGCAGACUGACUCUACCCCCUGUCACUCACUGCCCCCCCACCCUACUCCCUGCCACUGCCCCUCUACCCCCCAACUCCUGUCACUAGCCCUCUGCCCCCCCUAACCCUUGUCACUACCCCCCAACCCCUGUCACUACCCCUCUACCCCCAAGCCCUGUCACUACCCCUAACCCUGUCACUGCCCCUCUACCCCCAAGCCCUGUCACUUCCCCUAACCCUUGUCACUACCCUCUACACCCCCUAACCCCUAUCUCUGCCCAACCCCUGUCACUGCCCUUCUACCCCUAACCUGUCACUGCUGACCCCCUAACCCAUGUCACUGCCUCUCCACCCCCUAACCCCUGUCCUGCCCCUCCUCCCCCACCCCUGUCACUGCCCCCUCUACCCCCCACCCUGUCACUGCCCCUCCUAGCCUCUAACCCUGUCAUUGCCCUAACCCCUGUCACUGCCUCUCUCUCCCCUAACCCCAUAUUAGCCUUUCCACCCCCCCGCCAACCCCCUGUCACUGCCCCUCUACCCCCCCAACCCCUGUUACUACACUAAACCCUGUCACUUCUCUCUACUAACACCGGUCACUAGCCCUCUACCCCCUCUAACCCCGGUCACUACCCCCCUAACCCCUGUCACUACCCCAACCCCUGUCGCUGCCCCUCCACACCCCUAAUCCCUGUCGUCCACACAGUGCACCCCUGUCGCCCACACAGUGCACUCCUCACAAUCAUACACACUGUACCCUACACACACUGCAUCCCUCACAAUUACACACACUGUACCGCUCACAAUUACACACACUGUACCCCUUACAAUUACACACACUGUACCCCCCACACACUGCAUUCUCACAAUCAUACACACUGUACCCCACACACACUGCAUCCCUCACAAUUACACACACUGUACCGCUCACAAUUACACACACUGUACCCCUUACAAUUACACACACUGUACCCCCCACACACUGCAUUCUCACAAUCAUACACACUGUACCCCACACACACUGAAUCCCUCACAAUUACACACACUGUACCCCUUACAAUUACACACACUGUACCCCUCGCAAUCACACACACUGCACCCCUUACAUGCUGCGCCGCUCACAAUCACACACACAAACUACGCCGCUCACAAUCACACACACAAACUGAACUGCUCACAAUCACACACACACACUGCACCUAUGUAUAUUUGUAUUUGUAUACAUAUAUGUGUGUGUAUGUAUGUAUAAGUAUGUGUGUGUAUGUGUAUAGAAAAAUGCAUAUAUACGCGACGUGUGUGUUUGUGCUUUAGGGUGCACACCCUAAUGCAACAGGCUGCGCAUGCCUACGGUGGUGAGGUUGUUGAGGACUUGCAAUCUCAACUAACAUGGCAUUUGUAGCAACAGCUCUCAAGCAGACAUACCCUGUAGAACCGUAGACAACACUUUUGAAUAAUAAGAAACAUGAUGAUAUCCCAUGCCGUGUUCCUGUGCCAGAACCCCAGAAGCAGUGAAGUAGCCUCUACUAAUUUGUAGAACCAGUGCUGAAGCAGAGCAGAGAAUGUUUGAGAGUCAUCUAAGUUUCAAGCAAGUCAUUUGUCCAUUGAAUAGUCUCUGGGGCCUCUGAUAGUGUAGCUGAUCUGAGAAUGUGGUCAUCGUGGGAACAGUCAGGUAUUCACUGUCUGCAGUAGGUAACCUUCCCUAGAAAUGACAGCACUGGCAGCCUUGUUGUAGAGUUGCAUGAUGGCUUGAAUGCGGUCUGGAGCAACGACAGUUGCCCCUGGGACAGCAGGAAUCCAGGUAUUUAACCUUAGGGAAGCAGACUUGUAGCUUCUUGUAAGAGGCCUUGUGAUCUACAGCAUUCAGGUGAGUCAGUAAGGACAGCAUGUCAAUUUUACUGGCUUGCAUCUGGGGCUACAGAGUAGGAGAUUCUCCACAUACUUUAGGAUAGUGGAACCACAACUGGAAGUCCAUAACUCCACGUUAAGGCGUACCAUGGCAGAGAACUCUGUUAGGGAGUCACAGAAGCCUUGGGUAAGGCGGUUCCAUGUGUAUUGACUCCCUUUAUAUGUGAAAGCAAAAAUAGCUCUGGUAUCAGGGUCUACUGGGAAGCUAAAGAAAUCACUGCAAAGGUCAAUAGUACUAUAUUGAAUGGACUCCUGAGGUAUGGAAGUGAUGAUGGAGUUAAAAUCUUGAACUAUUGGGGUCAAAGAUUGCCCCCUGAAACUUCCAGCCCUCAGAUCUUGUGUGAACCUUGCUGUCUGAUUUUGGCACUUGGUUAAUAGGGGUGUUCCAUGAAGAGUAAUUAGGUGAAACACUAUGCCUUUACACCACAAUUCCUGGAUCACUGGGUUAAUUCCCUGCUCCUUUUUUGUUGACUUUGAAUACUGCUUAAUAUGAACUGGCUGAGCACCUGUUUUCAGUGUAGCUUUGUAUAGUGUGCAGUCAGUGUAGCCCGGGUCUGUGUGGGAAAUGUCCCAGAGUGAUGGGAGUAGUAGUGAGAUAGGAGAUUUGGUUGAAGUGGAUGUCAUCUCAAACUGAGCAUAGUCGAAUAAUUAUUUUCCUGAUCCUUUUUCCUUCACGAAAAAAAAAAAAAUAUUAAUUUCGUUCCGUCUACUGAAAUAAACUUUGAUCCAUUACCAAGUGUGCAAAAGCUUGACCAGAACUUGCAAAACUUGUCGGUGGUGACUGACAAGAUCCUUCGAAUAAAUUCGUCUAGAUACACGAUCACGAGUUCUUGUUGGAAUUCCCUCAAGACAUCAUUAAUGAAAUUCUGGAAGACAGCCGGGGCAUUACAUAGCGCGAUAGGCAUCAACGUAUACUCGUAAUGCCCGUAUCUGGUGUUAAAGGCUGUCUUCCACUCAUCCCCUUUGCGGAUUCUAACAAGAUUAUAAGCACUUCUCAAAUCCAGUUUAGUAAAAAUGCUGGCCCCUUUCAACCUGUCAAAUAACUCAGUUAUGAGAGGAAUAGGGUUACGUAUAGUAAUGCUAUUUAGUCCUCUAUAAUCAAUGCAUGGCCUAAGAUCUCCUUCCUUCUUGGAUACAAAAAAAAAUCCAUCCCCUGCGGGUGACGAGGAUUUCCCAAUGAACCCUUUCUCAAGAUUCUCUUUAAUGUACUCCUCAAGUACUGCAUUCUCUUUUACCGAUGGGGGUAAACUGUACCUUUAGGAGGCAUAGUGCUCGGUAAUAAGUCACUAGCGCAGUCAUAUAUUCUGUGGCUAGUUAACACAUUGGCCUUGACUUUAUCAAACACCUCUUUAACUUUCAGAUAUUGAUCUGGAAUGACAAUGGCAUUAGUAGACGUGGUAGGUACACUAGUGAGAAGGAUAGGUUUUAUGUUCGUAAUACAACUCUGAUGACAUUUGUUGCUCCAAGUUACUAUGUCACCCUUCUCUCAAUUUAUAGUAGGGUUAUGCUUCUUCAGCCAAGGGAAUCCUAAUACUAUUGGGAAGGUAGGUGAAGAAAUUACCUGGAACACACAAUGUAAUACGCCAACCAACAUGGAAAUUGGUUUGGUUUCAUGUUUUUUUUUUCUUUCAUGGAGGCGUCUACCAUCUAUGGCCUCAACGGCCAAGGGUGUAUCCCUUAACUGAGAUGGGAUAGAAUUUCCUAGAGCAAAAUUCUGGUCGAUAAAAUUUUCCGCUGCACCAAAGUCGAUUAAUGCUGCGGUUCUGACCAAUCCCUCUUCCCAAGUUAGGGUGAUAUUAAUCAAAAGCCUUUGAUUCUGGAGUUCUAUGGAGGAGAAUGAAGAAACACCCAAGGCCUGUCCUCCAUGGGGACUUAGGUGCGGAAGUUUCCCGGCCUGCUGGGAAAAGAUAACCAGAGAUGGCCUCUUUGACCACAAUGAAGACAUAGUCCCUCUCUUUUUCUGUAUUGGCAUUCUGCCUCAGUUAACCUAGUAGCUCCUACUUGCACAGGUUCGGGCAAGGCAAGUGCCAUAGAAUCAGAGGUAUUAGGUAAAGGUGUGGUAUAACUUGGAGUUCUUCUAGUUCUGUCUCUAGUGUUCUCCUUUACCUCAUCCUCUCGUCUAUGGGAGACAUAAAAGUUAUUACCUCCUCUAAAUUCUCUGGAAGAUCUCUAGUGGCAAUUUCAUCUAGCAUGGCUUCUGAUACCCCAUUCAAAAACACAUCGAUAUAAGCCUGGUUAUUCCAUGCUACUUCAGAGGCUAAUGAUCUGACUUCUAGUGCAUAAUCCACUAAAGACCUAUUCCCUUGCCUAAGACGAAGAAGAGUUCUGGCGGCAUUUGCCCUUCUACCAGGAGGAUCAAAGGUUCGCCUGAAAGCCUCCACAAAUGCUGAAUAGUUGUAGACUAUAGGAUUAUUGUUUUCCCAUAAAGGAUUAGCCCAGGUCAAAGCUCUGUCUAUUAGAAGGCUUAUCAUGAACCCUACCUUUGCUCUAUGGGUAGGAUAUGAUCGAGGUUGGAGCUCAAAAUGUAUGCUAAUUUGGUUCAAGAACCCUCUACACGCCUCUGGUGCUCCACCAUAUCACAGUGGUGUUUUAACAUGAGAGGAAGCUCCUACCGUAGCUACUUCCAGGCCAGUAUUAACAUGCAGAAACAUUACAAAUCUCUUCAGUACUGGUAGUAGGUCUGUUAAUCAAGGUCUGCAAUGCAAUAGCCAUUUGAUCAAUGCGAUGGUCCAUUUGCUCAAAACGGUUAUUGCAAGGAUCUGCUUGGUUACAUACACCUCCCGGAUCCAUAUGGCCCUGUUGUAAUGUCAGGAAUAAGGGGAAUCCUAACAGAGAGUGUAGGUAAAGUAGUAACGUACCGGACCUUAGAAUGGCCGGACUGAUGUUACUGAGAGAAAGAAUAAACAGGACGAGCUGAGGUCAGGGAAGCCAGAGGUAGGACAAAACGAGAAUAACAAGCCAGGUCAAACGGAUACCAGAGAGAAGAAUAGUCAAGACAAGCCAAAAUUCAAAAUCAGAAAAAAUACCAAGAAUAUAACGCGCUAUCAGGACCAAGAGGAACCACAACAGGGCAAAUAUCCUAACUCAUGGGAGCCUUUUUAUAUUGUGACUGGAUCUGUCUGGGAUGAUAACCACGACCCCCGUUUGGAUGAUUAAUUAUGUCAUUUGGCUCCGACCCCUUUUUCAGUGCAUUUUGGUUCCUCCCCUUUUGCGUCAUAAAAAGGGACGGGGCUAUUGUGGCCGGCGCGAAAAUGACUAAAGUUGCUGGAAGAUUGCCAGGUCAUGUCCCUAGAGUCUUGCAGAUGAACUCCACUGUGACCAGACGCCUGAGUCUCUACAAAAGGUACCCUGACACUGACAUACUGGAGGCAUUCCGUGAUUUCUAUUCCAACUUAUAUAAUCUCCGCUCAAGCCCGCCUAGAAAGGAGUAGAUCACAGAAUUUCUCUCUUCCCGAAUCAGCCACACACUACCUGCCAACAUUCAAUGCACCCUCGACACCCACAUGUCGAUGGGAGAAUUUGCAGUUAAAAACCUUCCUUUCCAGAAAGAGUCCAGGCCCAGAUGGCUAUACUGCCAAAUACUUUCAGGGAGCUUCAAGCUGACCCAUUUCUCAAAGCAUUCAACUUCCUCAUGCACGCGCCCACACUUCCAAACUCUGCCCUGGAAACUCACAUCAUCCUGAUCCUCAUACCAGGGAAAGAACCCGUGACCUGUGGGAGCUAUAGGCCUAUAUCCCUAAUCAACAUUGACCUGAAAAUUUUCACAAAAAUCUUGGCCACCCGUCCCUGCCCAUUCCUACGGGGGCUAGUCCACCCUGAUCAGGUGGGCUUUGUCCCAGAAAGAGAAGCAAAAAACAACACGUCUAAAAUGCUCAACCUCAUCUACCUAGCCCAACACUCCAGUUUGCUUCCCUCGGUCGAUGCAAAGAAGGCCUUCGACAGGGUGGACUGGUCUCUUCUCCUAGAAAGCCUCAGGGCUAUGGGGUUUGGCCAGGCCCGGCUUCAAUGCAUGACAGCGCUUUACUCCAACCCGAGUGCCAAGAUUCGAAUUAAUGUCCAACUAUCGGAACCUGUGACCAUUAGAAACAGCACGAGGCAGGGGUGCCCCCUCCUCUUCAUUCUUAUAAUGGAGACCUUUCUCCAGGGCAUUAGAGACAACCGAGAAAUUAACCGAUUUCAGAUCAAUAAUCGAGAAUAUAAAAUUGCAGCGUGUGUUUGUGAGUGUAUCUACAACCACCUAUAUUUAUAUAUUGCCCCAGUCGUAUCACCAUCAUAUAUUGCUCCUGAGUGGGCGAGAAGCCAUAUUCUACGUGUGUUUGUGAGUGUAUCUACAACCACCUAUAUUUAUAUAUUGCUAAGUUUUUUUACUGUAUUACGCUAUGUUGGAUCUCUGAUUUUUAUACAGAAUCCAUAUGGAUCACAUUUUCCAUCAGCUUGUUGUAUAUUUUAUAUAUUAAUUUACACGUAUUCUGGGUGUUUUUCCACUUUCUUACUAUUGUACAUUGUUUCUCGGGUGUCUGUGAGGUACACCAGGGAAUUCUUCCAGCUAUACGUUUUUGUGUAGUGUAUAUAUAAUUCUUUAUCUAUAUAAAAUUGCAGCGUUUGCUGAUGACCUCCUGUUCACCAUUACUGACCCCGGCACCUCCAUGCCACAAAAUUACACCAAUACAAUAGUAUUUCCAAAUACAAGGUCAAUUUCACGAAGAGCGAAAUACUCCCUCUAAACAUCACCCACACCACCAACUCAUCCCUCCAAACCAAUUUCCAAUUUGCUUGGGCUGAGGAAGCAGUCAAAUACCUAAGGGUCAAACUCCCUAGGGACCUAACUAAACUUUACAGCCUCUAUUUCCACCACCUCCCCCACUAAAAACAUUUACAGAGGAUUUACUUAAAUGGAACAAACCUCUUUUUGGAUGGCUAGCCCGCAUACACAUCCUUAAAAUAAACAUCCUCCCCAAGCUAUUAUACCUCGUGCAAGUCUUACCCAUAACCCUGCCCAAGACAUUCUUUGCAUCAAUAAAAUGCAUAUGGGUACACAAACACCCCAGACUUCCGCACAAGCUUCUAAUGAUGCCUAAACCGAGAGGUGGCUUAGGACUACCCAACAUUGAAACCUACUACAAAGCCAUAACCCUAUCCAGUUGUCACAACCACAAAAUAUGAAACACUGGGUACAAUUGGAAGCUUCACUGAACCACUACACACAAUCCCUUGGCAUGAAAGGACUAGUACACUCCUUCCCCAGACCCACCGCUCCCAUCCAACAAUAGAGCCUACCCUAAAAACAUGGCAGAGCACAACAUCGCUACCCCACAUCUCCCCCUACCUAUCUCCGCUCUAUCCAGUGACACACAACCCACUCUUCCCACCGGGCAUGAAUGCAUCCACCUUUAGCGCGCUUCAGGACGCCCAAUCCCACUACCUCAAACUCGGCACCCUUCACCGACAAAGGUCCCAGACCACUAGAGGGAUCAGACACUACCAACAACCCAAUCACACUACAACGUUUUAACCUGAGACAACUCAGACAUUUCAUCUCCUCAAAUCCAGCCCUCCUGAAGAAAUAAGCUGCAAAACUAACACAAUUAAAACGAAACAACUCUCCACACUUCACAGGCUCCUCCAAGAGGACCCUAGCAGCCCCAAACCCAAGUUUCUCUCCCUCUGGGAAGAGGAAUUACAGAUUACGUUCUCCCCAUCUGAAUGUAAACAGAUUUUUAUCAAUGUCUUCCACUCAUCCAUCAGUAACGCCACCCACGAACACAACUACAAACGAAUAGCCUGAUGGCACUAUAAACCCUCACACCUCCACCGACUCUUUCCCCAAUUAUCUGGGAUUUGCUGGCGAUGCCUCCAGGAAAAGGGCACGCCUGGCCACAUUUGGUGGUCAUGCGACCUCAUCCAAAAAUUCUGGAAGAAAAUUAUAUCUCUCAUCCACAUAACCUCGGAGUCCAACUUCCCAUGUCCCCUAAAGUCUUGCUGUUGUUGCUAUACCCGACUCCACUCUCCAAAAGCCAAUGUAUACUGAUCAAUCACCUAUUGACAGUGCUCAUCAUGUUAAUCCCAAUACACCUGGGUACAGGUGGCUGACAAGCAUCAUAACACAAUAAAUCCUGUAGGGCUCAUACCAGGCUAGAACUGAUGGGGCAAUAUAGUGUCUUUCUAUUGUCCUAUCAUUCGUGCCCUUCGUUUCCCUUAGGAACUGUUCACAUACAGAGGAUCCUAGUUGCUCUCCCUACCUUAGGGGAAGCAAGAAAAAGGAAGGUUUCAGGGUUCAAUCCUCCUUCCUCACCACACUGUAGUACCUGCAUAUCUGUUUAGCGUGCUUCCCAUGGCUACUGAUCACCCACAUACAUAGCAAUUAGUUACAUGUUUUCAGCUAGGUCAAAAAACAAAUUACGAGUGGUGUGGGAAAUUUCAAUCUGGGAUCCCAUUUCUUUGUAAAAGGAUUGAAAAACCUGGUGGGUUUCACUCUUUAUGACUUCAGUUUUAAUAUUCAAAUAUAGUAUGGUUCCUGGGUCUGUACCAGAACCAUAUAUCUGCAGACCAUGGAAGGUGCCCCACUUGUAAAGGAAUACCAGGGGAAUUGGAGCCUGGGAUAGGAACAAGGAUAAGGUGUCGGGUUGCGUACGAAGAUUGGGGGGUAACCCCUCGAAAUAGAACUAAAUAAGAGAGAAAAGAAACAAAGACAGAGAAACCAGGAAUAAAGAAGUAUAUAUAUCCUAAAGGUUCCCUGUGAUUGUUAAGCAACCCAAAAGUAAAUGAUAAAAUAUAACUUUUAUUAAAUGCCUUCUAAAAGUCAAUAACUAGUAAAGUGAGUAAAUAGAGUAAGUAAAAAAAGCCUACUAAAGGGAGAGGAGAAUAGAGUUAUUGCAAUAGCUCAGUAGUUCCAAAAAAUGUAGAUAAAAUUAUGAUCUGGUGGAUGCUAUAAAACAUCCCAUAAAGUCUAGAAAGUAUUAAGCUAUAUAACCCUAAUGUAAUAAUUGCUGACUCCUAACUCCCAUUAAUCUAAGGCUGAAAUCAUCUGCCUAGUAAAGACAAUCAACAGAAACCUCAAAGGAAGGUGCUAAGAGGUAGAGAAUAUUAAGUAAUAAACUAGAGAGAGGGUGAUAAUGUCUAAAGCAUUAUACUAAUUCUGGCUGCAGCAUCGUCCCCACAAAGUCUCUAACCACCCGCUCAAAAAAGUCCCGACGCGCGUUUCGCCACGAGGGCUUUUCAAGGGAACCGGACUGAACGCCGGACGAGGUUUAAAUAACCCGCCCUCCGCUGUGACUGGUUAGAAAGGUCACCAAUCACAGAUGGGGGGGCGGAGUCAAGUGCCGAAACCGGUUUGUCCGAAAUCACCGGGGAAACCGGCACGGAAAGUAAAUAAUGGAGACACAAUUAACUUAUAAAUCAUCAAGAUAUUAAAUAGGCAAAUUGAAGCAAAAUAUUAUGUCAGAAAAAGUACCCACAAAAAUAUAGUUAUGAGGAGAAGAAAGACAUAUCCAACAAAGUAACAAUAAGGCAGAUUCGGAUACAUUGGUAUCACUACAUGACAGUACAUAAGUAAUGAACAGUCUAUAGACAAAAAAGUAUAAAUAGUUAUGUAAAUAUUGCUCUACCAGCUAACAGAAUGAUCAAAACAAACUUAUAAUGUGAAUUCUGAGGGCAAAAAAUGUAUAUAUAGCCCAAGAUCAUUUUGGUCAAUUAUGUUUUUACAAAAAAUUAAUUAAUAUAGAGAAAUAAUGAAAUAAUGAAUAGGGACAACAUGUCCAAACUGAUAGGACCAGAAGAUCUAUAGAACAAAGUAGGUCCAUCAGUGUUAAAAAAUGAUGGAUCAGGAUAAAACGAAACUUACAAGAAUAAUAUUAGAAGUAAUAGAAAAACUAUAAAGAAAGGGGGAGAGAUAUUCAGUAAGAACUGUAUAUAGUGAGUGUAAACAAUGACUAAUUGCGGCUAUGACACACAUUGGGAACCAGCAAAGGGCCCCAAUGGUAAAAGAUUUUGUCAAAGAUUAUAAAAUUAAAGAGAGAACCAGACAGACAGAACUAAUCAAGUGUGAAUAAAAGGAGUAAAGUUAAACUCCUCAUUCAACCCCUUGGGGUAUAAUGUUUGAAACAAAUAAAUCCAACGGGAUUCAGCUUUCAGUAGGGCAAUAUUGAUGUCCCCUUUUCUGUGGUUCAAAAAAACUUUUUGAAUUACUUGAAAUUUGAGUACAUUAGGUCUGGAAUCAUGGUUUGUACGUACAUGUCUGGCAAUCGGAGUAUCCAAAUGUAAAUUGGAAAUAGAAUUAAUAUGUUGCAGGACACGUCGACGUAACUGUUGGUACGUCUUGCCGAUGUACUGUAAUCCACAGUCGCAUGUAAUAAUGUAGACAACGUUGGUAGAACCACAGUUGACAAAAGAGUUCACCUCGAUGUCUUUAGCGGUUUUAUGAUUCCGUACUCCCUUAGAUGGUAAAAUGAAGUCACAAGCCUUGCAGUGCCCACAUCUAAAAAGACCCUUGGUCUGAAGCCAGGUAGAUUUAGUUGGUAUAGGUUUCAAAUGACUUUGAGUCAAAAGGUCUGCGAGGUUCUUAGCUCUUCGAUAGGUUACAGAAGGUUUGAUAGUAAUGGUAUUCUUGAGGCAUUUGUCAUAUUGGAGUAAUGGCCAAUUGCGGUUGAAUACCUGCAGGGUGUUGUUCCAAUUUUUAUCAUAAGUCCCUAUCAAUCUGGUGACCCCAGCGUUAGGUUGAAUAAUCUUAGGGAGUUUAUGUAAGCUCUCAGAUCUGUCAACGGUUCUCGCUCUUUGGUAGGCUUUUUUAAGAAUACGAUUUGGGUAUCCUAGACUCUUGAAUCUCUGUCUGAGGGUUUUCGCCUCUCUUUCAAAGUCUUCUGGAUUGGAACAGUUUCUUUUUACCCUGAGGUAUUGGCCAUAAGGUAUGUUAGCCUUUAUAUGAAAUGGGUGAAAACUGUCCCAGUGUAAUAGACUAUUCGUGGCGGUAGGUUUUCUGUACAGUGAAGUGGAUACUGAACCAUCUUCUGUCAGAGCAAUUGUGAGAUCCAGAAAGACUAGGUGACUCUCAUGAAUAACAUGAGUAAGUUUAAGAUUGAUAUGGUUAAUAUUCAAUACGUCAACCCAAUCUUUGAAUGAUGAAAAAGAGCCUAACCAAAAGAUUAGCACAUCGUCAAUGUAGCGAAACCAUUUGUAGAUUGACGAGGUGUACAUGGCAUAGGGACUGGUGAAAACUAUCGUUUCUUCCCACCAUCCCAAAAACAGAUUAGCGUAGCUGGGUGCACAAGAAGAGCCCAUCGCAGUGCCCUGUAUUUGUAAGUAGUAUUUCCCGUUGAAUGUAAAGUAAUUGUGAGUAAGCACAAACUGUAAUAGAAGCAGGAUAAACUCCUGUUCCUGUAGAUUGAAGGUUUUGGCUUUUUGCAGAAAGUAGGCUACUGCUGCUAGACCCUUGUCAUGUGGAAUGUUGUUAUAUAAUGCCACUACAUCCAGACUAGCCAGGGAUGUAUAGGGGGGCACGGUAAGAUGUUCCAAGGCUAGAAGUGUCUGUUUAGUGUCCCGUAUGUGUGAUUUUAAACCUAUUACCAGGGGUUGGAGCAGCUUGUCCAAAUAUUGGCUUGCUCUCUCAGUUAGGCAAUGGUUGCCAGAGACAAUUGGUCUGCCUGGAGGGUUCAAGAGGUCUUUAUGGAUUUUAGGAAGACAAUAAAAAGUAGCAAUAGUAAUAUUGGACUGAGAAACAAUAAACCUAGACUCAUGUUGAGUUAUCACAUUGUUAGUUAAAGCUUUUGAUACUAGUGAUUGCAAUUCAGCCAAAAACGUUUUCGUAGGAUCUUCCUUCAAAGCCUGGUAGGCCAUUUCAUCCAUGAGAUGUUGCAUACACAUGUUAACAUAUUGUUCUCUUUGCAUGAGGACAAUGUUGCCUCCUUUGUCAGAUUGUUUACAGACAACAUCUGUUGCUAACCUGAGCUCUUGUAAAGCCAGUUUUUCUCCUGCUUUAAGAUUAGAAAUGUGUGAUGAUGAAGGGAUCUGAUUUUCUAGUUCAUUGGUACAAAUCUGCACAAACAGAUCAAUACAAGGAAAUUCCUUCAAAUUGGGGGUAAACCAGCUCGGAGGUUUAAAGUUAGUUAGGGAGUCAGGAGUACCCUGUUCAGAGUGUAAGUCCAUAAGUGUAUUGAACAGUGCCAUGUCUUCAGGUGAAAGGCCAAGAUCUUUAAGUUUUUUUAAAUUAAUCUUUUCAUGUAAAGCAUGUAAGGCCAAUUUACGGCCAAAUAGGUUCACAUCUUUGGCCCAGUCAAAUUGGUUACUUAUAGGUGUUGGUAUAAAAGAAAGACCCUUUUGAAGAAGUGAUAUGUGUCUUUGUUUUAGGAUAAACUUAGAGAGGUUUAUUAUCUUAUUGUCCUGUGUUUGCACAACUAUUGGUAAUUGGUUUUCUGUGUCUUGUAUCCCCACUUGUUCCUGUCCCUUAGUCUUUCCCUUUGGGGCUGUGGCCAGUCCUGAUCUAAAAAAGUCAGGGAAGAUUGAGUAGGGCCUGUAGAUUCAAGUCUAGGAUUUGUAGUAGCAGUUUGAACCACAGGGGGGUCCAUAAAGGUUAUGUUCCUAUCAGUAUUUCUCAAGAUACCUUUGGUUUGUCCUGAGGCAGUAUGUUGAGUAAACCGAGUGUUAUGCCUUUUAUGGUACCGAGGUCUGGAAUCAGAUUCAGACCAUUCAGUUUCAUCUGAAGAGGAAAAACCUUUAUUAAAUGAUUUGUUAACAUUAAAUCUCCUUUUGUUCUUAUUUCUAAAGAUAUUCCCCUCUUGAAAGUCCCUAAAAUCCCUUUGAAAUUUGUAAUGUUUCUUUUGUUUGAUACUUCUUUUAAAACCUUCUAAGUUCUUGCUCAGCUUGCUCUCCAUAGCUGGAAAGCUAGGUUCUUUAUCAAAAUUCCUGAUAUUUUUAAUUUCAACGUCUAAUUCUCCGUUGGUUUUAUCCAAAUGUUGUUGUUCUAAUUGGAUUAAAAACUGCAUAAUUUUAGCAGAGCAAUCUAAAAGGAUAGAAUUCCAUUCUGCUAACUGUUCGUCAGUCUUGACUUUGUCAGGUAGCAGAAUGUCCGGUCUAAGGCCUCUGGGUACCAGUUUUUGUUCAAUGUAGUGUCUUAGGCUGGCUAGUUCCCAGAAUCCCCUUAGUUGUGUUUGAUAUAGCUUUUGUAUUGAGAAGAAGGCCUGAUUGAUAUCCUUGGGUUCAUUUUGUAAAUUACCCAAAGGUUUAUUAGAGAAGACAUUAUUAACGUCUUCAGAUGAAUAAUUAGGAUGCACCACCUGUUCUAGAAGGUCUGACAUAAUUAUUAGACUUCAAAAUGACUACUACCAAUAAAUGUACAAUUAAGAGUAGUAAGUGUUAAACAAAAAUGAUAGUAAGAAUAUCCUGUCCUAUAAAUUGGUAUUGAAACCUGAUGCAAAUAUAGAAUUGGAGCCUGGGAUAGGAACAAGGAUAAGGUGUCGGGUUGCGUACGAAGAUUGGGGGGUAACCCCUCGAAAUAGAACUAAAUAAGAGAGAAAAGAAACAAAGACAGAGAAACCAGGAAUAAAGAAGUAUAUAUAUCCUAAAGGUUCCCUGUGAUUGUUAAGCAACCCAAAAGUAAAUGAUAAAAUAUAACUUUUAUUAAAUGCCUUCUAAAAGUCAAUAACUAGUAAAGUGAGUAAAUAGAGUAAGUAAAAAAAGCCUACUAAAGGGAGAGGAGAAUAGAGUUAUUGCAAUAGCUCAGUAGUUCCAAAAAAUGUAGAUAAAAUUAUGAUCUGGUGGAUGCUAUAAAACAUCCCAUAAAGUCUAGAAAGUAUUAAGCUAUAUAACCCUAAUGUAAUAAUUGCUGACUCCUAACUCCCAUUAAUCUAAGGCUGAAAUCAUCUGCCUAGUAAAGACAAUCAACAGAAACCUCAAAGGAAGGUGCUAAGAGGUAGAGAAUAUUAAGUAAUAAACUAGAGAGAGGGUGAUAAUGUCUAAAGCAUUAUACUAAUUCUGGCUGCAGCAUCGUCCCCACAAAGUCUCUAACCACCCGCUCAAAAAAGUCCCGACGCGCGUUUCGCCACGAGGGCUUUUCAAGGGAACCGGACUGAACGCCGGACGAGGUUUAAAUAACCCGCCCUCCGCUGUGACUGGUUAGAAAGGUCACCAAUCACAGAUGGGGGGGCGGAGUCAAGUGCCGAAACCGGUUUGUCCGAAAUCACCGGGGAAACCGGCACGGAAAGUAAAUAAUGGAGACACAAUUAACUUAUAAAUCAUCAAGAUAUUAAAUAGGCAAAUUGAAGCAAAAUAUUAUGUCAGAAAAAGUACCCACAAAAAUAUAGUUAUGAGGAGAAGAAAGACAUAUCCAACAAAGUAACAAUAAGGCAGAUUCGGAUACAUUGGUAUCACUACAUGACAGUACAUAAGUAAUGAACAGUCUAUAGACAAAAAAGUAUAAAUAGUUAUGUAAAUAUUGCUCUACCAGCUAACAGAAUGAUCAAAACAAACUUAUAAUGUGAAUUCUGAGGGCAAAAAAUGUAUAUAUAGCCCAAGAUCAUUUUGGUCAAUUAUGUUUUUACAAAAAAUUAAUUAAUAUAGAGAAAUAAUGAAAUAAUGAAUAGGGACAACAUGUCCAAACUGAUAGGACCAGAAGAUCUAUAGAACAAAGUAGGUCCAUCAGUGUUAAAAAAUGAUGGAUCAGGAUAAAACGAAACUUACAAGAAUAAUAUUAGAAGUAAUAGAAAAACUAUAAAGAAAGGGGGAGAGAUAUUCAGUAAGAACUGUAUAUAGUGAGUGUAAACAAUGACUAAUUGCGGCUAUGACACACAUUGGGAACCAGCAAAGGGCCCCAAUGGUAAAAGAUUUUGUCAAAGAUUAUAAAAUUAAAGAGAGAACCAGACAGACAGAACUAAUCAAGUGUGAAUAAAAGGAGUAAAGUUAAACUCCUCAUUCAACCCCUUGGGGUAUAAUGUUUGAAACAAAUAAAUCCAACGGGAUUCAGCUUUCAGUAGGGCAAUAUUGAUGUCCCCUUUUCUGUGGUUCAAAAAAACUUUUUGAAUUACUUGAAAUUUGAGUACAUUAGGUCUGGAAUCAUGGUUUGUACGUACAUGUCUGGCAAUCGGAGUAUCCAAAUGUAAAUUGGAAAUAGAAUUAAUAUGUUGCAGGACACGUCGACGUAACUGUUGGUACGUCUUGCCGAUGUACUGUAAUCCACAGUCGCAUGUAAUAAUGUAGACAACGUUGGUAGAACCACAGUUGACAAAAGAGUUCACCUCGAUGUCUUUAGCGGUUUUAUGAUUCCGUACUCCCUUAGAUGGUAAAAUGAAGUCACAAGCCUUGCAGUGCCCACAUCUAAAAAGACCCUUGGUCUGAAGCCAGGUAGAUUUAGUUGGUAUAGGUUUCAAAUGACUUUGAGUCAAAAGGUCUGCGAGGUUCUUAGCUCUUCGAUAGGUUACAGAAGGUUUGAUAGUAAUGGUAUUCUUGAGGCAUUUGUCAUAUUGGAGUAAUGGCCAAUUGCGGUUGAAUACCUGCAGGGUGUUGUUCCAAUUUUUAUCAUAAGUCCCUAUCAAUCUGGUGACCCCAGCGUUAGGUUGAAUAAUCUUAGGGAGUUUAUGUAAGCUCUCAGAUCUGUCAACGGUUCUCGCUCUUUGGUAGGCUUUUUUAAGAAUACGAUUUGGGUAUCCUAGACUCUUGAAUCUCUGUCUGAGGGUUUUCGCCUCUCUUUCAAAGUCUUCUGGAUUGGAACAGUUUCUUUUUACCCUGAGGUAUUGGCCAUAAGGUAUGUUAGCCUUUAUAUGAAAUGGGUGAAAACUGUCCCAGUGUAAUAGACUAUUCGUGGCGGUAGGUUUUCUGUACAGUGAAGUGGAUACUGAACCAUCUUCUGUCAGAGCAAUUGUGAGAUCCAGAAAGACUAGGUGACUCUCAUGAAUAACAUGAGUAAGUUUAAGAUUGAUAUGGUUAAUAUUCAAUACGUCAACCCAAUCUUUGAAUGAUGAAAAAGAGCCUAACCAAAAGAUUAGCACAUCGUCAAUGUAGCGAAACCAUUUGUAGAUUGACGAGGUGUACAUGGCAUAGGGACUGGUGAAAACUAUCGUUUCUUCCCACCAUCCCAAAAACAGAUUAGCGUAGCUGGGUGCACAAGAAGAGCCCAUCGCAGUGCCCUGUAUUUGUAAGUAGUAUUUCCCGUUGAAUGUAAAGUAAUUGUGAGUAAGCACAAACUGUAAUAGAAGCAGGAUAAACUCCUGUUCCUGUAGAUUGAAGGUUUUGGCUUUUUGCAGAAAGUAGGCUACUGCUGCUAGACCCUUGUCAUGUGGAAUGUUGUUAUAUAAUGCCACUACAUCCAGACUAGCCAGGGAUGUAUAGGGGGGCACGGUAAGAUGUUCCAAGGCUAGAAGUGUCUGUUUAGUGUCCCGUAUGUGUGAUUUUAAACCUAUUACCAGGGGUUGGAGCAGCUUGUCCAAAUAUUGGCUUGCUCUCUCAGUUAGGCAAUGGUUGCCAGAGACCAGGGGAAUAAACAGGUCAGGUUCAAGGGGUUACAGGUGCCGGGACCACAACUAGAUGUGGCCGGCAUUGUCUGCAGACUUGCAGGUAGAGUAUCUGAUUUAUAGGUGGCCCAACCCACAUAACUCUAGUAGAAGCAGUAGUUAUACCCACCAUCUAUGCAAUCCCUAUUCUUUGGGCACAUCUACUUAUUGUUUAACGUAUAAGUUAUUUCCCAUGCCACCUCAGUACAGAUGGACUCAGGCCAUUUAGUCACUAUUAAUAUCACCAUAAACUCAAGAUGAGCAGAUGAUCCUGAAGAAGCUUUGACUUUGCAUCGGCACCUCAGCUUCUGGAUGUGAGGGCUGCAGGGUAAAGAGUACUUCUGAUUCUGUUCGGCUUCACAAGGCCUCCCUUGGGGUCCUCGGCUUUCCAUCAAUGGCAGGUGGUCAGGCAUUAUUAUGGCCACCUACUUGUAUUUUUACUAUCUUAAAGCGGAGUUUCAGAGGGUUGUCUGGAUCAACAGAAAUUACUUCCCAUGGAGCAGAGGCAGGCUUGAUUCUGGAGUGGUGGACCCACGGGGUGAUCUCAGCAACUUUCACGGUGUACUACUUGUUGGCGUGUGAUCUCUCCUCCUAUUUGGUGGAGGUCCCCUUUAAGGCCUAGGACAAUCGGUGGUGGUCGACCGUAUUUUUCAAAAGGGGAGAGGCCGGUGAGUUUUAUGGGGGCGCUCCUGACCCAGAACAGGGCAGUGGGGAGCAAACCAACACUUCCGGUUGGUUUCUUGGUACAUUUUAGCCAGGUGUAACCUCAUUGUUCGGUUCAUUCGCUCAACUUUCCAUGAACUUUGAGGUCUGUAGGCUGUAUGCAGUUUUCAUUUAAGACUGAGGCUGGUGGUCAAUUCCUGCAGGCACUUGUGUACAAAAUAGAAAGAAGAAGGGAGGAAACCGCGCUUUACAUAAAUUAUAUAUACAUACACUUGAUGUCUCUUGAUGGUUGUAAGUAUAUCCUCAAAAAAAGAACACAAAAAGAGAAUAUACAAUAGUGUAGUAUGUUUAACAAUAUUGAAAAAGAUAAUAAAUAAAGCGGAGGUAUUUUGAACUCACAUAUGGUGGAGCUAUUAUAGGAGCUCUACCGUAAUUGGCCUGGACGGUACAAUCCCCGUCUUAGGAUAAAAGGUCCAACGUCUUGGCACUCCAAUGGUAUGGUGGUACGAAUCAAAAUGGAAAAGGAAGGGAAACUCCAAUAGUGUAAUAGUUCCAGCUCCAAAUAUGAAUAAAUAAAUAAAAGUAAUAUACUCACAUUUGCUAGAGCAGACAACUUGCUCUAGUAUAUAAGGCUUACAGUGGUAUAAUCCCCACUGAAGGAUAUGCAGGUCAGGAAGUGGAUGAUGCAAAUGAAAUAUAAUAGAAUAUAACGUAAAAGAUAUAUUUAAUAGUAUUUCAAAUAAAAUAUAAUGCUAUAAAAGAUAACACUUAACGCGUUUCGCCAAUGGCUUCAUCAGAAGUGUAAAAAACAUACAUCCAAAACUUCCUAUAAAUACAUAACUUACAUGAGUAAAAUGAUUGUUGCUGUCUUUCAGGUGUACCCCGGCAAAAAAACGCGCAUAGGCGAAAGCCGGAAGUAGUGCGGCGUCCACGUGGGUGUUGGCAAGCCAGCGUGGAACGCACGCAUCAUAAACAGAAGCGGCGCGGCCAGCGUGGGCGCACAUGUCAGGACCGGAAGCGGCGCGGCGUAAGCGUGUAUGUCUUCAUCCACUAUGAAGCGCACGCGUCGCGCCGGAAGUGACGCGGCGCCCACGUGGGCGAAAAUGUAAAUCAUGCGUUCCAACGUGGAACGCAUAACUGCCGCAACCGCAAUCUAUCACAUAAAAAGAAUUAAAUACAUAAAAAAGAUAGAAUAAUACAUAAACAAAACAUAUGGGUAAAAUAGCAAAUGGGCUUUUCUUCCUUGAUUUAUAAAAGAGAAGUAGAAAGUUCAUAAAAGUUCUUUUCGCCAGGUAGUUCAAACAUCUAGUGUUGCAGAAGAGUGUCCCAUCAAUUAAAGAUUAAAGAUGUGUAUGGAUGCAACAAGAUAUUUUUUCUCUUUUUUUCUCCUUUUCUUAUUCCUUUCUUCCCCUCCCUCUUCUUUGAUGUAGGCAUAAAGAUGUGUAGGGUACAUAGCAUCCUUUUUGUGGAGGCAAUCUUGAGCUUCCAAUAAUACAUACAAUGUCCAUCAUUCAUUAUUUUAAGUCCAAUUUUUUGUAAAAGGGGUGGAUGUAUAAAAAAUAAAUAAGAUAAAUAAAUGGAUGGUCCUAUUAUGUACAUGUCUUAACAAAUGUACAUAUAUAGGUAACACAGAAAUGGUAAAAAUAUAGAGAUAGACACAUAUAAAUAAGUAUAUAAAUAUAAAAUCAAAUUUAAAACAUAUAUAUAUAUGAAAUAUGGAAUAGAUAUAAAAAUGAAUACAGUAAAACAAUUAAGAAAUGGAGUGAAUAAGAAAAAAAUAGGAUGAUAUAAGAUGAGAUGGAGAAAAAAAAAAAAAAAAAAAAUUAAUGUUUUUAUAAAAAAUUAAAUAGAUCAAAUUCUAUAUUUAAACCAUCUGGGUGUAGGGUAUUCAUAUUGUAAACCCAUUCCGUCUCUGUACGUCCCAUUUUUUUAAUAUAAUCACCUCCUCUCCAGUGUGAUUUAACGAUGGCAAUACCAGUGAAGGUGAGAUUUUUAGGGUCAUUGUCAUGAAUACAGAAAUGGGAUGAGACAGAAUGAUUUUUAAAACCUUUUUCUAUGUUUCUACAAUGCUCAGCAAUACGAGUUUUUAAAGGUCUAAUAGUCUGUCCUAUAUAUUGUAGGCCGCAAGGGCAUUCCAAUAAAUAUAUAACGUUUUUACUGUUGCAUGUAAUUAUUUCUUUUAUGUUAUAGGACUUGCCGUUAUUGUUUGAUUUGUGUACAAAAGCUGGACCAUUAUCAGAUCCCACCAAUGUCAGAAUUCCAUAUCUUGGGAUAAUUUCAGAAAGCAAGAAUUGGACCACUUCUUUGUUUUUUUCUGUUCUGGUGGGAUUGGCUUCUACCCAGCCAGAGUAUGAGCAUACAAUAACAAGAACAUAGUGGAAUUAACCAGAUUUUGGCAUAACCGUAAAGUCAACGAGCAACCUAGACAUAGGUAAUGCUCCAACAGUUUGAAUCCCUGGUUGUUGGCUUUGUCCUUGUUAUUUUUGGCACAUUCCAUGCAUCCUCUGGCCACUGCUUGUGUUACUGUAAACAGGCCUGGUAGGUAAAAGAAACGGUUAAGUGUAGCCUCCAUGGAUGAUUUUUCUACAUGGGUGGACUAAUGAAAUGUUCACAGCCAGUGCCAUGGGUACAACUCUUCUUCCAUAUUCUAAUUUGUGCCACUUGUUAUUCAGGCCUGGCUCUGUUUCCAGCCAUUUGUGUUCAUCAGGGCUUUAUAGGGGUGACCAGUCAGAGAUUGGUACCGGGAACAGCAGGACAAAGGUUGACUGAGUCUUUCAUAGCUACAUGUUUUGCAGUGUGGUCAGCCAGCCUGUUUCUAAUAGUCACAUGGGUGUCUCCCUUCUGGUGGGCUCGGCAGUGGAUGAUGCUAACUUGUGCAGGAGCGCAGACCACUUUGAGCAGUGCCAACAUUUUGGAUGAAUGCUUGAUGUCUUUUUCUCCAGAGUUCAGUAGGCCCCGUUCCUUGUACAGGGCCCCAUGGGCAUGAGUUGUAAGGCAUGCAUACUUUGAGUCAGUGUAGAUGUUGACCCGUAGGCCCUGGUGAAGGCUAUUAGUUCAGGGGGUCUGACUUUGAUGACAGAACUUACAGUAGUCACUGCAUGUCCGAUCCCAUCUUUAACAAAACUGCUACAGUCAGUGAAGUAUUCUGCAUCUGUUUUUUUCCUGGGGGUAGUCUCAGAAGUUAGAUCUACUAGAGAAGAUUUCAUCCAUGACUUCUAUGCAAUUGUGUUUGGUCAGUUUCUGGGAGCAGGGUAGCUGGGUUCAGUGAGUUGACGGUUUCAAGGUGGAUCCUUGGGUUCUUACAUAGAAUGGCUUGGUACUUUGUGGUUGCCCUUGUAGUCAAGAAGGGUUUGGACAUGUGGAACACAAACAUAGAGUUCUUGUCCUAGGUUCAAUUCAUCAGCUUCUGCAACGAGGAGGGCUGCCGCAGACAACAGGGUAGGCCUUGUGCCACUGGAACCAGUUGUUUGGACAGGUAGGCAACAGGACGCUGCCAUGAGUCCAAGUACUGUGUGAGGACACCUACUGCAGAUUUCUUUUUCUUUUGGACAUACAGGUAAAACACUCUUUGGUGAUAAGGAAGUCCAAGUGCUGGGGCUUGAACCAAGGCCUCCUGCAGGGUUCUGAAGGCCGUCAGUUGCUCUUCUUCCCAUAGAAAUGUGUCAUGUUCAAGGCCUUUGGUGGCCUCAUAGAGAGGCUUAGCGAUGAUUGCAAAAUUAUGUAUCCACAUAAUCCAUCUGCACCCAAGAAUUCACGCAUUUUCCAACGACGGGUAGGUUGCUGGGAUGUGGCAGACGGCAUCUUUGCAUUCUGGGUUGUGAAUACAGCUUCCCUCUGAAAGAUGGAAUCCUAGGCACUUGACUGCUGUGCAGCAAAUUUGGGCUUUUCUUCUGGAUACAUUGUAUCCUGCUUCCCACAGAAUUUGAAGCAGUUGGUUGGUAGCUUGUUGUCAUGGUUCACGGUUCUCUGACAUCCAGACGCGGUUGCCCCAGAAGUGCCCAACCGGGGAUUUGAACCUGGGUACUUUGCAGUCCUGGAUCUGCUGUUUCUCCUCUGAGCCACUAUACAGCUCAAGUAUCAGCCUAAAGUCUGAUCUUGCCUUGUAUCCAGCACUGCUGUGUCUGUGUCCCCAUUUCUCCCAGCCAGUAUCCCAUGCCUCCCAGCCAAUGUCACCAGUGUCCCCAUGUCUACCAGUGUCCCCAAGUGUCUGUGUCCUCAGGUCUCUGUGUCCCCUAGUGUCCCCAUGUCUCACAGUGUCUAGGGGACACUGGGAGACCUGGGGGCACAAACACUAGGGGACACUGGGACACAUGGGGCACUGAGACACUGAUACAUAGCUCUAGGAGACAUAUGAACACAGACACUAGGGGACACUGAGACAUGGGGAUACUAGGGGAUACAGAGCUACAUGGGGACACUGUGAUACAUGGAGACACUGGGAGACAGGGGGACACUAACAGUAACCCAUCUAUACAGCAGAAUCAAACUGUAAGUAGUUUUUUGUUAAUUUUUAUAGCAUUUUCUCUUAUGACAUGCAUUCAUGUCAGGCAGGCCUUCCAAUUCUUUGGGCAGACAUGCCCUCUUUUACCCCGCCCAUUAACUUUCUGCUUCACUGGACACUGCUGUUAGGGGAUAUGGAUUUACUUGAAAGAUGAAAUCAUAAAUUAGAGAGAGAUUAGCAUAGGGUGUUUUUUUUUUCUUAUAGCUGCAUCCUAUGAGUUUCCUUCCAGCACUAUCUCCAUUAGAUACAUGACGCUUGGGAGGUAUGACUGUUUUAGUGUUUUUGGUCAAUAAGAUUAUGUAAUUAGGUUCAAUUCAUCAGCUUCUGCAACGAGGAGGGCUGCCGCAGACAACGGGGUAGGCCUUGGGCCACUGGAACCAGUUGUUUGGACAGGUAGGCAACAGGACGCUGCCAUGAGUCCAAGUACUGUGUGAGGACACCUACUGCAGAUUUCUUUUUCUUUUGGACAUACAGGUAAAACACUCUUUGGUGAUAAGAAGUCCAAGUGCUGGGGCUUGAACCAAGGCCUCCUGCAGGGUUCUGAAGGCCGUCAGUUGCUCUUCUUCCCAUAGAAAUGUGUCAUGUUCAGGGCCUUUGGUGGCCUCAUAGAGAGGCUUAGCGAUGAUUGCAAAAUUAUGUAUCCACAUAAUCCAUCUGCACCCAAGAAUUCACGCACUUUCCGACGACGGGUAGGUUGCUGGGAUGUGGCAGACGGCAUCUUUGCAUCUUUCAUAAUUGAAAGCACCAGGCCCUAUGGGCUCUUAAUAUGGCCCUGGUGAGUAGUAAGUUGUAGCUCACAUCGUCGAAAAGUGAACAGAUAGAUAUGUUUUAUCAGUCCUUAGACGUGGGUAAGCUUAAUGUAAAAAUCAAAAAGAUAAAUGUGAAGCCAAUAAACAAAGUAGAAAAAACCAAACAGUGAAUAAGUAGAAGGUUUCCUAAAGUGUUAAAUGAAUAAUUGAGCAGCAAAACACUCUGAAAUUAUAUCCCUUAAACGAUUACCAAAUCAAGAUAGCCUGAAAAAAAAUUUGUGCUUUAACACAAUAUUGUGUAAUAUCAUGUAUAAAUGAGAAUAGGUACCGCUCUCCACUGCUGGUGGAAAACCAAACCUAUAUGGGCUGAAAUCAUCAUCUUGUUGAAUACUUUCCUAGAUAAACCCUACCCUUUAGAUGCAUGGGCCCUGCGUCUGUACAAACCCCUAGACACACACAAGUAACUAUUCAAUUGUUUGGCACAAACUUGAGGGGGGGCUUAGCCAACAGACGUUUUGCAGCAAGCAAAAUGCAGAAGAUUGGGUAACUCUUUAAUGCAGAAGAUUGGGUAACUCAAAUGGCUUCAAAAUAGUGUUUUUUGUAAUUGUAAACAUAUAUUUGUAAUGGAUAGGCCCGGACUGCCCAUCAGGCAAAUGACCAUGGGCUGAGGCCGACAUGGGAAAUCAGAGUGCAUAUACCCAUGCACUAUAUAAGCGCCAGCCCUACUGUAUACCAUGAUGGUCUGGUGGGGAGAUAAAAGAUCUUCCUCACAUUCCCACAGGCACUGACAUAUGGCAGAAGAGAAGAGGACCAGGAAGCUCCAACCUGCAGCUCCACUGGGUCCUGAAAGUUCCUAUCGGGGGGGGCCAGAGCGUUGCUGCGGUUACAAUGGCAACGCUCCAACAGACCGGAUCUUGUGAGAACUCUAGCCAGAAGAGCUGCAGGUUAGAGUUCACUCAUCACUGGUUUGAUAGGAAGCAGUUAUGUGCUCACAGUGAGCACUUCCUGUCAGAUCAGGUAGGGGAACAGAAGCUCCUGUACCAUGGUCCGCCUACUCGGCCACGCUACAUGCAGUGACCAGAAGGAAGAGAGCACUGUGCAAUGCAAUGUCGGAAACCUCAUUCGCUCAACACACUAACUUACGUGUCACACCACUCAGUUUGCAAAUCUGUCCUCUACAAAAACACACUAGAUACGCUAUACACACUCUGAAUCCUCUACACACACAAUAGAUCCUCUAUAGACACACACUGCACCACCUACACACAUUACAUUCCUGAUAUACACACUCUAGAUCCAUUAUGCACACAUGAGAUCCCCUGUACGUAGACACGCACGCUACACUCCCUAUACACACUCUCUACAGCAUCUACACACACAUCACCUAUACACACUUAUACUACAGCCCCUAUGCACAUACACGCUACAUCCCUUGUAAAGACUAAGCCCCCUAUACAUACACACACUCUCACUCUCUACAGCACCUAGCCAUUUUACACCACAAACAGAACACUACUGAAACCGACCUAAUUAGACAAAAACACCACACCACUAUCAGUCAGCUUAAUCUACACACACGCAAACAGCCUCCAAACAGAUGCACAAUAUGCUUUCCUGGCCCUAUUGUCCUCUGGUAUCCCACUUACGGAGACACCAGAGAUAUGUUGCAAUUAAACACAGAGCAUGCUUUUAAAAAAAAACAACAGUCUCUUUACAGAGAUAGUAAGUGAUAAUCUACAGUGCCUAGACAAAAAAGCAGCUCAAACUGGUAAAGUGGAAUACCCUUAUUUCUACAAUCAGUUUACAAUGUUAGAAAAUGUGUGGUAUACAAUAUACACCAAUUAGUGGAGCGCUGUGUACAUAUUAAAGUGAUAAAGGGGUUCACUUACCCCAUUAAUAAUUUGAAUUGAAUGUCUUACAAAUAAUCAUUAAACAGUACAUGUAAAAGAAAAACAAAGAAAUAUAUAUAGUGCAGAUGGUCAUAUAUAAUUAAAUGAUGAAAGUUGAGUAACUAUAACCACUCCAAUGAUUUGGAGCCUAUAUGUUAUUGGCUCCGUAACAUAGGCUUUAUUACUCUUUGGGCAGUAAUACACCCCUUUCCUUGAUGGUAUUUGUGACGAGGUGCCCCUCGCCACUUGUUCCUGGAGAGGCCUGCUUGCCAGCCUCCUCCCCUGCGACUAUGGCCCCUGGGAGAUUGUACCCUUUUAAACCAGCAUUUGGGCUUAUGGACUUUUAUUGGACUGUGCAUGGCCCUUUAAGAACCGUCUGUGGGCACAUUGUGACUUUGGUGAGCAAUGCCCCUUUAAUACUAUGGCCCCUGGAAGAUAUUGCCUGUUAAAGACUAUUUUAGCAGAUUGGAUUUUAAAAGACUCUUGCUGCCCCUUUAAAUUGUAUUGGAGCAGUUCUGCAGCUUUAAAAUGGCACUUCGGAUGCAGCCGAAGUAGUUGAAGUGGCCACCAUUCGACAAACGAACACGUGGCGGCGGCCAUCUUUGUUCAUUCGAACAAGUUAAGCGGUAUGUGUAGCCAAAUCCAUGGAACUGAAAUCGGCUACACAUUUCAACGAACACCGCUGACUCUUACCUUCUCCUACACUUAGUUUUCAGCUACAGAGCCUAAGUCCCAUUCGGCAGUUUGAACUCACUGCAAUACUAAGCUAAAUGCACGAACAGCCCCGUUCGUGCAUUCGAAUGGGACUUAGUCAUUUUUCUGUUUAAAAUAGACUGACCGCACAGCCCAAAUCUAUGGAACUGUUUUGGGCAGGAAAAUUUGCUUGCGGUCGGUCAUAAAGGACUUCCAUCUAACUUUUUAACCCCUGGAUGGAAUUGGCUGAAUUUUGGAUAUGUUUGUAAUUAUUAUGUAUGCAGAGUUCGAAUGUGUAAUUUUUAUGAAGAUUGAAUGUAUAUUGUUAAAGUUACAGUGUAUGUGUAAAAAGUAUAUUUUUCCUGCCUGUGAUAAUGACUUUAACCCAUUGUGUUCUGUAAUUAUAUCACAGGCAGAGGGGAGGGUUUGUGUGUAAUUGAUGGGAGUGUUUGUACUGUAUACUACUAUACUACGUGUUUAUUGGUUGUUCUGCAAAACCCUGUGGCCGGUCCUGUAUGUGUAAGACCUCCAUAAAAGAAAGCCCUUUGGUGCUAAUUAAACACAGUUCUUCUUGACCCUCAACACAUAGUCUUGUCUCGUGAUUGGAGGGGACAGCUAUACUCACACUGGGGAUUGCUAUGCUCUGCAUACUCCCCUGAGUUUUAAGAGCAUGUUCCUGAUACUCUCUCCUGGAGGAGAGGUCUUCCCCACACGGUCCUGGAGGACAGAAGCUGAUCCAGGGUGGACAGAAGAUGGCGAGACUCCAGUUAAGCUACGGCGGUUGUGGAGUCUGCGGUGGUUGUGGUGUGCGGUGCUUGUGGUCCUCGGCGCAGGCGAGAAAACGUCGAUCAACAGAAGGUACUCGGUCAGAGUAUGGGGAGUUCAGUUACAGUAUUCCUCCGGAGAGAAUGGGAAAGAAGGAGAAUAGACCAGAUGAGUAGUACUGUGUAAAACUGCAAAAUAUGUACUUAUGAUAGGUAGUGUGCUCACCUUGUGAAGAGCCUUAGGUACCUGGCUCUAAGGGUGUUCAGCAGUAUGCCAAAUUCUGGGAUGGCAAUUCCCACAAAGGAUUCCUGAAGGCUUCAAUGACUUGAAUAGUAUAAAAAAUUAAUUUAUUGUAUCCAAGUUAAAAAACAAAUUUGUGAGUUAUAAUUAAAAUAAAACUCACAAAUUUUCAGGCAUCGGUUCUAUAUGAUGCAGAUUAUCUGAGUACAUAGACCGGUGCCUGCAACCAAUAGUCCAAAAUAUACCGAGCUACCUACAAGAUACGAGUAACAUAUUAAGACACAUUAAAGAAUUGAGUUGGAAAGAGUUAUUUUUUAGUAACGGCAGAUGUAAGUUCCCUAUACACAAUUAUUGCACAUGAAAGGCUGCGCGGUCACUAGACAUUUUUUAGAACAAUCACACAAAUUCCCACCAGAACACAUUAUUUUAUUAUGGAAGGAAUUCAUCUAAUUUUAACCAGCAACUACUUCUGGUAUGAUGGGGAUUUUUAUUUACAGGCCUGUGGAAUGGCGAAGGGGACGAGGUUCGCACCUAGCUAUGCCAAUUUAUUUAUGGCCCAUUGGGAGCUCCAGUUUAUCCAACAUGGUAAUGGCCGGGUGGAGGGCCUCGUUACCUACCGCCAUUGUAUAGAUGACCUAUUUUUUAUCUGGGAGGGAACGGAGGAACCCCUACAAAAUUUGCUUACCCAACUUAAUAAUGAUUGGGAAUUAUUUUAACUACUAAUUUUAGUAAGAUGGAAGUAAAUUUUUUAAAUUUAGACAUUUUUAUUGAAGACCGCAAAAUUAAAACAAGGACAUAUUUUAAAAAGGUGGAUGUGAACAGUUUCAUACAGACCACCAGCUGUCACUUUGCACCUUAGCUUAAUGUAAUACCAAAAUCACAAUUCAUUCAAAUUAAAAGAAACUGCACAGAAGAGACUAAAUUUAUAGAACAAGCACAUAUAUUAAAAAAUAAUCUGCUGGAAAAGGGGUACAAAGAAAAACACCUAAAUGACGAUCUAAACCAUGUUUAAAAAAGAGAAAGGGAGACUCUAUUAUCUAAAAAGGAAAUAAAUGCAGUCACAUCAGGUUUUAAUACUAACAUACCAAUUAUCUGUAAUUAUAGCCAGGGUAAUCAACAAUUAAGAAAAAUAAUUAACAAAUAUUGGCCACUUUUAAGGGAAGACCCUUUUUUUAUCAAGCAUCCUGCCAGACAAACCAACGCUGAUCUUUAAAGGUGCACCAAACAUGAAAAGGCUUUUAGUUAAAAACCAUAUUAGUGCCCUGAGGGUGCCCCCACCCUCAGGGUCACCCUUCCGCCCGGCUCUGGGGAGAGGAAGGGGUUAAACACUUACCUUUCUCCAGCACCGGGCGGGGAGCUGUACUCCUCCUCUCCUCCUUGCUCGCGACGUCAUCGGCUGAAUGCGCAUGCGCGGCAGGAGCCGCGCGCGCAUUCAGCCGGUCGCAUAGGAAAGCAUUUACAAUGCUUUCCUAUGGACGCUUGCGUGCUCUCACUGUGAUUUUCACAGUGAGAAGCGCCUCUAGCUGCUGUCAAUGAGACAGCCACUAGAGGCUUGGGAGGCUGGAUUAACCCUCAGUAUAAACAUAGCAGUUUCUCUGAAACUGCUAUGUUUAUUAAAAAAAAGGGUUAAUCCUAGAGGGACCUGGCACCCAGACCACUUCAUUAAGCUGAAGUGGUCUGGGUGCCUAGAGUGGUCCUUUAAGAAAGAAAGCCGCAUAAAAGCUAUUGACAGUAGAAAUGUUUUUUUCGGUUGUGGCAUAUGUUUAGCAUGCAGAACCACAAAUAAUAACAAGUUAUAUAGGGAAAUUCAGCAACACACUAAACAAUGAAGAUUUCAUAAUAAAAAACCUCAUUACCUGCCAUUCAACUAAUGUAAUUUAUUUACUGGAAUGCCCAUGCGGCUUAAAGGAUUACAAUUUAUAGGCAUCCACAAAGUGUUGGGGGGGAACUUUUUUUUAACAAAAUUUUAGGUCAGCACGAAAUGGGGUGGAUUUUUCAACCUUGGGACAUUACAACCCCAAGGUUUGAAUAUAGAUUUUGAAUUAUGCCACUUCCUCUAAUAUCCACACUUCUUCCCCCUCCCCGCCCCCGUUUUUUUUCAAUGCAAACGGCCAUUAUCUUUUAUUUUAUUCUAUUUUAUUAUUUUUUUAUUUGAUUACCAUGUAAAUUCAUUUAAACCUUUACUUAUUCACAGUUAUUUUUUUAGUACGAUUUUAAAAUCCAGUCAAGUUUCCACCACAAGGUUUUAGAUGACCUAUAAUUAUGAUUUUUAAUUUGUCAUAACGAUUUUCCACCAAUGAAUUACAACAAUCGUAAUGAGUAUCACAAAGAGUUACUGUUUACAAUGUAAGUAUAGACUUGAUUCCUCCCAUUCACAUUUUUAUUCAACUCCUUCUGUAUUAUAUUAUCCCCUUAUCCCCUUUUUUGGGAUAUACCAUCAUGUGUUCCCAUGGCAUGGCCUGAAGUUGUGGGAGGGGCUACAGACCUACUUAAGGGACUCCCCCCUUUCCCUCACUUACCUUCGUUGGUCUAGACAAACAGCCUGUUACUCGCAGGCUUCCGUUACUCCCGACUUCCUGGUUUGUAUCGUCACUUCCGGUGAGACGCGGCGCACUCCUCUGACGUCACGCGCUGACUUCCGCCGGCUCCACAGGCCCGCCGGCUCUCCAAACCGGGCCCUAAACAGCGGUACAGCCGACCGUCCUCUCCUCCUCGCCAACCCGUUUUGGUGCGGUAAGCUGGGCUCCCACGUGGGGAUUACAAGACAGAGACUCCAUUACCACUUAGGAGUCUCUGUUCCCAGCCGCCGGGGAAACCGGUCUUAAGGGGAAGGGGGGGAGGGGGGGAGACAUACUUACGGCCCGGUCGGGAACAGGCCACAACCAGACCCCUAUAUCAUAAGGGGUCCCUGUUCCUGCCGGCAACACACAUGGGGGGGGCACAAAAUAGUUGGGUGCAGGGUUAAAACCCCGAUCCACCACCUUGCAUAAUGGAUACGUUCCACUGCUGGCUGACCCUUAGUUCAGCCAGCUGCCACCGUACAUGCCCAUAGAAUACACUUUCUUUCAAUACUGUACGGUUACACGUCUUGCCUAACGUGUGUGUGUGUGUGUGUGUAUAUAUAUAUAUAUAUAUAUAUAUAUAUAUAUAUAUGUGUGUUUAAAGUGGAAUAAGAUACAUUAAAGUACCUUUCAAUAAACCUUCUGUUAUUUAUGCGUAUACUGCUAAUUAGGAUGCUGGUUAAAUUAAGUUAAAUCACUGGUUUAAACAUAUGCGUAUGAUUUUGCUUGUUAAACAUAAUAAUACAUGAUAUAUGUUUACUUAUGGCAGGCUAGAUAUGUUAGGAUAAAAAAAAGGAAAUAGGUGUAGCGCUGUGUACAUACAUAUAGUAGAGUUGAGCCUGAUAGGUAAAUAAGGCAUCCAAAUGAGGGCAAUUCCAAUAUCUUAUACAGUCAACCUAAAACAAGCAAAAAAGAACUCCAAUAGUGUAACACCAUAAAAUAAAUAUGAUGAAAGUCAAAAUAUAGCAAUAAACUCACAUUCUCCUGAGCUUAAUGCCAAGCUCAGGAAUAAGCGCUUUUAGGUCCGUACAGGUGACCUUCCCCUUCUUCUCACUGGGUAUUAUUUCCAAAUCGCCUCUAGGACUCAAGUGAAACAGAUAUAUAGUGUAGCACGUUUAUAUAGAAUACUCCUACUUCAAGUAUAUUAUAUACUAACAAAAGUGGAGCCUCUAUAUCGGCUCUGUCUCUGUGCGUUGAAUAAACUGUAGGACUUUUCAAAGCAGGAACCAAAAAAGCCCAUACAAUAAUUAAAAAAUAAUAAUAAUUUUAUUACAUCACAAGGGUAUAAUAAACCCUCUAUAAAUCUAUAAAACACAUAAAUAUAAAAUAAAUAAAUCAAUAACAAAUGGGCAUAAAGGUAUCAUACACUUCUUCCCAGAACGCGUUUCACCGUUACUCCGACGGCUUCCUCAGCUGGGUCCAAGGGGAAGCCGUCGGAGUUACGGUGAAACGCGUUCUGGGAAGAAGUGUAUGAUACCUUUAUGCCCAUUUGUUAUUGAUUUAUUUAUUUUAUAUUUAUGUGUUUUAUAGAUUUAUAGAGGGUUUAUUAUACCCUUGUGUCACGAGCGUGGGCUAUAGGCCCAGCCGAGACAGUGGGGAGAGUGUGGAAGUUACAGGGUUAAUGACACCAGACCCCUGGUUACCUGUUGCUAGUCCCAGCAACCACUCAAUUAACCCCUGCAAUCCCUUCUACACUAUCCCCCUUAGUACAUUUUCUUUACUCUACUGCCACCACCAAGACUUUUAAACCCGGGUGUCUUAGGUUACCCCACACACAGGAGAAUUAUAGUAUCGCAGUUCUACUUUUACUGAUAAAACAUAUAUAGUUAACCCUUUUUGGUAACGUGUUUACCUGAGCUUUCCUCUGGAGAGUGAAGCUCAUAGAGAACAGAGACACAGGCUGAUUAAGUAAACAUUUAAUCUGACAAAAAGGAUUCACAGUGCUGAGUACAAAAUACAGAAAUAAAUGACAUACAGAUAACAAAUUGCAAAACAGUACAUAAAAUAAAAUAGGAGAAAACACAAGAAAUUCCUUACAUAUAUUUACCCCAUAUAGAAUUCUUGUGGGAGUCUUAGAUGGUAUAGGUCUCCUAGAAGUUACUGACAAAAAGAAAAAUGAAUAACUGGCUUCCCUGGAUAGUCCAACACCCUCAUAUAUCUAAACUAGUUGUUUCUCAGUGGGCAGACCCCUGGGGGGGGGGGGAUCAGAGGGGGCUGGUCUGGCAGUCUAUUGCCCACUCUAUGAAAUUCCUUGUGUCCAGCUCUGGUGAUGGCUAUCUAGAUGUUUUAUGGUCUAGGCCUGGUGCAAGAUCAAAGACCACAAUAAAUGUCAUCCCAAGGUUUACAAAAAAACAUAUAUAAACACACAUCAAACACCAACUCAUGCUUUUGGCAUGACACCUCCCCCCUUAAGAUGGUGGACAGAAAACUUCAGCCACAGGCUGAUUCAUCUGUCUAUCAUUAACCCUCUAGUUGCCGAGACAGGCCAUCUGCAUUCUCAUGCAAGCUGCCCUUUUUGUGCUGGGCAGUGAAAUUAUACUGUUGGAGGAUAGGGCUCCAAUGGAGCAGUUUAUCAGUGUUACCUGUCACCUGCAGCAGGUUGUGAUCAGUCCAUACCACAGCUACACCCUCAACAAACAUGCCUGAUUUGCCUGUUUCAAUUCCCCAUCGAUCUCUGGUAACAUCCCUUAAACCACACCCACUGCGCUCAUGUAGUAGCUGUAAGGGGAAGAAACCAAUGGAUUUCUGCAGCACUCCCCGGUAAGCACACAAAAAAGCAGACAGAGAACACUCCCAGGAUAGAUGUGCUGUAUCAACACCCAUCAUCUCUUUCAUUUUGCGGUCUGUCUGCUGGGCUUGUUGCACUAUCAGACUCUGAACCUUUCGUUCACAAUCAGAAAGUUGCUUAGGUGCAUGCCUGAGUUGUGAUAAACUGACAAGGUUCCUGGUUCCUCCAACAGUAUGUUUCCCUGCAGCCAUCCUUCCUGGACCCACAGGCUGAGUCUGUCCGUGCCCCUCACUUUCACUCCAGGUCAUCACACAUACAGAACUUUGGAAACUGGCUAAGUCUGGCGCAGAGUAAAGCUCACACACCCUCUGCCCUCCCUCAUAGCCUUGCUGUGCCUUCAUAUUUUCACCCAGUGCAUCACAUACAUCUGCUUCAGGCACAUAUUGGCACAUAUAUUCCUUCAGGCCCCUCUCGCUGGAAGUCUUUUCCCAUACAUUUUCCAAGGACACAUUUGACCCCCCGUGAUCAGAUACAGAAUUUUGCACACACUCACAUAAUUUCUUCUCCAAGGCAGGCCAUCCUCUCGCAAUAGCCCCUCAGACUCUGCAGCCAUGACCCACUGCUGACUUGUUAUCACUGCUGACUUGUUACCCUGUCUCUCACCUUCCUCCUCUCCCUUACUCUCUGACAUCCCAGCCUCACAGUAUUUUCAUACAGGCACAUCACUACUCACCCCAAUCUCACAUUUGGUAGACAUCACUGGUUCAGUUACAGGUAGAUAUUUAUCCACACCCUGCUCUCCCUCCCAGCCAUCACACUUCACAAUGUCUCCCAAAGUUUCACACAAUACCUUAGGUGGAGAAGUCAGCCCUUCUGGCUCACAAACAGUGUCCGCUGGAGCAUAGUGACAGAGCAUCCUGCCCAAAUCAUUCCCCAACAGAACAUUAACAGGGAUAUCCUCUGAAAUCCCCACUUCCCGCAAACCUUUGCCCACACCCCAAUCAAGGUACACACGUGCCAUGGGCACAGCGGGACGCACACCCCCAAUUCCUUUGAUGAACAUGGUUCUUCCAGGGAUUAUGUCCUCCGUAUUCACCACUUCAGGGCGCACCAGGGUGAAGGAAGCUCCAGAAUCUCUCAGUCCCAUGGUCACUCGGUCACCCACAAUUACACUCUGCAGGUUAUCCUCUCGUUUCCCCACCGACCCACCCACAAGCAAUACUGAUGGUGCCCCUCCACGGACUGUUGAGGGCAUAUUCCUAGUGGGGCAAGUCCUGCUCAGAUGACCAAUCUGGUUGCAUCGAAAACAACGGCGGGCAUCUGACUCACUUGACAUAGCCCUGGCUAUGCUGGCAGUCGGCGGUGAAGUUCUCACUGCAGAUCUUACAGGUGGUGAUUGAACUGUAGCUUCUCUCCAGGUCGAAGUAGCAGCUGACACCAGUCCACGCCUGGAUGUGGGUGCAUGGAUGUCGGCAUAGUCAUCUGCCAGUUCUGCAGCAGCCUUAGCAUUUUUUGGCUUUCUUUCCAAAAUCCACUCUCGUACAUUAGGGCUCCGGGUCUGCAAGAACUGCUCCAGGACCAUUAAGUCAUUAAGGGCUUCAUAGGUAGUAGCUUGUACUCCUGUUACCCAUUGCCGGAACGUGGUUUCUAAUUGUGCAACAUAUAGAAUGCAGCUGGAUGAUGGGCAUUGCUGCAUACUCCUAAACUUUUUCCUGUAAGACUCCGGAGUAAGGUUAAAAGUUUUUUGCAAUGCAGAUUUGAUUGCCUCAUAGUUGUUAUCAGUCUCUGGGGGAAGGGACACAAACCCAUCCAAGGCUUUCCCUUUCAAUUGUGGAGUUAAAUAUCUGCCCCACUGGUCUGAGGGUAGUUGAUGCUGCCUGCAUACUUUCUCAAAACAUUUUAAAAAUACAUCCAAAUCUGUCCCUUCUUCGAGGGAAGGAAAAUCAUCCUUACGGAGCCUACGUGUGCUGGACUCUGAUGCAUUGCUGUUCAGUGAGGACUGAAGGGUAAAUUGCAGUUUAGCAAGUUCCAGCUCAUGUCUCCUUUGUGCCUCCCUUUCGGCUAGCCUCUCUGCAGAUUCCCUUUCUGCAGCAUGCCUUUGCGCUUCCCUUUCGGCUAGCCUCUCUGCAGAUUCCCUUUCUGCAGCCUGCUGUUGGAUCAUCACAUGCAGGGCCUCCUGAGGAUUUGCAGCCAUCAGUUGCCGAAAUAAAUCAGUUGAGCAAAUGUCCUUAAUGUUUUGAGGGGUACAACCACCAGGCAUUUCAGUAAGCAACACUCCUGCAGUAGUAGGGAGCUCGGUAACCCUUUCAGUAUCUGUCUCUGGCUGGAAAAUAUGGCUGUCAGCCUCCACAAGGUCAGCAAUAAGUUGUGCCUUAUUUUUGCCAAAAGUUGGUAAAUUCUUUUCUUGGCACAACAAUUCCAAGGCCCCUUUUGAUUGUUUGUGAUAGGCCUCCAUAUUCACAAAUAGGAUAGAGAAAGAAAAACAAAAGAUGGGAGGGGAGAACUGUUUUGCACUUUGUAUGUAUUUUAAAUCAGCACUGAGCUUGGUCUUUGGAAAUUACACAAAAACAAGUAUGCAAUUUCUUUUAGUGCUAAGACCCCCUUUACAGGUAAAAUCUAGCAAGCACUAAAAAUCUCUAAAUAUAUCCCACCGCUGCCGCCAGUUUGUCACGAGCGUGGGCUAUAGGCCCAGCCGAGACAGUGGGGAGAGUGUGGAAGUGACAGGGUUAAUGACACCAGACCCCUGGUCCCAGCAACCACUCAAUUAACCCCUGCAAUCCCUUCUACACUAUCCCCCUUAGUACAUUUUCUUUACUCUACUGCCACCACCAAGACUUUUAAACCCGGGUGUCUUAGGUUACCCCACACACAGGAGAAUUAUAGUAUCGCAGUUCUACUUUUACUGAUAAAACAUAUAUAGUUAACCCUUUUUGGUAACGUGUUUACCUGAGCUUUCCUCUGGAGAGUGAAGCUCAUAGAGAACAGAGACACAGGCUGAUUAAGUAAACAUUUAAUCUGACAAAAAGGAUUCACAGUGCUGAGUACAAAAUACAGAAAUAAAUGACAUACAGAUAACAAAUUGCAAAACAGUACAUAAAAUAAAAUAGGAGAAAACACAAGAAAUUCCUUACAUAUAUUUACCCCAUAUAGAAUUCUUGUGGGAGUCUUAGAUGGUAUAGGUCUCCUAGAAGUUACUGACAAAAAGAAAAAUGAAUAACUGGCUUCCCUGGAUAGUCCAACACCCUCAUAGAUCUAAACUAGUUGUUUCUCAGUGGGCAGACCCCUGGGGGGGGGGGAAUCAGAGUGGGCAGUCUAUUGCCCACUCUAUGAAAUUCCUUGUGUCCAGCUCUGGUGAUGGCUAUCUAGAUGUUUUAUGGUCUAGGCCUGGUGCAAGAUCAAAGACCACAAUAAAUGUCAUCCCAAGGUUUACAAAAAAACAUAUAUAAACACACAUCAAACACCAACUCAUGCUUUUGGCAUGACACCUUGUGAUGUAAUAAAAUUAUUAUUAUUUUUUAAUUAUUGUAUGGGCUUCGUUGGUUCCUGCUUUGAAAAGUCCUACAGUUUAUUCAACGCACAGAGACAGAGCCGAUAUAGAGGCUCCACUUUUGUGAGUAUAUAAUAUACUUGAAGUAGGAGUAUUCUAUAUAAACGUGCUACACUAUAUAUCUGUUUCACUUGAGUCCUAGAGGCGAUUUGGAAAUAAUACCCAGUGAGAAGAAGGGGAAGGUCGCCUGUACGGACCUAAAAGCGCUUAUUCCUGAGCUUGGCAUUAAGCUCAGGAGAAUGUGAGUUUAUUGCUAUAUUUUGACUUUCAUCAUAUUUAUUUUAUGGUGUUACACUAUUGGAGUUCUUUUUUUGCUUGUUUUAGGUUGACUGUAUAAGAUAUUGGAAUUGCCCUCAUUUGGAUGCCUUAUUUACCUAUCAGGCUCAACCCUACUAUAUGUAUGUACACAGCGCUACACCUAUUUCCUUUUUUUUUAUCUUGCCCCAUAUUGAUGUAAGUUAGAAAGAUUACAUCUAGGUGUUACAGCAGCUUGUUUAAAUAAUUUUGUUGAACUAAAGAGUGUUAUAUUCAGUUAUAGCGCCAGUAUAAUAUUUGUAUUCUUAUUAGAUAUGUUAGGAGUUCUGCAUGUAUAAUAGCAAUCGUUAAGUCUUAAGAUAAUUAUACCUCAGUGACGGUUAAAGUACAUGGCCUACCGGUGGCAUUAUGUACUUUGGGGGGACAGUACUCGCUGCAAUCCCCCCCAGAACUCUUACUAUGUCAAUCUUUAUGUAUAUGUUCCACAUGAGAGUACAUUAUCUAAAAUUCUCAUACCCCCAGGAACCCGCAUACCUUCGGACGGUUCACCUAAGCUAACCCACCCCCCCGCCCUACUCAAGAG
rnacentral:lncRNA from 1 species